AUGCCAGUAGGGAUUGGGAGAUUAACGGGUCUUAGGACCUUGGGUGAGUUCCACGUGAGUGCAGGAGGAGGUGUUGAUGGUAGGAAAGCAUGUAGGCUUGAAUCUCUUAAAAACUUGGAACGCCUUCAAGUAUGUGGUAUACGUAGACUGGGUGAUGUAUCAGAUGUGGGCGAGGCUAAGCGAUUAGAACUUGACAAAAAGAAAUACCUCUCUUGUUUGACCCUUGAGUUUGAUAAGAAGGAAAGAGGAGGAGAAAGGAGGAAGAACGAGGACGAUCAACUUCUUCUUGAAGCUCUACAACCACCUCUGGAUUUAAAGGAAUUAGAGAUAUGGUACUACCGAGGCAACACUGCUUUCCCUAGCUGGAUGACGUCAUUAACCAACUUAAAAAGUUUAGAUCUCUCUUUGUGCGAAAAUUGCGAGCAGCUGCCUCCUUUGGGAAAAUUGCAGUCCCUUGAAAAUCUCCACAUAUGGCGCAUGGCGAGUGUGAAGAGAGUGGGUGAUGAAUUUUUGGGGAUAGAAAGUGAUCAUCAUGACUCAUCUUCUUCUUCAUCAGUUAUUAUUGCCUUCCCCAAAUUGAAAUCACUUUCAAUUAACGAAAUGGAGGAAUUAGAGGAGUGGGAUUAUGGGAUUACAAGAACGGGAAACACCGUCAUCGACAUCAUGCCACGUCUUUCAUCCUUAACAAUAAUUCUUAGCCACAAAUUAAAGGCACUGCCCGACUACAUUCAUCAAACGACAACAUUGAAGGAAUUGCACAUUUUGGGGUGUGACCUUCUGGAAGAACGUUACCGCAAGGGGGAAGGAGAAGACUGGCCUAAGAUAUCUCACAUUCCCAACUUCGAGAUUUGGCGUUGACAAGUAAUUUCUUCUCUCACUCUGAUUUGAAUCAAACUCUAUAUCAGAAAUCUGCAAUACUUACUUUCUAAUAUUCUGAUUUUCAUAUCCUAUGAAUAUACGAUUUUUAAUUUGUGAGAUGGGUAACGUUACUGUAAAAGAUUAUUAAUGCAAUAUGAGUAAUUCUUUUGCAGAACAAGUGACCUACAUUUAGUUUGGCUUUGGAGUUGAAUAAUAACCUUUCAAGGUCCCGACAACCAAAAAACGAAGCUUAAUUUGCCACAGAUGGCACGUAUUGCCAUUAUUGACAAUUUUCUGCACAAGCUUAGGUUGAUGUCAAAACAGGUAAAUUACUGGCAUGCCUGACUAUUUUGACCAUUACAUGAUUCAUAAGUUUACAUUAAUUUUGAUUUUGAGUUGAGUGAUUAAUUUUCUAGGUUUGCUUACUUUAACUGGGUGACCAAUUUCUUGUAACUAAAUGUAUGAUGUGAUGCAGGAAGCAGGGCAGGGCAUGAAGAGAGAAGCUUAUUAGAGGAAGGAUUGCCAGUAACAGAAUCCAAAGAAAAAAGAAACCAUUUCGAGGCAGCAGUUGGCAGUUGGCAGUGAAUGGAGCCCCUUGAAAAAUUCCCCAAGCCGUUGCACUGCAAUUACGAUCAUCCUCGGCCUCAGGUAAUUUCUUCUCCUGCAUUUUUGUUAUUUGCUAUCAAGUGACUAUUUUAAGUAUGAUUGCAUUAAGCUGCUGCUGGGAAAUUUGAGGUUUUGAUGACUGCCCAUGCUAUUGUCAGAAGCUGCGGUUCUUUUCAUCAGCCUGAACCUGGACCUGCCGCUAUGGAUAACUCAGGUUUUUUUUUUUUAAUCAACAGCCAUCUUUUCCACUGUUUAGAAACUCUUAAGAUUAAACUUUAGUAAAGUUGUUUUAGUUAUCCAUGUAAUCAGGCUGAGGAUACUUAGCUGCCUAUUUAGGCAAAUGUUAGAAUUUAGUUUGUUUGCUGGGAACUGGUGUGGACUGGCAAAGGAUGAUGAGAUAGUUUUUUGAGUGAGUAAAUUUUGGGAGCUUGAGUGUAUUGGGAUUUGCAAUUACAAUCAUCGUCUGCCUCAGGUGAUUUCUUCUCCUGCUCUGUCAUUGUUUGUUCUCUAAUUCAAAAGCAUAAAAUAUUUCAAUCAAUUUUUAUGCCAGGAAUAUGCAAAAGUUUCUAAUAUUUUAUUUCCAUCUGUUACAAGAUCAAACUGAAGCAGAACUCAAACAAAAGUAUGCUACUUCUUGCGGAAAUCUUGCCUUUGUUCAGAUUAUGAAACCAUUUCCAGGCAGCAAAUUCAUCCAAAAGUUUGAAUAAGUUUCAUGGUUGGACACUGUUGCCUUCUUUUUCUUCUGGGGUGCAUUUAGGUGCUAUCAAGUGACAGCUGUAAGUAUGAUUGCACUAAGCUGCUGCUGGGAAAUUUGAGGUUUUGAUGGCUGCCCAUGUUAUUUUCAAGAAACUAUUGAUGUAAGAAGCUGUGGUUCUUUUCAUCAGCUUGAACCUGAAACUGUCGCUAUGGAUAACUCAGGUUUUUGUUAUCAACUAUAUCAUCUUUUUCACUAUUUUGAAACUCUUAAGAUUAAACUUUAGUAAAGUUGUUUCAGCUAUUCAAAUGAAAAACUCAUUGAUUUGAGACUGACUUCAUUAUUGUUUCUAAUUACAAUGCUAACGAUCCAGAUAAAAUAAUAUUUAAUCGGCGAAGGUGUCCCUUGGAAGUACAUCCUUCUUUUUCUUUUAUUAUAUAAAUUCUUGCAAUGAGCUUAGUGAAGCUGUUGUGCUAAUCAUGCCACUGCAUAAUUUGGCCCCUAAUGUGGGUACUCUGUUACAUUGUUCUGCAAAUUCUCCAGAAGUUAAAAUCAAUAAAUUUUCUAUUAGCUCUAGUGCUUUGACCUAAAUGCCAUUCUAUAUUUUGAUUACAAUGUUUUAACCUUUAAAUUAACUACCCCUAGAUGUUGGAUUUUCUAGAACUUCAAAAUGAUUAAUGGAGAAAGAUCCCAUUAUCGUUAUUGCUAUAAGAAAUUGAUUUAUGCAUCCAAAGAUACAUUAUAUAUUUCUGUGUCUCUAUUUGUAGAUGACAUUUAAGCAUCCAUAAACCGUCAGACAGAGGAAGGGGGUUCAGUGCAAAGAUUCUGUUGACCUAGGGUUGACUGCAUAAUGUCACUUGUUCGCAAUCUAUUAUUUAUUUUAUAUUUUGAAGAAUUUAAUGGGUAAUCCUAAUUGUUUGUUUUGGCAGGUAUGUGUUGUUAUCUCCUUCUAUCUAACAGUCGUACCUAAAUAGCAUAGUUUCAUCUGCGUUACCAUGUGAUGUACAUAAUUUCACAUUUGCCUCAGAUUAAGCUUAAUUUCCCACAGAAUAGAGCUGUCGCGACUGGACUUUUUGAUGUCCAAAGAGGUAAAUUAUUGGCAUGCCUAGAUAAUUUGGCCAUUUCCUAAUUCAUAAGUCUACAUUAAUUUUGAUUUUGAGUUGACUGAUUUCUUUUCAAGGUCUGCUUCCUUAACGGAGUGACCAAUGUUUUUCAACUAAAUUUAUCAUAUGAUGCAGGAAGCAGGGCAGGAUAUGAAAUGAGAAGCUCAUUGGUGGAAGUAUUGCCAGUAGCAGAACCCAAUGAAAAUGAAACUAUUUCAAGGCAGCAGUCGGCAGUUGCAAGUGAAUGGAGGCCCUUGACAAAAUUCUCAAGCGAUUGCAAUGCAAUUACGAUCAUCCUCAGCCUCAGGUAAUGUCUUUUAUUGGUACCCAACAAAAAUGCAAGGUCUGUGAGAAGACAGUUUGUCCAGUUGAGCAGUUAUCUACUGAUGGGGUUGUUUAUCACAAGUCUUGCUUCAAGUGCUCUCACUGCAAAGGCACACUCAAGCUAAGCAAUUACUCAUCCCUGGAAGGUGUUCUUUACUGUAAGCCUCACUUUGAGCAGCUUUUGAAGGAGUCGAGUAACUUCAACAAGAAUUUCCAAUUACCUGCAAAGUCAGCUGAGAAGUUAACUCCUGAGCUGAGAAGGUCGCCUAGCAAAGUUGCCAGCAUGUUCUCUGGGCCCAAUAAAAAUGUGCUUCUUGCAGUAAAACAGUGUGUCCGUGGGAGAAGGUAGCAGCGGAAAACCAAGCCUCUCACAAGACAUGUUUCAAGUGCUCACAUGGUGGUUAUUCCAUUAGCCCGUCAAAUUACGCAGCCCUAGAAGGCAUCUUGUAUUGCAAACAUAAUUUCUCCCAAUUGUUCAAGGAAAAAGGCAGCUACAACCACCUUAUAUCAAAUCUGCUUCCAUGAAGCGUGCUGCAGUCUCUGUUCAAGAAGCUUGAACAUGUUAUGUUAUCUUCCAUAAAUCUUAUUUGGCGUGGGUUUUCUCUGGCUUGAGGGUGUGCUGCUUUCUAUUUUGAUCCCUCUUGUUUUUUUUGCGGGGAACUACCAAACCUUCGGUUCCCUCUGCUUCUUUGGAUCAUCUUUGUUGGGACAAAUUUCAUGUAAUUAGAGAUACUGAUUUAUGGGAGGCAUAAUCCCAUGGUCGUAAAUUGACCAUUUUCUGGCAAUGUUCUUUUUAAAAAGAGAUGAGCAGUUGUUUAACAAAAAAAAUAUUCGGCCUUCAUCAUUGUAUGUUACCAAACUGCUAUGUAUAGCUGCUAACUAUGAGCAUCCGAAAAUAUGGUGCAUCGUGAUUCAUGUAGUGCAAUAUGGCUACCAACGCAUCCUAAAUGGAGUAUUACUCAGUUAGUCAGCAAAAUAAGACAACAUAACAGAUAUUAAAAAAAAAACUACAUUAAUAAGUGGGCAAGAUCAUGCCAGUUUAACUUUUCGCGCGUCGCUGCUGGAGAUAAUCAAAUCGGGGCAGAGAAAAGGAGAAUGGAAUCAGAGGCUAAGAUUAAUAAGUGGGCUUCUGCUUGCUUUGCGCCUCUUUCUUAAACGAUUGGUAGACUGCUGCUUCCACCGAUUAACCGGGACUUCAACCACUGCUUUUACUGCCUGCCAUCUUGUUGUUUGUCGAAGGGAUGAAUUCAAGUCGAAAAGAGAAAGCGCGCUGAAAAAGAUAAAUCACUAGUGGUUAACUGCUGACUCAGCCAAGUGUUGGCUUCACUUGAUUCACCGAUUGAGGUUAUUUUGUCUUCUAUCUAAUGCAGCGAAGAAGCUUUGCUGCUUAACAUGCUGCAAUGCAACUUUAUCCUUUGAAGUUCACACUCCAGGGCUGCGCACUUUAUGUAAUCCUAUGAGUAAAAAGAAUUUGUUUUCAAAUGUGAAAAAAGAAAAUGUAAGGUAGUAACUAAAUAUAUUAUAGCAUCAAAGCAAGAUUUGAUAUGAAUUUAGUACAACAAAGAACAUCAAAUCUGUGAUUCCUUGUCUAAUGUCACCAUCGAGCAACAAAUUUAAAAGCCUACCUAUCAAAUACACGAGGCAAUAAACGGAGAAAAAGUUGAAUUACAAGAACAAGUUUACAAUUCUUGUCAAUGGUUAAUGAUUUGUGAACUGCAUAGCAUUCAAGAAUCCAAUUUCAAUACAACAACCUAAAAGAUAAACAGAUGAUGAAUUUUAUGAGAUAAAGAAGGAGAUCGUGUUUUAUCGUAUCUCUAUUUUCUUUCUUUUUAAAUUUAAAAUAAGCUUUUCAACCGGUUUGGUAACUGGUUAUAAUAUUUUUUAAAAUAAUUAAAUAUUUUCAUUAUUAAAAAUAAUGUGUACCGUUGAUUACAUCUAACGGUACAUAUUUCUUACACUACUAAUACCGUAAAAAAAAAAAGGCAUCAUAGAAGGACCCUUAAAACAUUUUCAUUUGAAAUUAUUUGGUGUAGUCAAAAAGUUAAGAAAGAAAUAGUUGUCCCUUUGGUCAUUUCACAAAAAUGAAAGCCCCAUAUAACAUGGACUUGAAUGGAAGCCCAAUUGUUUGUGUUUGAUUUCAAGCUUUAUCGGACCUUUGGACCUGGAUACUUUACUGCGGCCUCUAAGCCCUAUAAAUUUUUUUUUGGGAUAAAAGGUGCUUCAAUGAAAAAGCACUUUAAAACUUUGGAUUUUGCCAAAACUUCAAAGCGGUUGGUCCAGUUACGGUGUGUUAUGCUAACGGGUUUAAAGGUUCCGAUCCAAUGAGUUAGGGUGGAAUAUGAAUAUAUAAAUUCCAUAGCAUGUAAGGACUAGGAUUUGUUUGUUCAUAUCAAGAAAAAAAAUCUGAAAAUUUGAUGAUCAGAAGAUAAAAACACUUAAACACGUUUAUUACAGAGAAACAAACGACAACAUGAUACUAGUAGUAGUUAUUCUUUUCAUCCGAUAUAUUACAUGGUAAUAUCACUACUCGUUCCACUGGUUUCAUAUACACCAUCGAUCAGCAACAUGAUAAUUUUGUGUCAGUUCAUUUUGUUUGUAGGAAAGAGCAGUGUAUUUAUAAUAAAAAGAUUUUAAAAUAUAAAUUGCAUAUUUGUUUAUUACUGUUGUUUGGUCUAAUUUCUUAUGUAGAAUUGCUUGUCAUUCUUUGGACGUUAUUGGUUAUAUUUUUGUCAGACUUGGCGUAUAUAUUCACAUACAUUUUAUUUUGUCAUUUUUUAGAACAUUUUUACACGCCAUAUUAUCACUACUCUUCUCUGUCUGAAUAAGAAGAAAGCAUCAACGGAGGUGUAUUACCACUGUUUCUUACUCAGUUAUCAUCAACGGAGUACCAAGAGGCUUGAUUUUUCCUGAAAGAGGACUUAGGCAAGGGUGUCCACUCUCCCCAUACCUGUUCCUUUUAUGUGCUGAGGUCUUUUCCAGCUUGCUGUCCCAGGCAGAAAGAAAUUAGCAAAUUAAGGGCUUGAGAUUCACUAAAGAUGUUACUAUCUCCCAUCUCCUCUUUGCGAAUGAUAGUCUAAUUUUCACAAGAGCUGCAGUGGCUAAUUGCAAGCAUCUAAAAGGUCUAUUUGAUACUUAUGCGAAGGCAUCGGGGCAUAUUUUUAACUUUGAAAAGUCAUCUAUGUUUUUCAGUGGUAAAAUUUUUUAGGGGCAGAUUUCAGCGAUCAAGAGUAUCUUCAAGCUUAAGGUGGUUCCUGUUGUGCAAAUUUUAAUGAACUCGCAAGCGCACGAAUCUAUUGUAGUAUAGAUCAAUGGUGACGAGUGUCGAUCCCACGAGGAGGUGGAUUUUAAUUAUAUGUAGAAUUAAUUUUGUAAAUGGGUGGUUGGAAUUGUAGUGGAAAUGAUUUGGAAUAUGCUAAAACUUAAAUUAAAAUGGCGAGAAUAAAUUAUGAAAUUGGAAUUGCAAUGGCGAGAAUAAAUUGAAGUGAAAUCUAUUGAAAUAACGUACUUGGGUAUCCGGAUCCGUAUCAACAUGCAUCAUGGGCUAAAUAAUCCGUAUUAAUGCCAAUUAAAUCAUGAGGGGGGAAUCCACACCUCAUGAACCACGCUCUAAUCAAUAUGGUGCUAAGGGCUUAUCGUGCCAAAUAAUAAUAACCUUAUACUAGAGAGCCGGUGUAACCAAGGCGGUAUCUAGACAAGAUUACUAUUAUUUGUCGACGAAAAGUCAAAACAUCCACAAAAACUAGAGGGGAAGAGAAAAUAAAUUUACCAAAUUAAGCCCAUGAAAAUAAUCCUGUGUGAUGCAUGCACCGUACGCGAAAUUUUUCGUCCACUGAUAUGCUGCCACGUCACCAUCAACAGUACAUAAGAAUUUUAGUCCAACAGGAUCGUGACACCUCAUCAGUCAAUGCCACAUCAUCGGUCAAUGCCACGUCAUCGAUCCGUCUAUGUGAACAGUGUCGUGAACAGUAACGUAGACAGUACCGUAUACGUGAAUAGUACCGUACAUGUGAAUAGUGCCAUUUUUCCUUUUAUGCUCCUCCUAAGGUUUUCGACCGUCCUGAGUUCAAAAGUGAUGUCCGUUUUGCUGUCUGAUCUCUCCUUUAUUGUGAAAUGACUAUAAUGCCCCUAAAAUACAUAAAAUACUUAAUUAAAAUAACACACACGUAAUUACAUCACAAAAAGGUUAAAUACAUAAAAGUAAGGGUUGUUAGUAAGACUUGAAAUGUAAAAUGAUGGUUUUCUCCUUUAUAAAUAUGCAUUUUCUAAUACUCAACACACCCCCCAACCAGCUUAUUGCUAGUCCCUAGUAAAUAAAGCGAAAACAAAAUUCAAAUUCAAAAUAUUUUUUUAGAAACACUCGUGUUUAUUCAAUCAGAUUAAUGAUAGCAAUCAAAUAAAAGUAUAAGCAUUAUCUCCAGUCUAAAGCAAUAUCACACCCAUAUCAACCAUCCACAUGAAUCGGCCCAGUAGACUUUGUUAUAGCUACUUUCAAGAAUGACAUGUUAAACCCCAAAAUCUCACUGGAAGUAGUGACACUCUCACAAAGAAAUUAAAACCCAAUAAACAUAGUCACUCCAAUGAAUAGUAAUUGAGAGAGAAAAUAAUAAAGAAAUGAUAUCACAUGCUCUCACCAAGAUGAAAUAAAUAUGCCCUCAGCUUAGAAAUAAUACGAUCUCAAGUCAAAUAAAAUGUUAGUCAACCCACUUUAUUUAUCUUCUUUUUUUUUUUAUUAUUAUGCAUCACUACAUCUUUUUAGCCCAUAUAACUAGCUUCUACUUCAAACUAUAGUUCCCUAAAAUCAAGAAGGACUUUUAUUAGGACGUAACGUAGGCUAGGGAUAUGGCUAACAAAGAAAGGAAAUAAGGAAAACAAAGUGUAUGUUUGAGAAAAAUGCAGAAAUAUAUAUAUAUAUAUAUAUAUAUUUUUUUUUUUUUUUGAAGUUGCAAGGUGGAUUUCACCUAUUAUUGUUAUUUUAUUCUUUUGAAACAACAACUUUUGUUUUUUUGUUUUUUUUUUAUUUUUUGUUUUUUUUUUUGCUUUUAUUUGGCAUAACUUCACUGAACAACAUAAUUAUUUACAUUUUCUCAAACAUAAAUAGGUGAUGGAACUUAUAAGACAUCGAGUAAUACUCCAAAUCGGAGUGAGUCAAGAUGAUAAGUUGACAAAGAAAAGGUUUUAUUUAUUUAUUUUUUUUUAAAGGCUCAAAAGGGGUAACUAUGGAUAUUUAAUAAAAGGGAUGGCUAGAAAGGCUCAAACGGAUCAAAGAUGGCCUUUCCAUCGUCUUUUAGGGCUCUAAAUAAUUAUCCAUAUCUACUAGUUAGAUGGGCCUCCCAAUGUAGCAACACACAUUUUUUUUUUUUUUUUUUAAUUUUACCAUUUUUUUUAAAGGGUUAACUCAAAAGAAAUCUAGAGAUCGUGUAUAAAAUAAUAAACUGCUAAGCUGUAUAGAAAAUGGGCAAAAGGGUUACUCUCCAAGAAAAUGAUAGGCUCAACAACUCACUUGACACUUAUUUAUGACAUGUUCAUUCCUUCAAGCAACUCAUAUUUGUCUCCGACAUCAACAUGUAAAGUAGCAAACAUAGCGUAACAUCACUUAAGACCAAAGAUAAUACAAAUACUAAAAUUUGAAAUUAAUCAUGUCAUCCAAUGUUAAAACAAAUAACACAAAUUUUUUUUUUUUUAAACAACAUUCUACCCCCCAACCUAUUCUAAACAUGAAAAGAAAAUAUGCAUGCAGAAAUGUGAAAAUGAUGUAGAAAAAUUAAUUAGAAAAAGAUUUUUUUUUUUUAAAACUAAGAAGAUGCGUUUCUAGAGGCACUACACUCCAUAUUCAGCCAUCUUCGACUCAAAAGUUGGAAAAUGUAUAUUUAUAGAGGAGAAAAUAAAAAGAAGAAGAAAAAUGAAGUAGAAAAAUUAAUUAGAAAAAGAAUUUUUUUUUUCGAACAAUGAAGAUGCGUUUCUAGAGUAACUACACUCCAUAUUCAGCCAUCUUCAACACAAAAAGUUAGCAACAGUUAGUUUCUACAACAAAAAAUUAGUAAAAACUUAACCAAGAUUCCACAAUUGUCGACUAUUCCCUCCCCCCAACCAGAACGAAACAUUGUCCUCAAUGUUUGAAAGGAAAGAAGUAGAGUUUAGAAGACAUCACCUGGGUGGUGCAACACAGAAGAAUAUAUUUACAGGCGGAGAGUUAAAUCUAAUUUGUACUUCUUACUGCGGCUACUGUUACCAUCAUUAGUUGGUCGCUCCAACACAAAGGUCCAGGGGUCUGGCUCCGGUUUAUAAGCUUGUAACAUAUCAAGUAGCUCAUUAGCAGUGUGAGCACAAAUAAAGAGUUUUUUCACAUUAGAAUGCGAUAAAGUCAUCAUAAAAGUUAUUGACAUUUAACAAACCAAUAGGUUUCUGGUGGAUGUGCAGAUGGGCCCAAGAUGCUAGUGUCAUAAAUGCUUCUAGUGUUGCAAGAUCUCCUGGAAGGAAAAUAAAAGCAUCAGCAUGAUUAAGCAUUUCAGUUAUUCUUUCUUGCAUACCUGAGACGACUAACUCUUCUCCAGUUGAUGAGUCAGACGAACUGCCCAAUGGUUUUAGGACUCUUGGGAUGAUGCCUAACACUUGACUUCCUCUGAUAAAAGCUGCUUCUGAGACCAUUUUUGAUAACCCUCGGUUACCUCCUCCAUACACCAAGUGUAAUUUUCUCGCUGCUAUGCUUCGACCAAGAUCUAUGGCUGCCUCCACAAACUCUUUAUGUUUGCCACAGGUAAAUCCAGAAAGCACACAAAUGUUCUUGAAUUGUCUAAUGGGAGUAGCUGCCAUUGUGAUACUUCUCAAAAACAAUUUGUGAGUGCUUGACAAAAGAUAAAUCACAUUUAAGAAUCUUGGUGACAGUGGAUCACAACUGUGAAUGAGGUAACAUGUCAGUGUCAAAUAACGCGUAAAGCACGUGGCUCGCGAGUCAAAAAGGAAACAAUAAAAAAAAGAAAAAGCAAACAGUAACAAAAUUAUUAAAGACAAAAAUAAAACAACAGUGAAAUGAAAUAAAAUAACAGUAAAGUAAAAGGAUAUUUACACGUAGUUGCGACUGUGGCUCACAUCUUCCUCUGGUUUUACGUCCAGAAACGGCUUGAACGCCCUCUAUGGGUCGAGGAUAGGCUUCCUAUCCAGUUUUCUUAUAAACUGGCAAACAGGGUCGUUUAUAGUCAGAUUCCCGAGACUAUAUCGUGCAUGCUCUUUCUGGAAUAAUGGCCAUAACUGGAGAACCGCUCCUUGCACAUAUCCACUAGGAUGCGUUUCAAGAGACAAAAGGAUAUCAUCCAAUGACUCCUUAUUCAAGCCAUCCCUAAUGAAUUGAAUCUUAUAUUCCCUGUUAUCAGACACCAUUCCUAAAGAACAUGGGUUUCUAUCGCAACUCAUUCUGGCACACUUAUGACAAGCAACAGAAAUUCUUCGAGCUCGUCGUUUUCUUCCAUAAUUUCCUUUACCACAACCAGGCAUGAAUGCAAUAAAUUUUGGAGGAAACUCACCUGCCGAUCGUACUUUAGCCUCGAUUAACCAACGGAUGUCAGCAGGUAUGUUAUUCCUCAUGAGUAAUCGCAUGCGUUCGGAUCGAGCUUUAUAGAUCGUAAGGAGGGCAUUCUGAGGAAGUGAAGGGAAUCGCUUGUGAAGCUUCGCUAGAAUCUCGUUUCUGUUCAUACUUUCACCUCAGAAUGUCAGUUAUUAUGGGAAACUGAAGUAACCGACUUGAUUGUCACGGAGUACCGUUAUCCGCCACUUCACCGGGGUAACAAACUAAAGCACAUAAACAGAAAAACAAAUCAAAACACACAAAGAAAAUUAAAAUCGUCCUCUUAUUGAAUUUACCUCAAGCUCCAACUGGAUGUCGUAAACACUUCUCUCAAUGUCUCUGAGUUGGCGUUCUAAACCCUCAACAUAGGCUACUAACUCUGGUGGUUGUAGAGCCCAAAUGCGUUGUGUUUUACAAAAUUGAAUCUGCCUUUUGAGAUGAGUUUUGAUACGUUGAAGUGGUUUAAGAAUGUUCAGGAGGAACGGUCUAAGUAUGAGACUCAUGAUUAAAAAUGAUAAGAGAAAACUUAAUGGUAAAAUAAACACACUUAUGCAAAAACAAUUUCAAUUAGCAAAAGAAUAAUAAUAAAAAGAAAGAAAGAAAAAUCAAAUCAACGAAAAGAAAAAAAAUCAAUUCAAAUUUGGUGGGUCACUCAAAUUUAUUUCGGUGUCUUCUCUAUGUGGUUGGUACUCAAGAUAUGGCUUUAAUCUUUGACCAUUAACUUUAAACGUGACACCGUUCUUUGGGUCCUUAAUUUCAAUUGCCCCAUGUGGAAAAACAGUAUGAACAAUAAAGGGACCAGACCAUCGAGAGCGUAACUUACCUGGGAAUAGGUGCAAGCGAGAAUUGAAUAAAAGCACUUUCUGACCUGGAGUGAAAGAUUUUCUCAUAAUGUGCUUGUCAUGAAAGACUUUCAUUCGUUGCUUGUAAAUUUUGGCAUUUUCGUAUGCAUCAUUGCGAAUUUCUUCAAGUUCUGCCAGCUGUAAUAUUCUUUCUGAGCUGGCUUGUUGCAUGUCAAAAUUGAAUUUCUUGAUGGCCCAAUACGCACGAUGCUCGAGUUCCACAGGUAGGUGGCAAGCUUUUCCAUACACUAGCCUGUAGGGUGACAUCCCAAUCGGGGUCUUGAAAGCCGUUCUAUAUGCCCAUAAUGCAUCAUCAAGUCUUAAUGACCAAUCUUUCCUGUCUGGCCUCACCGUUUUUUCUAAUAUGUGCUUUAUUUCUCGAUUGGAUAUCUCAACUUGGCCACUGGUUUGCGGAUGAUACGGGGUCGCCACUUUGUGUGUGAUUGAAUACUUUGUCAAAAGAGCCUUGAAUGCUUUGUUACAAAAGUGGGCACCACCAUCACUGAUUAUCGCUCGAGGGAAUCCAAAGCGUGAAACAAUGUUGCUUUUCAAAAAUCCUAUCACCACUUUGUGAUCAUUGGUUCUGCAUGGAAUUGCUUCCACCCAUUUCGAUACGUAGUCAACACCAACCAAUAUGUAUUGAUGGCCAAAAGAAGGGGGAAAGGGUCCCAUGAAGUCGAUACCCCAUACGUCAAAAAUCUCAACCACUAAAAUUGGAUUUAGUGGCAUCAUGUUCCUUCGUGUAAUGCUCCUCAUUCGUUGACACCUAUCACAUGAAGAACAAAAAGUGUAAGCAUCUCGAAAUAUAGUUGGCCAAUAAAAACCACAUUGUAAAACUUUAGUCACGGUUUUCUUAGCACUGAAGUGGCCUCCACAAGCUUGUUCAUGGCAGAAUGAAAGGAUAUUCUGAAUUUCACUUUCUGGGACACAUCGUCUAACAAUUUGGUCUGCACAAUACUUGAACAAAUACGGGUCAUUGUUGAGUGUUAGAAAAUGCAUAUUUAUAAAGGAGAAAACUGUCAUUUUAUGUUUCAAGUCUUACUAACAACCCUUACUUUUAUGUAUUUAACCUUCUUGUAAUGUAAUUACGUGUGUGUUAUUUUAAUUAAGUAUUUUAUGUAUUUUAGGGGCAUUAUAGUCAUUUCACAAUAAAGGAGAGAUCAGACGGCAAAACGGACAUCACUUUUGAACUCAGGACGGUCGAAAACCUUAGGAGGAGCAUAAAAGGAAAAAUGGCACUAUUCACAUAUACGGUAGUAUUCACGUAUACGGUACUGUCUACGUUACUGUUCACGACACUGUUCACAUAGACGGAUCGAUGACGUGGCAUUGACCGAUGAUGUGGCAUUGACUGAUGAGGUGUCACGAUCCUGUUGGACUAAAAUUCUAAUGUACUGUUGAUGGUGACGUGGCAGCAUAUCAGUGGACGAAAAAUCUCGCGUACGGUGCAUGCAUCACACAUGAUUAUUUUCAACCAAACCGCGUUACUGUUCAUCCGGGUCAAACCGUGUUACUGUUCAUCCGCGUGGUCAAACCGUGGACUGUUGACUGAUGACGUGGCGCAAUCCUGAGCGUCCAAACUGUUUUUAAUCCGAUGGCCAUGAUUUACUCCAUGUAUCUAUAAAAAGGGGGCCUCCCCCCCAUAAUUUGAUAUCUCUGAAUCCAUUUUUGGGAUCCAUUUUCUGUAAUUCCUUCUCCAUCUUGUAUUUUCUUUGUAUUUUAAUAAAUUCCCUUUUUGCCCCUAGUUCAAUUAUGAGUAGCUAAUUUCUUUUCAAGCUUGGGUUGAAGGUGAAGUCUCAACAUGUGUCAUGGGCUUUAUUUGGUAAAUUUAUUUUCUUUUCCCCUCUAGUUUUUGUGGAUGAUUUGACUUAUCGUCGAUAAAUAAUAAUGAUCUUGUCUAGAUACCGCCUUGGUUACACCGGCUCUCUAGUAUAAGGUUAUUAUUAUUUGGCACGAUAAGCCCUUAGCACCAUAUUGAUUAGAGCGUGGUUCAUGAGGUGUGGAUUCCCCCCUCAUGAUUUAAUUGGCAUUAAUAUGGAUUAUUUAGCCCAUGAUGCAUGUUGAUACGGAUCCAGAUACCCAAGUACGUCAUUUCAAUAGAUUUCGCUUCAACUUAUUCUCGCCAUUGCAAUUCCAAUUUUAGAAUUUAUUAUCGCAAUUUCAAUUCCAAUUUUAGGAUAAUUUAAAUCACUUCCACCACAAUUCCAACCACCCAUUUUGCAAAAUUAAUUCUAUACACAAUUAAAAUCCACCUCCUCGUGGGAUCGACACUCGUCACCAUUGAUCUACACUACAAUAGAUUCGUGCGCUUGCGAGUUCAUUAAAAUUUGCACAACAGUCAUCCCAAAAGAAAUUCUUUAUUUCUACAAAGAAUUUAGCCUUGUCUUGCUUGGUCCAAUGCUCUGGAAAUUUACCUGUAACAAGAUAAUUAACUAUAUCAGCAUACCAAGGUAAUACUUCCACAUUCAUCAAUUGUUCAUCUGGAAAUGACUCAUUCAAUAUUAAUGGCUCUGUAAUUGUGUCAAAAUGGAGACGAGAGAGGUGGUCCGCCACAACAUUCUCUGUGCCUUUCUUAUCUUUGAAUUCCAAGUCAAACUCCUGCAAAAGUAACACCCAACGAAUUAGUCUAGCUUUUGCAUCUUUCUUUGUGAGAAGAUAUUUAAGAGCAGCAUAAUCUGUGAAUACAAUUAUUUUACAACCAAUGAGAUAAGAUCGAAAUUUUUCUAAUGCAAACACUACUGCUAGCAUUUCUUUUUCAGUAGUUGAAUAAUUCAACUGUGCAUCAUUGAAUGUCAUACUAGCAUAGUAAAUAACAUGGGGAAUUCGAUCAACUCUUUGUCCUAAUACUGCUCCUACGGCAUAAUCAGAUGCAUCACACAUUAGCUCAAAUGGUAAGCUCCAGUUUGGGGCCUGAAUGAUGGGUGAUGAUGUCAACAACUGUUUUAAUUUUUCAAAUGCAACAAGACAUGAAUCAUUAAAGACAAAAGGUACAUCCUUAGCAAGUAGAUUGCAUAAGGGUCUAGAAACUUUGCUAAAAUCUUUAAUGAAACAUCUAUAAAAACCAGCAUGCCUAAGGAAAGAUCUUACUUCUCUGAUUGUUUUGGGUGGAGGAAGAUUAGAAAUGAGAUCCACCUUGGCUUUGUCAACCUCAAUACCUUUGCUCGAAAUGAUGUGACCGAGAACAAUACCUUGUUUUACCAUAAAAUGGCACUUCUCCCAAUUUAAGACUAAGCUCUUCGCGGUACAUCUCUGCAGAACUAGCGUUAGAUGAUGUAAACAUUGAUCAAACGAGUCACCAAAGAUAGAAAAAUCAUCCAUAAAGACUUCAAGGAAUCGUUCAACCAUAUCAGAAAAAAUGCUCAACAUGCAUCGUUGAAAUGUAGCAGGUGCAUUACAUAAUCCAAAUGGCAUUCUCCUAUAUGCAAAAGUGCCAAAAGGGCAAGUAAAAGUAGUUUUCUCUUGAUCUUUUGGUGCUAUGGGAAUCUGAUUAUAUCCUGAGUAGCCAUCUAGAAAGCAAUAAAAUUCAUGGCCUGCUAAUCUAUCAAGCAUUUGAUCAAUAAAUGGUAAAGGAAAAUGGUCUUUACGUGUGACAGAAUUCAACUUUCUAUAAUCAAUGCAUACACGCCAUCCUGUAGUUACUCUAGUUGGUAUCAAUUCAUUAUCAGCAUUGGUAACUACUGUGACUCCUGACUUUUUGGGGACAACUUGUACAGGACUGACCCAUGAACUAUCAGAAAUUGGGUAAAUGAUACCUGCGUCUAAUAGCUUAAGGACUUCUGUUCUAACAACUUCUUUCAUAUUAGGAUUUAACCGACGUUGCAUUUCCCUAGUAGAUUUAGCAUUUUCAUCAAGGUGAAUGUAAUGCAUGCAGUCUACUGGAUUUAUACCUUUUAUGUUCGCUAUGGUCCAUCUUAAUGCUCCUUUGUGCUAUUUAAAACAUCCAACAACUUACCUUUUUGUUCGUCAUUUAGGGAUGAUGAGAUGAUUACCGGCAGAGUACUUUCUUCUCCCAAAAACGCAUAUUCCAAUGUGUUGGGUAAUGGUUUGAGCUCGAGUUUCGGUGGUGAUUCUGAUGAUGGGAUGAGUUUCUUCUCUGAUGGUGCUAGUUGUUCAACUCUUGACUUCCAUUUAUUAGUGUCCAUGGAUGGUGCUGAGUCAAGUAGGGCGUUGACCUCAUCAACUGAUCUGUCAAUAUCAAAAUCCAAACCAAAGUGAGUUAAACAUGUUUAUAAAGGAUCAUCACUAAGGUUUGAAAGAAAAGUAUUAUCAACUAUUGUUUCUAUUAAAUCCACAUCAACAAUUCCAUCAUCUGCACUGUGAGGUUGUUUGGCAAUGUUGAAGAUGUUCAGCUCCAUAGUCAUGCUGCCGAAGGACAACUGCAUAUUUCCAGUCCUGCAUUGAAUGUGAGCAUCCGCAGUUGCCAAGAAAGGUCGACCUAGAAUAAUAGGGAUGUGCUUCCUUGAAUCCUGUAUUGGUUGAGUGUCAAUUACAAUGAAAUCAACAGGAAAAUAAAACUUGUCUACCUGGAUAAGCACGUCCUCCACAAUACCACGAGGUAUUUUCGUGGACCGAUCUGCAAGCUGUAACACCACUGGAGUUGGGUGUAAUUCUCCCAGUCCAAGUUUCACGAAUACAGAGUAAGACAAAAGAUUUACACUAGCUCCUAAAUCCAACAAAGCAUUCUCAAUUGUGUGGUUCCCUAUACUACAUGAGAUAGUGGGGGAGCCUGGGUCUUUGCAUUUUAAAGGAAUUUUAUGUUGGAGUAUAGAACUAACAUUUACUGUUAAAAAUGCCUUCUUUUGAACAUGCAUAUUUCUCUUUUUAGUACAAAGGUCUUUAAGAAACUUGGCAUAAGAUGGAACUUGCUUUAUAGCAUCAAGUAAAGGGAUGUUAACACUUACCUGUUUGAAGAUUUCGAGAAUCUCACCUGUGGAUUUUCCCUUCUUUCCUUUCGCUAACCUCUGAGGAAAUGGAGCUUUGGGAACGUAUUCUCGUGGGUUGGUUUCUUCUUUUUCCUCCGGUGGUGAGUCCUCAACAUUCACAGGUACAAUUUGAUUUUCUUUUGUCACCGGCAUCUCCACUUUGUUGUCGACUUCCUUUCCUUUUCGCAAGGUCAUGACUGCUUUGACCUCUCCAUGCUGUUGUGGUGAACUGGUACUUGCUUCAUGUACUCCUUUAGGAUUAGGCACUGGUUGACUUGGAAAUUUACUUUUCUCAACAGUAAUUGCCAAGGUCUGAACUGAAGAAGCAAGUUGUCCCACCAUCUUCUCGAGGCUUGAAACUGAUUGGGCUUGUGAGUUGAAGCCCGCUCUCAACUCAUUUCGUAGUCCAUCAAUAGUGCGGUUCUGUUGCUCAAUCGUAGAGUGAGUAACAUUCUUGAGAUUUUGGAAUGAAUCCUCCCAUGGUCUGGGUUGAGAGUAGUUCUUGUUCUGAUUGUAUGGUCUGAAUGGUGGCUGAGAGGCUUGAGGAUUUUGAGGAAUUUGUUGCAUUGGUGGAGCUGGAGCUGCUGGUCCAUUCUGUUGGAAUCCUUGAGACCAUGAAAAAUUGGGGUGGUCUCUCCAUCCAGGGUUAUAUGUGUUGGAGUAUGGGUUGUAAUUAGAUGGCUUUCUCAUUACACCUAUGGCAUUGGCUUGAUCUGGAUAUGAGUCAGGGUCACGUGAUUCUGUUGAUUUAGCAGUCGAUAACGAUGUUAUUUGUCGAGCAAGACCUUCAACCAUCUCCUUGACUUCUUUGAUUCCCGAAGUUGACUCGCCAAUGUGAACCUCAUUCACUCCUUUAAUCCUUCUAGUAUUCCUGAGUGAUCGACUCCGUUGUUGGGAAUUGUCCGCUUGUCGCUGGAAAAACUCCCAAAUUUCUGAUGCACUUUUUGACAUUAGCUCUCCUCCACUUGUUGCCAUUAGCCAUUCUUGCACAUUCGGCAAUAAUCCCUUCAAAAAGUAUUGGUAUUGGUGCCAUUUCUCGUACCCAUGAUGUGGACACUUCAAGAGUAGUCCAUUGAAUCGCUCCCAAGUUUCGAAAAACUGCUCGUCCUCUCUUUGUGUAAACUCUGAGAUUUCCCUGCGAAUAGAAUUGGUUUUAUGCACUGGGAAAUAUUUAUUUAGAAAUUUUGUAACCAUUUGUUCCCAUGAUGCAAUGCUAUUAGCAGGCAAAGUAUUUAACCAUGAACGAGCUCUAUCCUUUAAAGAAAAUGGGAAUAAUCUAAGUUUAACAUCAUCGUCUGAAAAAUUUUCAUAUUUAAAAGUUUGACAAAUGGCAUGAAAAUCAUUCAGAUGAUUAUAUGGGUCCUCAUUUUCUAGGCCAUAGAAUGUGGGGAGACAAUUUAGCACACUAGGUUUUAAUUCAAAACUCCUAGCAGCUACAUUUGGGUAUCUUAUGCAUGAUGUGCUCAAAUUAGCUAAGGGACUAAAAUAAUCCUUAAAUGGCCUCUCCUGUGGUGCUUGUAAAUCCAUUUUAUUUUUAAAUUGUUUGUGUGUGCGAAGUGUUUUUUCUAAUUCAAGGUCUAUAGGUUCAAGAUUUGGUAAUAAUGACCUACGACCAUGCAUGCAAAACAAAUAAAAUAAAAAUAAAGAUGGGAAUAAAACGAAUAAAAAUAAAGAAAAAUGAGAAAUUACGAUACUAACCUUAUUGCGCUGUUACAACUUUUCUAUAAAAACACACUAAAACAAAUACGUGAAAUAAAUUAACUAAAAAUAAAUUAAUUAAAAAAAAUUACAAAGAAAAAUAACUUAAAAAUUAAAUUGCAGAAUUGUAAAGAAUAGAGAAAGAAAAGAAAUUAUUACCUCUAAUUGCAGAUUCACUUUUUUUUUUCUCUUUUUUUUUAUAAAAAAAUACAAGAAAACAAAUAAAAGAAAUUAUUCACAAAAAUUAAUUCUAUGAAUUAAAAUUACUUACCUCCCCGGCAACGGCGCCAAAAACUUGUUGUGCAAAUUUUAAUGAACUCGCAAGCGCACGAAUCUAUUGUAGUAUAGAUCAAUGGUGACGAGUGUCGAUCCCACGAGGAGGUGGAUUUUAAUUAUAUGUAGAAUUAAUUUUGUAAAUGGGUGGUUGGAAUUGUGGUGGAAAUGAUUUGGAAUAUGCUAAAACUUAAAUUAAAAUGGCGAGAAUAAAUUCUGAAAUUGGAAUUGCAAUGGCGAGAAUAAAUUGAAGUGAAAUCUAUUGAAAUAACGUACUUGGGUAUCCGGAUCCGUAUCAACAUGCAUCAUGGGCUAAAUAAUCCGUAUUAAUGCCAAUUAAAUCAUGAGGGGAGAAUCCACAUCUCAUGAACCACGCUCUAAUCAAUAUGGUGCUAAGGGCUUAUCGUGCCAAAUAAUAAUAACCUUAUACUAGAGAGCCGGUGUAACCAAGACGGUAUCUAGACAAGAUUACUAUUAUUUGUUGACGAGAAGUCAAAACAUCCACAAAAACUAGAGGGGAAGAGAAAAUAAAUUUACCAAAUUAAGCCCAUGACACAUGUUGAGACUUCACCUUCAACCCAAGCUUGAAAGAAAAUUAGCCACUCAUAAUUGAACUAGGGGCAAAAUGGGAAUUUAUUAAAAUACAAAGAAAAUACAAGAUGGAGAAGGAAUUACAGAAAAUGGAUCUCAAAAAUGGAUUCAGAGCUAUCAAAUUAGGGGGGGGAGGCCCCCUUUUUAUAGAUACAUGGAGUAAAUCAUGGCCAUCGGAUUAAAAACAGUUUGGACGCUCAGGAUUGCCCCACGUCAUCAGUCAACAGUCCACGGUUUGACCACGCGGAUGAACAGUAACACAGUUUGACCCGGAUAAACAGUAACACGGUUUGGUUGAAAAUAAUCCUGUGUGAUGCAUGCACCGUACGCGAGAUUUUUCGUCCACUGAUAUGCUGCCACGUCACCAUCAACAGUACAUAAGAAUUUUAGUCCAACAGGAUCGUGACACCUCAUCAGUCAAUGCCACAUCAUCGGUCAAUGCCACGUCAUCGAUCCGUCUAUGUGAACAGUGUCGUGAACAGUAACGUAGACAGUACCGUAUACGUGAAUAGUACCGUACAUGUGAAUAGUGCCAUUUUUCCUUUUAUGCUCCUCCUAAGGUUUUCGACCGUCCUGAGUUCAAAAGUGAUGUCCGUUUUGCUGUCUGAUCUCUCCUUUAUUGUGAAAUGACUAUAAUGCCCCUAAAAUACAUAAAAUACUUAAUUAAAAUAACACACACGUAAUUACAUCACAAAAAGGUUAAAUACAUAAAAGUAAGGGUUGUUAGUAAGACUUGAAAUGUAAAAUGAUGGUUUUCUCCUUUAUAAAUAUGCAUUUUCUAAUACUCAACAGUUCCCAAAUAUGAAAGAUGCUUAGGCCUCCCAUCCAUGAUAGGCCGGAAGAAGAUGAGUUUUUUCAAGGAUGUCAAAUUAAAGGUUUUAAGAAAAAUUUCCAACUGGCACCAUAAAAUGUUCUCUAGUGGUGGAAAGGAAGUUCUUUUUAAAGCAGUCGCUCAAGCCAUCCCAGCAUAUGCCAUGAGCGUUUUCAAGCUCCUGAAGGGGCUAUGUGAAGACAUCCAAAGAGUUAUAGCCAAAUUUUGGUGGGGUUCGAAUCAAGAUAAGCAAGCAAUACACUGGUCGAGAUGGGAAAAAUUAAGUUGUGCAAAGAGUAGAUGGGGGCUGGGAUUCAGAGAUUUUACCAGCUUCAAUCAAGCAAUGGUGGCUAAACAAGGUUGGAGGCUGCUUCAGUUCCCGGAUUCCCUGGUAUCCAAGUUACUGCAGGCCAAAUACUACAGGAACUCCUCAUUCUUGAAUGCAAAGGAAGGUUCUAAUCCUUCUUUUAUCUGGAAAAGCAUCCUUUGGGGUAGGCUAGUUAUAAAAAAAAGGGCAAGAUGGCGAAUUGGGAAUGAGAGCAAUAUUCGGGUGUACAAAGACAAUUGGCUGCCAAGAUUGGAUACUUUCAAACCGAUAUCCCCUCCAACAUUGCCCAUGGAAACAACAGUGGCCAAGUUGAUAACUGAGGACAGCCACUGGAAUGAAGCUAAGCUAAAGCACCACUUUUUCGAGGAGGACACAGAAGCAAUACUCAAAAUUUCCCUCCCCCCAAGCCAUAAAGAGGAUUCCUUACUAUGGCAUUUUGACAAAAGAGAGGCAUACACUGUAAAAAGUGGCUACCAGGUGGCUCUCAAGCUUAAAUUCCCAAAUCAGGCCAGCAGCUCAGCCAGCCCCCCCCCCAAGAUGGAAUAAUCUGUGGUCUCUUAACUGGCCUGAAAAAAUCAAAAUCUUCAUGUGGAGAGCAUCCAAAAACCUUUUUCCAACAGCUGAAAACUUGUGGAAAAGAAAAUGUCUCCAAGAUCCAAUUUGCAAAAGAUGCUGCAGAAGUGUAGAAACCACUUACCAUGCUCUGCUAGAGUGUAAAGCAACGAAGAAGAUCUGGAAUCAUGCUCCUCUCCAGCUGAUAAGAAGCUACGCAGAACUAAUCGUGUAGCCAAACCCAACAGCAAGUACAUGGAAUAUGCAUGGGCACGUCAUUAGCCAUGCAACGUUUGAGAUGAUGAUCUGGAGCUGACUUCUUCAAAUUAACCGUUGCUUAUUUGGAGGAGAUCUUUCAUGCAAGUAUUUGUUUUGGUAUAUUUUGGAAUAAUAGUCAGGUUGUUGAGAUGUUGUUAACGACUUGAUUUAGUUAGCUUUGUUCAAGCCUUGUUUCACGGCUAAGGAAAUUAGUUUUGUAUUAGACUAUAAAUAAGCUCUUUUAUUCAAUAAGAAGAUCAUCAGAUUUUUAUUCCAAAAACAUUAUUUGUGGUAGUUCUCGCCCAAAGAAGAACAAGCAAUUUACUUUGUCAAUUCUGCUAGUUUUGACUGGGACCUCUAUUAGUGGUAUCAGAGCUAGGUUAGGAUGGCAACCAACAAAGAGCGUAUCGAGCGAAUAGAAACAGAGGUCGGAGAUAUACAAGACAAGAUGCAACAGUUGGAGUUGGGGAUCAAUGACAAAUUGGCACACAUUGAGGCAACAUUAAGCAAGCUUGCGGACUCAAUCAAUACUUCAAGAGGGUUGCCAAGUAUCAACAACAAUACUGCAUCUUCACGACUGGGCCGAGAAGUCAGUACAGGAGGGCCUCAACAUUUCCAAUCCAAGGUAGCAAAACUAGAAUUCCCUCACUAUUCGGGCGACGACCCCACCGAAUGGUUCAAUCGUGCAAGUUAGUUCUUCGAAUAACAGGAAUCAACAGACGAUCAGAAAGUGGUUCUAGCGUCAUUCCACUUGGAGGGGGAAGCAAAUCAGUGGUGGCAGUGGCUUCGAAGGUCUUAUCAAGAUGAAGGCAAAGUCGUGACUUGGGAGGUGUUUAUGGAGGAGUUAUGGGCAAGGUUUGGACCGACAGACUGUGAAGAUUUCAACGAGGCUCUCUCACGGGUUAAACAAACCGGUACUCUCCGUGACUACCAGAAGGAAUUUGAACGACUCGGAAACCGUGUUCAAGGCUGGACACAGAAGGCACUUGUUGGAACAUUCAUGGGAGGGCUUAAACCAGAGAUAUCUGAAGAAAUUCGGCUGUUUCGACCGAGGACUCUUAAGGAAGCAAUAAGCUUGGCAAGAAUGAGAGAUGAGCAACUGACCCGACAACGGAGACUGUUGAGAUCACCAAUCCUCACUCGUUCACCAACGGCUCAAGUCACCAACCAACGUGCUUCACCAACAGUACCCUUUAAGAGACUUUCUUGGGAGGAGAUGCAAAAACGCAGGUCACAAGGAUUAUGUUUUAACUGUAAUGAAAAAUUCUCUGCAGGUCAUAAGUGCAUAAAGGCGCAAUUGUUAAUCUUAGAAGCAGAUGAUAACGAAGAGUCCACGGAAACAACGCAACAUGAGUAUGAGACGGAAGAGCACGACAAACCUAAAAUAACAUUCUAUGCUUUGGCGGGUUAGGCUGCUCCUCAGACAAUGCGAGUGAAAGCUAAGAUUGGGCCACACGAGAUUAUUGUACUAGUGGACAGCGGCUCAACGCACAAUUUUAUCAACUCGCGUUUGGCUAAUAUGCUUCAGCUCCCAGUUCAACCGACAUCAGCAUUUCCAGUAAAAGUGGCCAAUGGAGAGAAAGUUAUUUGCCAGGGGAAACAUGACAAGGUACAUGUUUUAAUUCAGGACAUCCCUUUUGAACUUACUCUCUACUCAUUGCCGAUUACAGGACUCGACGUGGUGCUUGGUGUCCAAUGGCUUGAAAGCUUAGGGUCGGUGGUUUGUAAUUGGAAACAAUUAACAAUGGACUUCGAUUGGGAUAAUGCUAAGCGAAGGUUGCAAGGGCUGGAUCCACAAACAAUUCAAGCUACAACAUUAUCUGAAGUUGCCAAAGAUAUGAAACAAGGGCACAACGUGUUUGCUAUAUGUCUCUAUUUAAACAAUGAGGAAUCAUAUACAGUAGCACCGGCCAGCAUGAGGAGUUUGCUAGAGGAAUAUUCCGAGCUGUUCGUGGAACCCAAACAACUCCCACCAACACGGGAAAUCGACCACCAAAUCACUCUUAAAGAAGGAACAGAACCAAUUAAUGUGAGACCCUACCGGUACGCUUAUUUCCAAAAAGCGGAGAUUGAGAGACAAGUGAACGAAAUGCUGUCUUCCGGGCUCAUUCGACCAAGCACCAGCCCCUUCUCAUCACCGGUACUCCUAGUAAAAAAAAAGAUGGCAGUUGGAGGUUUUGUACUGACUACAGAGCACUCAACAAGGCCACAGUAAAAGACAGAUUUCCAAUACCAACAGUAGAAGACAUGUUAGAUGAAUUGCACGGUGCAACAUUCUUCACCAAACUAGACCUCAGAGCCGGCUACCAUCAGGUACGGCUAAACUCAUCAGAUAUACAUAAGACGGCUUUUCGCACACACAAUGGCCAUUAUGAAUAUCUGGUCAUGCCAUUCGGCUUAUGCAAUGCUCCCUCUACUUUUCAAGCAAUUAUGAAUGCUAUUUUUCGGCCCCAUCUUCGGAAAUUUAUAUUGGUAUUUUUUAACGACAUCUUGAUUUAUAGUCCCACGUGGGAAUGUCAUUUGAAACACGUUAGACAGACCUUGGAAAUUCUUAAACAACAUCAAUUUUUUGUCAAGGCUAGCAAGUGCAAUUUUGGCCAGCAAGAACUUGAAUAUUUGGGACACAUCGUCACUUGCCAUGGUGUGAAGGUGGAUGAACAGAAAAUUGCAGCAAUGGUGUCAUGGCCAAAGCCACGGAAUAUUACAGAGCUAAGGGGAUUUUUAGGCCUAACAGGGUAUUAUCGCAAGUUCGUUCGUGGGUAUGGCCUGUUAGCCCGGGCCCUAACCAAUCUUCUUAAGAAAGGACAAUUCGGGUGGAAUACUGAAGCUGCAACAGCAUUUGAGCAAUUGAAACUUGCCAUGACUCAAACUCCAGUACUUUCUAUGCCUAAUUUUAACGAUGUUUUUGUUAUUGAAACUGAUGCGUCCGGUGAUGGCAUAGGAGCAGUACUGCAGCAAAACGGAAAACCAAUAGCUUACAUGAGUCGAGCGUUGGGUAUAACAAAAAAGACUUGGUCGACAUAUGCGAAAGAGAUGUUGGCAGUGGUAGAGGCGGUCAGAUUUUGGAGGCCUUAUUUACUGGGACAACGAUUUGUGAUACAAACAGAUCAAAAAAGCUUAAAAUAUCUCUUGGAGCAGAAGAUAGCAACUCCUGAUCAACAGCAAUGGAUGGUCAAACUCAUGGGUUACGAUUACGAAAUCCGAUACCGCCCCGGCAAGGAAAACGCUGCUGCCGAUGCACUCUCUAGAAGAACUGACAGCCCAACUCUUAAUCAUCUUUUUGUACCGCAGGUGUCACUAUGGGGAGAAAUUAAAAAGGCUAUGCAUGAAGAUGAUUAUCUAAAGAAGAUUGCACAGCAAGUUGAGACUCAACCCGACGGCCCUUACACGGCAAAAAACGGCCUCAUAUUCUUCAAAGGCAGGGUAAUAGUUCCGCGAAAGAUGCGUGACUUAUUAUUAUUUGAGGCCCACAAUACGAAAAUAGGAGGGCAUUCCGGAGUCCUUCGCACUUACAAACGCUUAGCGCAGCAAUUUUAUUGGCCCUCAAUGUUUCAAUCUGUUCAUGAUUAUGUAAGUAAGUGUGUUGUUUGCCAGAAGACGAAGAGUGAAACGCUACAACCAGCAGGGCUUCUUCAACCGUUGCCUGUUCCUUGCCAAGUGUGGGAGGAUAUUUCUUUAGAUUUUAUUGAAGGGCUGCCUAAUUCACAAGGAAGAGAUACAAUAUUUGUGAUAGUCGACAGGCUCAGUAAAUAUGCAUUCUUCCUUUCCUUAUCUCACCCAUUUACCGCUAAAUCUGUUGCUGAAAGAUUUGUUGACGGAGUGGUAAAACUACACGGCAUGCCCAAGAGUAUUGUAAGUGAUCGGGAUCCAAUAUUUAUUAGCAAAUUUUGGAGUGAAUUUUUUACACUGUCAGGCACACAAUUAACGAUGAGUUCAGCCUAUCAUCCGCAAACGGACGGCCAAACAGAGGUUGUUAACAGAUGUCUGGAGCAAUAUUUACGCUGCUUUGUCCACCAGUGGCCACGCAAGUGGAACAUGUAUCUGUCGUGGGCUGAGUUUUGGUACAAUACCACUUUUCAUGUAUCCACCGGAAUGACCCCUUUUCAAGCUCUCUAUGGCCGGCCUCCACCUUCUGUCCCCAUGGAUUCGAUCGGGUCUUCACCGGUUCACGAAGUCGAUCACGCCUUACAGACCAGAGAUGAGUUAUUGCGGCAACUAAAAUCUAACCUUGCUGCAGCGGCUAAUCGAAUGAAACAAACGGCCGACAAGAAAAGGAGGGAUGUCGAAUUCAAAGAAGGAGACAUGGUGUACUUGCGCUUGCAUCCGUACCGGCAAUCUUCAGUUUUUAAACGUGCACAUCAAAAAUUAUGCAACAGGUAUUUUGGACCAUAUCAAAUAAUUCAAAAAGUGGGGCCUGUCGCUUUUAAGCUCCAGUUGCCAGAAGGUGCCAAGGUCCAUUCUACAUUUCAUGUUUCAGUACUAAAAAAAGCAGUGGGAGAUUCGACAGAGAGCAGCACGGAGUUACCUCCUAUAGAUGAUGAAGGUGUGCUGGUUUUGGAGCCUAAAUCAGUUCUGGACACUCGGUGGCUUAAAAGAGGUGGUACUGUUAUUGAGCAAAGUCUGAUUCACUGGAACAAUCAACCAAUGGAAGAGGCCACUUGGGAAGAUACUGUCGUCAUUAAGCAGCGGUUUCCUUCGCUGACCCUUGAGGACAAGGGUCCUCUUUCAUGGGGGAGUGAUGAUAAGAAGCUACGCAGAACUAAUCGUGUAGCCAAACCCAACAGCAAGUACAUGGAAUAUGCAUGGGCACGUCAUUAGCCAUGCAACGUUUGAGAUGAUGAUCUGGAGCUGACUUCUUCAAAUUAACCGUUGCUUAUUUGGAGGAGAUCUUUCAUGCAAGUAUUUGUUUUGGUAUAUUUUGGAAUAAUAGUCAGGUUGUUGAGAUGUUGUUAACGACUUGAUUUAGUUAGCUUUGUUCAAGCCUUGUUUCACGGCUAAGGAAAUUAGUUUUGUAUUAGACUAUAAAUAAGCUCUUUUAUUCAAUAAGAAGAUCAUCAGAUUUUUAUUCCAAAAACAUUAUUUGUGGUAGUUCUCGCCCAAAGAAGAACAAGCAAUUUACUUUGUCAAUUCUGCUAGUUUUGACUGGGACCUCUAUUACCAGCCCAAUUUUCAGAAUUCUCCAAACCAGAGCAUCCUCAGCAUCAUCCAAAAUAUGCCCUCCAAUAUGCGGAAGUCUAAUUUCGAUCUCUUGAUCUCUCUAUGUUGGGUGGCUUGGUAUGCUCGAAACAAGUUUAUUUUCGAAGGUAAGAAGAUAGACCCAAGGCUCUCUGUAGCUAAAGCUGAAGCAGUGAUUGAUGCUUUCCAAAGAGCUAGGAAGCCUGGAGCCACUCAUAUCCAUAACAGCAGCAAAGUACCUCAGCAUAAGUGGAAUCCCCCUCCGAAGAAUGUUGUCAAGGUUAACGUGGAUGCAGCCAUCAACAGCAAGAGUCAAAUGGCAGGCUUAGGAGCUGUAAUUAGAGACUCAAAGAACAAAUUUGUAGCUGCAGGCAUCAUGCAAACUGGUUUGAAGGAGCAUGUCAACUAUGCAGAAGCUGAAGCCAUUGUAUAGGGUUUAAAGCUAGCUAGAAGGGCAGCUCUUUCCACUUUGAUCAUAGAGUCAGAUUGCCUAGAAGUGGUUGAGUUAGUAAACAACAUAAAGAGCAACAAAACAGGACAAUGGUGGAUAAUUGAAGAGAUCCAGAACUAAAAAAGUGAGUUUUGUAAUGUAAUUAUCAAUCAUAUCCCUAGAACCUAUAAUGUUUGUGCUCAUUCCCUAACAAAACUUACUGUGGGAGCAAAUACGCCUGCUGUCUGGUUAGACCAUAUUCCAACAGAGGUGAUGAAUGUUCUGAUUUAGUGUUGUUUUUAAUGGAAAGGAUUACUUUCUUCAAAAAAAAAAAAAGAAUAAGAAGAAAGCAUAAUGCGACCCUCCAACAGCUUAAUCUAUGGAAUUAUCGUGUUUUGUAAGUUAGGGUCCAAUGGCGUUUUGGCACAUCAUAUGAUAGACCACUAUAUUGCGUUGCUUUACAAAAGAUUAAUAUUUUUAAAAUUAUUAGGUAAGUUUAGGCUCAGUGGCACUUUAACUCAUGAUAUGAUAGUCCAGGUUUUCGAGGACCACUAUAUUGUAUUGAUUUAAAAAAAAAUUAAUAUUUUUUAAUAUUAAUAUUCUAAAUUAUAUUCAGUUAAAAUAUUAAAUAUUAAAUACAUUCUUAAUAUUAAUAUUCUUAGACGAAAUUCUUUUGCUGGCUUAAGAAUAAAAUAUUAAAUAAUUUUAUUUUUCUUUUAUUGUGUAACGUGGACCCAAAAAAAAAAAGGAAAUGAAUUUAAUAAAACCUUCAUUCCGCCACCAUCCAUGUUAAUUGUUUCCAAAUUCCAACCUCCGUACUCUCUUGAGGAGUUUCCCAUUCAUCAAUUAUUAUUUUUUAUAAUCCAUACCAUCCUGAUAUAAUUAAACACCAUUAAUAAUGUACCAGCCUUUAAAUAGUAAUUAAUUUAUUUAUCUAAUUCACCAAAUGUUUUUUCCGGUACAUAUCUCCAUUGGUAUCAAGAAGAAGCAGAACCCAAACAAAUGUUUCUUGCAUCUUCAUAUUUGUGCAAAUUCAUCCUUUCAUUGAGAAUAACCAUUUCCAGGCAGCAGUUGGCAAUCAAUUCAUGCGCACGUCGAUGCUAUUCAUAGAUAUUAAAGACAAUGAUGAACCAAAGGUGAUAAAUCAUAAAUGCAUAAUUACCAAACCUCCAUCCUUCUCUCAUUAUGAUUUGAUUUUAAAUGAAUUAUUGCUUGGUAACAUUAUUUCCAACCAUUGCAAGCCCUUUUUUUUUUUUGGGAGAAAUUUCAAUUGAAAGUGAAACCUUUAGACAUUUACCUAAUGAAGUUAGUUAAUCGGGAGGGUGGAAAAAAAAAAGGUUGACGCAAGUCAAUACACAAUAAUUAAUUAAAUCCGGAGUGACUAAAACAGAGCCACGACUUUUUCAAAAAUAUCUGCAUUCAUCACUUUCUCCUCGUUUGUUGUCAUCCAAAAUUAUUCACCAAUACCAUGGCUGAUGCAAUCGUUUCCACUAUCUUGGAGCAGCUGAUUUCCUUCGCUGCUGAAGAGAUAAAACAACAGGUGAUCGAAGUUACACCCCUCAUAUUACAAAUACUUCCAAUGAUUUUAAUUGGUUUUGUUUUUAUCAAAAACAUUAUAUAUUUUUGCUUUAUUUUAUUUAUCUGGUAAUUUUAGAUUUUGAAAUUUGAAUUGAAUUUAAUUAAAAGGUCAUGUAGUAACCACUUAUUUUUAUUUUAUUUCAUUUAUAUUCUCAAUAACUAACCAUAUUUUGGUAACUUAAUAUAACUCUCGUACAUAAGAAAUGAUCAAAACCCACAAUUUUAACUCUGUAUAAAUAUUCAACGUUGAGUCAUUAAUUCUCAACUCAGCACUGAAUCCCAAAGCUAUUACUUAGACUCUAUGAAAAAAUUCAUAGUUUUCUUACAUUCUUUGAGUUUGGUAAGUGAUUUCGUAUAAUUUCUUUUCAAGUUAAAUUUUAAUUUGGUUUAUGAUAUAGUCUCUGUGCCGAAUUGUAUCUUUUAUGAUUCUUGGAUUUUGGGCUCCAACUUUUUAGGAUUUGAUAGUCAUAUUUUAUGCCAUGCUCAGAUUGAUUUUCAUGAUUUUUAGUAGCCGUUAAGUGACUUACAAUUUGACGAAAGUUUGAAAGGAAAAAUGUUUCAGGAUUAUGUUUUAAUUGACCUUUUAGUAGAAAUAGGAUGCUUAUAACUUAAUGUGGAUGGUUCGUAAAAUCAUGAAAUUUGGAUAGGAUUCACUAGAAAUAUGUACAAGACUCUCCAUAAAGUUUCAUAAUUUUUCAUUCGGUAUGGGGUGGCACAGGUGAAACUUGUGUUUGGUGUUGAAAAAGAAGUGAAAAGCCUUACCAGCCACCUUCAAGCCAUUCAAGUUGUGCUCGAUGAUGCAGAGGAAAAGCAAGUGAAGGACAAAGCUGUUAGUCUUUGGCUGGGUAGGCUCAAGUACGCAUCCUACGACAUUGAAGAUGUGUUGGAUGAGUGGAUCACAGCAAGACGCAAAUUGCAAAUUGAGGGUGGCGUUGAUGAAAAUGCUCUUGUUGUUCCUCAUAAGAAAAAGAAGGUAUGUCUCUGCUUUCCCAGCUCUUGUUUUGGAUUCAAACAAGAAGAAUUUGGUUUCAAACAAGUCUUUCUCCGUCAUGACAUUGCCGACAAGAUCAAAGAAAUCAAUGAAGAGCUACAUGAUAUUGCCGCUCAAAAAGACAUGUUUGAUCUUGUUAAGAGUGGCAAUAAAAGUAGUGAAAGACCAAGGCGUGUACAGAGUACCUCCUUGAUUGAUGAGGAAGAGAUUUGUGGUAGAGUUGGUGAGAGGAAUGAACUCAUAAGCAAGCUGUUGCGUGAGAGUAGCGAGCAACAAAAAGGCCUCCAUAUCAUCUCAAUUGUUGGUAUGGGAGGCAUAGGGAAAACUACUCUUGCACAACUAGCUUGUAAUCAUGACGAGGUGAAGAGAAAGUUCGACAAAAUUCUGUGGGUGUGUGUAUCAGAAACUUUUGAGGAGUUUAGGGUAGCCAAAGCGAUCGUUGAAGUUUUGGAUGGUCGUGAAUCUCAUUUAGCUGAAUUCCAUUCUCUUCUUCAACAUAUUUAUGAAUCAAUUGCAGGGAAGAGCUUUCUUCUUGUCUUAGAUGAUGUGUGGGAUGGAAAUUACUUGAAAUGGGAACCAUUCUACCGUUGUCUAAAGAAUGGUCUCCAUGGAAGUAAAAUUUUAGUUACCACACGCAAAGGGUCAGUCGCAUCCAUGAUGGGAUCCACAGAUAUUAUCUCUGUCAAGGAGUUAGCUGAAGAGGAAUGUUGGUUGUUGUUUAAAAAGAUAGCAUUUUUUGAUCGGUCCAUCGAGGAACGUGAAAAAUUAGAACAAAUUGGGCAAAGAAUUGCAGGCAAGUGCAAAGGUUUACCUCUUGCAGCAAAGACAAUAGGGAGUCUCAUGCGUUCUAAACAAACUGAAGAAGAGUGGAAAAGAAUUUUAAAUAGUGAUUUAUGGAAAGUAGAAGAGAUUGAGAAAGAUGUUUUGUCCUCUUUAUUGUUGAGUUAUAAUGAUUUGCCAUCUAGAGUAAAAAGAUGUUUUUCAUAUUGUGCUGUCUUUCCAAAAGACUACGAUAUAAAAAAAGACGAACUAAUCACAUUAUGGAUGGCUCAAGGUUAUCUUAGUGCAGAACAAGAUGAAGAGAUGGAGACAAUAGGUGAAGAGUAUUUUGGCAUCUUAGCUUCUCGCUCGUUUUUUCAAGAGUUUAAGAAAAGUUAUGAUAAUCGGAUUAUAGCGUGUAAGAUGCAUGAUAUGGUACAUGAUUUUGCCCGAUUUGUAAGUCAAAAUGAAUGUUUUUCGAUGGCAAUUAAUGGUAGUGAAGAACCAAACGCCACAAACUCUCUUGAUGAAAAGGUCUGUCAUUUAAUGUUAAUCUUUAGUAAAGGGGCUUCAUUACCUGUUUCCACUCGUAGAGUUAAAAGAAUGCGUACCCUCUUAAUUAGCGCUAGUGGAUCUGAUCAUUCAUCAUUAAAUGCUGAGAUCGUAGAAGAAUUAUUUAGGGAAUCGACAAGUUUAAGGGCAUUAGAUGUUAGCCAGGUGUCUUUGCCUACAGAGAUUUUAAGAAAUAUAAAAAAGCUGGUACAUUUAAGAUACCUUAAUUUGCGUUUUCCGAAAAUAGUGAAACUACCGGAGACAUUGUGCGAGUUAUAUAAUCUAGAAAAGUUAGAUAUUAGUUAUUGUUUUAAUCUUAAAGAAUUACCUGAAGGGAUUGGGAAGUUAAUAAACAUGAAGCAUUUACUAAAUAGAGGUACUAAUUCUUUAAGGUACAUGCCAGUAGGGAUUGGGAGAUUAACGGGUCUUAGGACCUUGGGUGAGUUCCGCGUGAGUGCAGGAGGAGAUGUUGAUGGUAGGAAAGCAUGUAGGCUUGAAUCUCUUAAAAACUUGGAACACCUUCAAGUAUGUGGUAUACGUAGACUGGGUGAUGUAUCAGAUGUGGGCGAGGCUAAGCGAUUAGAACUUGACAAAAAGAAAUACCUCUCUUGUUUGAGACUUCGGUUUGAUAAGAAGAAAGAAGGAGGAGAAAGGAGGAAGAACGAAGACGAUCAACUACUUCUUGAAGCCCUGCGACCAUCUCUGGAUUUAAAGGAAUUAGAGAUACAGUUCAACCGAGGCAACACUGUUUUCCCCAGCUGGAUGACGUCAUUAACCAACUUAAAGAGUUUAGGUCUCUCUUUGUGCGAAAAUUGCGAGCAGUUGCCUCCUUUGGGAAAAUUGCCAUCCCUCGAACAGCUCUUCAUAUCGUACAUGUCGAGUGUGAAAAGAGUGGGUGAUGAAUUUCUGGGGGUAGAAAGUGAUCGUCAUGACUCAUCGUCAUCUUCAUUAGUUAUUAUUGCCUUCCCCAAAUUGAAAUCACUUAGAAUUGAGGGAUUGAUGGAAUUGGAGGAGUGGGAUUAUGGGAUUACAAGAACGGGAAACACCGUCAUCAACAUCAUGCCCCAUCUUUCUUCCUUGGUAAUUGAUAGUUGCUACGAAUUAAAGGCACUGCCCGAUCACAUUCAUCAAACGACGACAUUGAAGCGAUUGUGGAUUUUGAAUUGUGGGCCUCUGGGAGAACGUUACCGCACGGGGGAAGGAGAAGACUGGCCUAAUAUAUCACACAUUCCCAACAUACAUAUUCGUUAAGAAGGAUUUGCGCAUUUGAGAUUUGGCGUUGACAAGUAAUUUCUUCUCUUACUCUGAUUUGCUUUUGUUGUUGUUUUUAAUCUAGUUAAGAAGUGUAAAUAGCAUUUUGAAUCAAACUCUAUAUCAGAAAUCUGCAAUACAUACUUUCUAAUAUUCUGAUUUUCAUAUCCUAUGAAUAUACGAUUUUUAAUUUGUGAGAUGGGUAACGUUACUGUAAAAGAUUAUUAAUGCAAUAUGAGUAAUUCUUUUGCAGGACAAGUGACCUACAUUUAGUUUGGCUUUGGAGUUGAAUAAUAACCUUUCGAGGUCCCGACAAACAAAAAACGAAGCUUAAUUUGCCACAGAUUGCACGUAUUGCCAUUAUUGACAAUUUUCUGCACAAGUGAUCGAGGGUGAGGUCCUGUCCUGAAUAAAGCUCUCGUGACUGAACUUAGGUUGAUGUCAAAAGAGGUAAAUUAUCGGCAUGCCUGACUAUUUUGACCAUUACAUGAUUCAUAAAUUGAGUGAUUACUUUUCAAGGUUUGCUUACUUAACCGGGUGACCAAUUUCUUGUAACUAAAUGUAUGAUAUGAAAUGAGAAGCUUAUUAGUGGAAGGAUUGCCUGUAACAGAACCCAAAGAAAAUGAAACCAUUUCAAGGCAGCAGCCGGCAGUUGGGAGUGAAUGGAGGGCCUUCACAAAAUUCUCAAGCAGUUGCAAUGCAAUUACGAUCAUCCUCAGCCUCAGGUAAUUUCUUCUCCUGCUUUGUUUUUAUUUGUUACCUAAUUAAGAAGCAUUAUUUGUUUUUAUUUGUUACCUAAUUGAAGGACAAGUGCUGAAGAGUGGGAAUGGUGCUAUAUUGGGGAAUAAUGCAGGAGGAGGUAAAUUAUUGGGAGUUUCUUCAACCUUGUUUUCUUUGAACCAGCGCCUGAUCCACAAGACUCCGUUAAUUUGGCUUUUGAUCGGCUGAUUGAUAAAUUUUCAAUUUCUUUUGUGAUAAAUGUAUAUGUGAAGCAGGCAGCAGGACAUGACUGUGGAAAAGAGAAGAUCUUAGUGAAAGCUGAGACUCAGAUAUUUCUACAAAGUAUGUGUUUUGGCUGAUUUAUCUAAUUCAUGAAAUUUUAUUUCCAUCUGUUACAAGAUCAAACUGAAGCAGAACUCAAAGAAAAGUAUUCUACUUCUUACGGCAAUCUUGCCUUCGUUCAGAUUAUGGAACCAUUUCCAUGCAGCAAAUUCAUCCAAAAGUUUGAAUAAGUUUCAUGGUUGGACACUGUUGGCUUCUUUUUCUUUUGGGGUGCAUUUAGGUGCUAUCAAGUGACAGCCGUAAGUAUGAUUGCACUAAGCUGCUGCUGGGAAAUUCGAGGUUUUGAUGGCUGCCCACGUUAUUGUCAAGAAACUCCUCAUGUAAGAAGUUGUAGUUCUUUUCAUCAGCUUGAACCUAAAACUGUCGCUAUUGAUAACUCAGGUUUUUGUUAUCAACUAUAUCAUCUUUUUCACUGUUUUGAAACUCUUUAAGAUUAAACUUCAGUAAAGUUCUUUCAGUUAUCCACAUAAUCAGGCUGAGGAUACUUUAGUAAAGUUGCUUCAGCUAUUCAAAUGAAAAAUCUCAUUGAUUUGAGACUUCCUUCAUUAUUGUUUUUGAUUAAAAUGCUAAGGGUCCAGAUAAAAUAAUAUUUAAUUGGUGGAAGGUGUCCCUUGGAAGUACAUCAUGAUUAGCUGUUGUGCUAAUCAUGCCAAUGCAUAAUUCGGCCCCUAAUGUGGGUACUCUGUUACAUUGUUCUGCAAAUUCUCCAAAAAAGUUAAAUCAAUAAAUUUUGUAUUAGCUAGAUUAGCUCUAGGUUGUGAGGAGUCUGUCAUAUGGGAGAACCCAUUUCCAGAAAAUAUCUGGUAUUUGUUCCAGUCUUCUAAUGAAUGAAAGUUAUGAUUCCUUUUCAAAAAAAAAAAAGAAUUUUGUAUUAGUUCUAGUGCGUUGACCUAAAUGCUAUUCUAUAUUUUAGUGCCUUAAUUCUAGAACCUUGGCUCCUGCCAGAGCAUGCGGAGAUAAUGGUAGGGAGAGUGUUUGUGUAUUUUAACCAUGAUAAAGCUAAUGUUCCCAAUGAUUUCUGCUGGUGAGACUUGUGAAGAGGGUGAAUGAGGCAACUGCUAAUAUUCCUGGGUGGGAUACAGUAACUAGAGGCUGAGAUCAGGUGGUGGAAUUUUUUGUUUGAUCGAUGAUACCAGAAUUGUCCACAAAAAGUUUGUUGAUACAAAUUACAGGUGAUAGAAAGAGGUAUAGGUGGAGAAGAGAAAUCUGCGAGUCAAAUUAGGGAUAAUUGAUUUGCUGAUGCAAGUUACAUUGAAUAAUAAUAAUAACAAUUGCAUGAAGAUCCCUUAUUAAUCUUGUGUUCUCCUAUCUUUUACAUUCAGCUGGUAUACUUAAGCCUUGCUUGUGGAAUGUUUUAACCUUUAAAUUCACUACCCCUGGAUGUUGGAUUUUCUAGAACUUCAAAAUGAUUAAUGGAGAAAGAUCCCAUUAUCGAUAUCGCUAUAAGAAAUUUUAUUUAUACUUCCAAAGAUACAUUAUAUAUUUAUGUGUAUCUCUUUAUACAUGACAUUUAAGCAUCCAUAAACUGUCAGACAGAGGAAGGGGGUUGAGUGUAAAGAUUCUGUUGACCUAGGGGUUGCCUGCUUAAUGUCACUUGUUAGUGAUCUAUUAUUUAUUUCAUAUUUUGAAGAAUUUAAAGGGCAAUCCUGCUUGUUUGUGUUGUUAUCUCCUUCUAACUUACGGUCGUACCUAAAGAGCAUAGUUUCAUAUGUGUUACCCUGAGAUGUACAGAAUUUCACAUUUGCCUCAGAUUAAGCUUAAUUUCCCACAGAAUAGAGCUGUUGUGACUGAACUUAGGUUGAUGUCAAAAGAGGUAAAUUAUUGGCAUGCCUAGAUAAUUUGACCAUUUCCUAAUUCAUAAGUCUACAUUAAUUUUGAUUUUGAGUUGACUGAUUUCUUUUCAAGGUCUGCUUACUUAACGGAGUGACCAAUGUUUUUCAACUAAAUUUAUCAUAUGAUGCAGGAAGCAGGGCAGGAUAUGAAAUGAGAAGCUCAUUGGUGGAAGUAUUGCCUGUAACAGAACCCAAAGAAAAUGAAACUAUUUCAAGGCAGCAGUUGGCAGUUGCAAGUGAAUGGAGGCCCUUGCCAAAAUUCUCAAGCGGUUGCAAUGCAAUUACGAUCAUCCUCAGCCUCAGGUAAUUUCUUCUCCUGCUUUGUUUUUAUUUGUUCUCUAAUUAGGAAGCAUAAAGUAUCUUGAAUCAUUUUCUGUAUCUGGAAUAUAUGCAAGAGUUUCUAAAAUUUUGAUAUGAGUGUAAUGAUGGUAAUUUCUGUUUUCUGUCUGUCAUCAAAUGUUAGAAAACUUUCAUUGAGACCCUUGAACCGAGUCAUUUUUGACAAGUGAAGUGCUGAAGAGUGAGGAGUAAGAAUGGUGCUAGAUUGGGGAAUAAAGCAAAAGGAGGUAAAUUAUUGGCAGCUUCUUCAGCCUUAUUUUCUUUGGACCAGUGCCUAAUUCACAAGUCUCCGUAAUUUGGCUUUUGACCAGUUGAUAGAUAAAAUUUUAAUUUCAUUGGUGCUAAUGUACCCGUGAAGCAGGCAGAGAAGGACUGUGGAAAAGAGAAGGUUUUUAGUGAAAGCUUAAACUCAGGUAAUUCUAAAAAUUAUAUGUUUUGGCUGAUUUAUCUAAUCAGGAAAUUUUAUUUCCAUCUGUUACAAUAAAACAGAAACAGAACACAAAGAAAAAUAGUCUACCUCUUGUGGCAAUCUUGCCUUCAUUCAGACUAUGAAACCAUUUCCUUUCACCAAUUUCUUCCAAAAGUUUGAACACGUUUCAUGGUUGGACAUAGUUAGCUUCUUUCUCUUUUGGUGCAUUUAGGUGCUAUCAAGUGACAGCCAUAAGUAUGAUUGCAUUAUUGGGAAAUUUUAGGUUUUGAUGGCUCCCCAUGUUAUUGCCAAGAAAUUUUAAGUCCUCAUGUCAGAAGCUGCGUUUCUUUUCAUCAGCCUGAACCCGAACCUGUCACUAUGGAUAACUGAGGUUUUUGUCAUCAACUAUAUCAUCUUUUUCACUGUUUUGAAACUGUUAAGAUUAAACUUCAGUAAAGUUGUUUCAGUUAUCCAUGUAAUCAGGCUAAGGAUAUUUAGCAGCUUAUUUAGGCAACUGCCAGAAUUUAGUUUGUUCGCUCGAAACUUGUAUGGUGACAAGGAUACUGGCAAGGAUAGUGAGAUAGUUUUUUGUGUGAGUGAAUUUUGAAAGCUUGGGUGUUCUGGGAUUUGCAAUUGCAAUCAUCCUCUGCUUUAGGUGAUUUCUUCUCCUGUUCUGUCUUUAUUUUCUCUCUAAUUGAAAGCAUUUCAAUCAAAUUCUGUACCAGGAAUACGAAAAAUUUACUAAUAUUUUAUUUCCAUCUGUUUGCAUUGAUAACUUGGCCGCAUAUGUACUAGUUAAAGAACAAACAGAAGCAGAGUUCAGGAAAAAGUUUCUUCGGCCACCAUAUUUGAAAAUGAAACCAAUUCCAGGAAGCAGUUGGCAGCAAAUUCAUACAAAGUAUAGACAAUGAUGUGCAAAAAGGUGAUUCGCAAUUUCAUUUUUUUAAAAUGAAAUUAUUUGUUAAGUUGGAGCUGAUAUUGUUAGAAGGCCAUUGAGCUAACCUAUGACACUGCUUGCCUAGAUUGCAGGAGGUCAAGGCUCAAAAGAUGCACUGAAUUUUAAAAGGCAUGCAAUAAUUCUUAUGGCCAUUUGUCAAUGGUGGAAUGCUUUUAGCUUCUUUUCCUUUCGUGCAUUUUGGGGUUCUAUCAAGCGACAGCCGUAUGUAUGGAUGGAUAUAGCUGCUGCGUUGAUUUCUAAUGCGGUGGAGUAAUCGUCGUUAGAAUCUGAAUGAUAUGUCUAAGACGUUGCAUGCAUCAAGAAAAUUGCAGAUGAUUAAACCUUGCCAUCUAUGCGUUGUAUGAGGUUAUAGCAACUAUCUAUCUGGUCACCGUUUUAAAAGAAUAAGACAAAGGGAAAAAGAGAAAGAAAAGAAUGAUUCGACAAUGGCAUUAAAGUUCAACAUACCCCAAGAUCUUGUAAUAAUGCCAUUAAUCAUUUCUAGCUAGGCUAGCCUUAGAGAAAAGUGAAACUGUUGCACAGGUAGAAUCACACCCCUCAGAGAUAAUGUGUUUUUAUUCAGCUCUUCGAAUGAAUGAAGUUUAUUUUCUCGUCAAAAAAAAAACUGCUCGUUCCGCUGGUUUCAUACAAUGUCAACUAGAAACAUCAUACUUUCGUAUAAGUUCAUUAUUGUUUCUUGGAAAUAUCAGAAUAUUUCUUAGAGUUUGUAUAAAAUGAAAAGAUUUUAAAAUAUAAAUUUAAUAUUUGUUUAUUACCGUUGUUUGGUCUAAUUUCCUCGGGAGAAUUUUCAGAAUUUAUAGGACAUUAGUUUAUAAUUUGCGCAUUGACAUAUAUCUUAUUUUAUCAUUUUGAAUGAAUUGCACGGCGAGGCUUAUCAACUUUGGAUGAAUCCUCCAAUUGUCGCAGUCCAAGACUGGCUGCAGUGAGUGAAAAUUUACCCAUAUAUAUGCUGGCUAUUUUUAUUGGCGACGAAUUCGUUGUAGUUGGUCCAUCUUGCUAUUCUCGGACAAUAUUAGAGAAAAUAAUCAUAUUAUUUCGCGUGAUGUGACCUUCCAUAACUUAUCAAUUGAAUUACUGUAAAAUUAUUGUGUAAGUUUAGGCCCAAUGGCACUUUAGUUCGAUAGCCUGGAUUUAAAAGGAAAACUAUAUUGCAUUGCUUCAAAAAAAAAAAAUUAAUGUUUUUAAUAUGAAUAUUCUUAACUAUAUUCAGUUAAAAUAAUAUAUUCUUAAUAUUAAUAUUCAUAGAUGAAAUUCUUUUGUGGAUUUAAGAAUAAAAUAUCAAAUAGUUUUAUUUUUCUUUUGUUGUGUAACUUGGACCGAAAAAGAAAAUGAGCUUAACAUGACCCUCCUUCCGGCACUAUGCAUGUUUUUCUUUUAUUGAUGACAGUGCUCUUGGUGCUUCUCAUCUGCUUCUUGCUUUGGUUUCAAACAAGUCUUUCUCCGUCGAGACAUUUAUUGUAAUUUGAUUUGGAGACAUCUGUCGUUCAAAUAUAUUUCAUAUGCAAGCUGUUGAUAAUUCUGCUUGAGAAAGCCUACAAAGCAGCUGUGUGAUGUAAUAGAAGACUAUAUAUGCAAACGGUCAUCAGUUUCUCUUGAAUUCUUUCUUGAGUUUCUUUGAAUUAUUUGUGAAUGAGUUCUUAAUCGGCUGCUGCUCUUCAGGAAAAGGAAAGUGUUGCAAACUGGUGAAGCUGAUCGAUAAAAGCAAUGUACCAUCUUUGCUGGCAUGGAUCGAUGCCAGUGAGUUUUUUUAUUUGUCAACCUUUUUAAUAAUGCAUAUGUUUUUCUUCAACUUGAAGCGGCAUAUAAGACGAAAGAAGUGAUCUUUAAAGCAUUCUAUGGCAUUAUCCUUUCCUAUUAUAUAUAUCCAAUUGCUCCAAAUUAUUUGUAAAUUACUGAACACGAAUGCUGAUGAAUAAACUGAUGGCUCUAUGUAUGUAUGCACAUGCAUGGAGAAAUUUUAAGUCAGACAUUCUCAUAUAUAACUCGUGGGACCAAAUCAUUAAAUAAUCUUGAAAUCAAAGUAAUAAUUAAAUACAAAUAAAUUGCUCGAAUUGUACAUAUAUCUGAAUCAUGUAGUGAAGAAAAUACAACAACAACAACCAAUGGCUCAAAUUCCCCAUCAACUUCUAGUCUCAACACUUUUGAGUGUCAGAAGCAUUACUCUGCUACCAGUUAACAAACAUAUAAUUAGUAAUUUGCCAUUCACUUCCCUUUUAGGCCUAACACAUUUUCUAUAAAGGAGCCACAGAGUGAACUCAGCAGGAAACACUCAAUUUCAACCUACGUAGGACCAGGAAUUUCAACAAAAAAAAAAGUGUGCAAUUGCUUAUCCUAUCCUAUUGCUACUAGAAAGAAAGUGAACAAUUAAUUUCAGUGAAUAAAUUAAAAAAAAUUACUUCUGCAGAUACUCAAGCUAAGAACACAUUAACCCAUUAAAGACUCCAAAUUGCAUCAAACAAAUUGUUGUUAAACAAGUAAAACAAAGAAAGAGAGUUAAGGAAGCUGACCUAGUAGUAGGGGAGCUGAAGAAAGACUGCCAGUGAAUGUAAGAGAAAAUAAAAUGCAAGAAAUGGUGAAGUGCAGCUUUUCAUGUCAACUUGAAAUUGUUUCUUCUGUUUUUUGUAAUCUUUUGGAUUUUUCAAACAAAGAAAAUGAGGAGCAACCAGGGAGAUAAAAAGGGCGCCAAGGCAACUGUGUGUUGGGUUUAGAGCCAAAAAAAAAAAAGAAUAAGACAUCGUGUUCUUGUGGAGACCAGACCUAUUACGUAUAGGGAUGGCAAUGGGGCGGGGUGGGGGUGGGGAUGCCUACCCCAUUCCCCACCCCAUUAAAAAUUUUUGCCUCCAUUCCCCACCCCAUUCCCCAAUAAAUUUAGUGGGUUGGGGAUGGGGAAUCCCCACGUGGGGAAUGAUUCUCCCAUCCCCACCCCAUUCCCCAUUUACAUAUUUUAUAGUAGAUAUAAAAAUAUGAUUUCAGUAAAUUAAAAAUUAGAGACUUAAGAUAAAAUCAUCACAAUAUUAUAAAGUAUUUAAUUUUAAAAAAAAAUCUCUAAAAAUUUGAAACAAUAUCUUAAAAUGAUAUUAAAAGUGAAAAAUAUUUAAAGAAAGCAGCACCUUAAAAGAGAAAAGAAAAUAUAUUAAUGUUUUAAAGUUGAAAAAUAUUGUAGAAUUUUCUUUUAUUCAUAUUCUAUUUAUAUUACAUAAAAAUUAAAAAAAAUUAUUAAUUGACAUUAUAGUUGAUAAAAUAUAAAUUAUUAAAUAAGAAUUAAAAACAUAUUUAUAUAUAAUGGGGAUUGGGGUGGGAGUGGGGUGGGGAGUGCAAUACCAAACCCCACCCCGUUAACAAUUUGGGGAUUAUUUUUUCCCCACUCCCCACCCCAUUCCCCAAAAAUUAUUAAAAAAUUUCCCCAUUUGGGGUGGGGCUCCAUGGGGCCCCAAACCCGUGGAGGAUUUUGCCAUCCCUAAUUACGUAACGUCCCCUUCAAUACCACUUGUUCCGUAUCUGGUUUUUUCUUCGUCUUUUACAUAUUUAUCCUGUGAUUUUACAAUAACUAAAUAAUCCCCGCAUAGUUUGCAAUUUUAUUCAUUUGGGCCCUACAGAUUUCAGUAAUAGGAAUUAUUAAGGGACAAGAGCGCAAAACAGAAACUCUGUCCACUACUGAUGAUAUAACAACGAACCUUUGUAGUUUCUGCCUGUUAAUAUGAAUUGAUCAGGAGUGUUUCCUCACUUACAAAUUACGAAUUUACAAAAUAUGUAUGUAAGUAUGUGUGUACGUACGUGUGUAUGUAUGUACAUAUAUGCAUACACCUAUGUAACAUUUACUUAUACAUUCUUUUGAGUUUAAAUCUUAAUACACAUUUUCAUGAAAUUUUUAUUUUAUUAAGUAUACAACUACAUACAACUACAUUAAUGUAUAUAUUUUUUAUAUAAGACAUGCCGUCCUAUUAUUCAUAAGUAAACAAUGUGUUGUAAAUAGUAUUCUGUGUUUUCUCAAAGUUGACUUUUCGUCUUUUAUUUUCAGACGCAGACGCUAUGUCAUUUUGUAAUCUUCAAAACAUAUGCAGAGCAGAAUUGGUGUUAUAUGAUUUUGUGAUGCAAUAAGAUUUGCACUUCCUGUGCACUCAAUGGAAUCAUUUCUUUGUAACUAAUUGGGUGGUGGAAUGGUGGUCAAAUAUCGAACGAAGACAGAUCUAUCAAACUCCAGAAACAGGGAAACCAUGCCACGCUAGUAGACAAUAUGCUAGUAUGAACAAACUUGUUUGAAUGGCAAAAACGACAUGACCUGCUGUAGUAUUAGUUCUUUCCCGAACCAAAGGGUGAUUUGCUACGUUAGAUCAUGAAAAUUGAAAAAAAAAAUUAACCAAAAUAAAAAUUCUUACGGUAAGAAUAAAAAUUCUUAAGGAAUUAGUUAGUUAAUUGAUUGAUCGAAUUUAAUCUAAAUUGGAAAAUGAUAAGAUAAUUUUGAAUUUUUUAUUAUAAUUAUUAUUUUAAAGUGGGGUGGGUUUAUACAAUUUGAGGCUUUGAGCGGUGUAAAUAUCACUGCUGAAUUAUUAAAUAUACAGUGUAAAAUUUUGACCUUUAAAAUAUUCCUUUUUUUCAUUUAGCACUAUAAGUUUAAAAAUUUAACAUUUUACCUCAAUAAUUAAAUACUUUUAACUUUAAUCUUCAAAUAUUUACCCUACAACAUUCGGACCUAAAUUUUUAAUCCGACUCGGCCCCUGACCCAAGUGGGAAGAAGAUCAGGCUUAUAAGUUAUAACUAUCACCAACAUAACAUCUUCUGGAAAAUAAUAAGAUUACUCACCUGCAAUUAUGUGAUCAAACUAAUGGUAAGCAAAAUAGAACAGCGUUAUUUCAGUCCCCUUUCAGUUUCUUUAUCAUUUUUCUUUUCCUAUUUAUAAGCUUAAUUCGGUCCAAUAUCGGCUAAUUCACUUUGAUUUCACUUUUCUUUCUUUCGGUUCAAAAAAAUUGAACCCAUUGGCUGUCAAUUCAAUUUUGUUGAAAACCAACUUUGCCUGAAUUUGAGUAAUAAUAGAGGAAAAAAAAAGUGUACUUAGCAGAAGAGAUUUCUCAUUUUUUUCUCAUUCAAACUUCUAAAAUAAAGGGAAAAAAAAAACAAGAGUAAUUGUUAAUUAUCAAAAAUUUGUUUAUACUAUUCCACCAAGAAAAUUAUAAAAAAAAAAUUUAAAAAUUGGAGAAGAAAUAUGAGGUGAAAUACGUGGAUGGCUUAGACUAAUAAUGUGAACAAAUUCCUCUCGGAAACAUGUCAUUGUUCAUCCGGACAACACGCGGCAAUGAGAUUCAAGAAUUAAAUGAUAGGAAUCAACUGUAACCUCAUAAACAAAUGGCCUUGGAGUUGUAAACACCAAGCUCGGCAGAUUAAUUAAACAAGAAUAUCCGAAUUUUCUAUGAUAAUCUCUAGGAAACGAUCAGCUAUAAUAUACGAAAUUAAAAUAUUGCAUAUAUUUUUGAACUCAUGCAUUAAUUUCAAAAAUUAUAUCGUAUUAUAAUUUAUUCACAAAAGAAAGAAAAAUUCACUAAUCAAUUGAAUAAAUAUAAGUAUUUCAUCCAGUGUAAUACUUAUAUCAAUUGAAUAAAUAUAAGAAAAAUCACCAAAAUUCACUAAUCAAUUGGAUAAAUAUAAGUAUUUCUUCCAGUGUAAUUUUUGUUUAAUAGAAAAUCUAUUUGAGAUUUUGUGAGAAGAAACUCAACAAUAAAGUGUGAUAGACUUUGUGGGUAUUAAGAGUUUGACAAGUAUUUGAAAUCUGAAGUUUACGAGCAAACAAACUGAAAUCCGAAGUUUACUGAAGUUUACUAUCAAGAGUUUCAAAACAGUGAAAAAGAUGAUAUAGUUGAUGACAAAAACCUGAGUUAUCCAUAGCGACAAGUAACAUACUGAAGUAAGCCGUUGGGAGCUGGCCUGUUCAUGGGCUAUUUUUCUCUGAUGAUCUGCAUUUUUCUUCCUUUUAAGUGAACCUUGACUCGUAUCAAACCUGUCAAAAGAACAGUUCAUCAACUGAGCUGAGAUUUGCUUUCCUUUUUCAAAACCCACCUGAGAUAUUGUAAUUCCCAAAUUUCUCUCUCUCAGCUACACGAGCAAGCAGCCGCUUUUUCACUUCAUCGAAGAAGGUAAGCGAUAUAUCUAUUUCGUCCGAUUGAUUUCUUGUUUCCUUUUCAGUGUUCCGGUAAAUUAUUGGCAUGCCUGACUUUUUGACCAUUACACGAUUCAUAAAUUUAUAUUAAUUUUGAUUUUGAGUUGACCGUUUACUUUUACAGGUUUGCUUACUUUGACUAGGUGACCAAUUUCUUGUAACUAAAUUUAUGACGUGGGCAGGAUAUGAAAUGAGAAUCUUAUUAGUGGAAGGAUUGCCAGUAACAGAACCCAAAGAAAAUGAAACCAUUUCAAGGCAGCAGUUGGCAGUUGGCAGUGAAUGGAGGCCCCUGACAAAACUUCAGUAAACUUCAGAUUUCAGUUUGUUUGCCCGAAAAUUGCAUGGUGACAAGGAUACUGGCAAGGAUAAUGAGAUAGUUUUUGUGUGAAUGAAAUUACGAUCAUCCUCAGCCUCGGGUAAUUUCUUCUCCUGCUUAGUUGUUAUUUGUUACCUAAUUAAGAAGCAUAAAGUAUCUUGAAUCAUUUUCGUUGUCCGGAAUAUAUGCAACAGUUUUUUACGAUCAUCCUGAAUGACUACUAGAGACAGUCAAGCUAAUGACUAUAAAUUAAGCGCUUCUUGGGAGGUAACCCAAGCUUUCUAAACUUUAUUAUUGUCAAUUUUUUUUCAUAUUUUUUUCUUUUCUUUUACUUAUUUUAUUUUGUUUUAUCUAGAUUUUGCACGAGUUCGAGGGUCGAUGAACAUCAACUUUCCACAUGUCUUUCAACGGCUUAGCUACAACUUUACAUCUUCAAGUGCAAAACCGGGGGAGUUUCUCUUUUCCUUUUCUUUUUCUUUACAUUGAGGACAAUGUUUAUUUUAAGUUUGGGGGUGGGAAUAUUUGCUUUUCAUUUUUUUCCCAAAAAAAAAAGAUUUUAAUGCCUAUGAUGAGUUUAUGAUUGAAAAUGAAUAUGGUUCUUAGAAAGGGAUGAAUAUUAUCUUAGUUUAUACUUGAUUCUUGUGUUAGUUUCGUCUUGAUUGAGAUUCUUUAAAGCGAUUCUUUUAGAAUUUUGACUUGAGAUUUGAGAUUGAUACAGCCUAAGUUGAGAAUUUUAGAUUGAGUAAAUGAUUGUUUGCCUCGAUUCUACAUUACUUAAGUUUACCCAGGCACCAUAGUCAGAAAUAGCUACCUACAACCCUUAAGAGUGAAGCUAUCCUCGAGUAAUUUGGGCCUAUGUAUCACCAGUAUGUAGAGGAUAAUCUACCAUGAGAAGAAGGUUACCUUAAGGGGUAGAGUGAAAGCUCCUGACUAUGGACAAAGAAAUGAAAAAAAAAAAGAAAAAAAAAAGAGCACGAGCUUCAAGAAAAAUCAAAAGAAAAUGCUAAUUUAUGCCUGAGAAAAAAAAAAAAAGAUCAAGAUGAUGAGGUUAGUUUGACCUACCCUGUUUAUUAUUCGAGACAAGGGCUGUUGAUGUUGAAGAUCUUGAGAAUGAGUUUUGAUUGAAUUGAUUCACACACAACACAUGAAUCCAAUAUGAGAUGAGGCUGACCAUUGAAUUAAAGUUAGAACUUUGCUAGUAUUUUUAAUUUUCUUUGAGCUAUAUACUUUAUGCAAUCUUUGAGGCAUUUUUUAUGAUGUUUGUGGGUAUCAUCGCUGGAAACCCUCACGAGACUAUAACUCGUCCACUAGGGCCGCCUAGGGGUUUAAAGGCUUGUUGCAUACGCUAAAUGCAAUCGCGAUCACCUGCGAAAGUGGUUUAGUUAGAAUUUUCUUUUCGUAGUUUUUAUUUUAGUUUUUGCUCGAGGACUAGCAAAAUGUUAAGUUUGGGGGUAUUUGAUGUGCUCAUAAUUUAUCUAUUAUUUUAAUGCUUCCAUAACUUAAUUUUAUGUUAAAUUAUAUUUUAUUAUAUUAAUUUUUAUCUUAAUUUUUAUAUUUUGUCAUUGUAGGAAUAUUGAGAAUAUUCAUGAGAAAAGAAGCUUAAAGAGGAAACAAGUUGGAGUAUAAUGGAAAUAAUGUGGAAGCAAGAGGGAAAGAAAUAAAAAGCCAAAUCAAAGAAAAUUUAAUUUAAGCAUCAUGCAUGCAGUCACGUGAUGAAUAAAGGAAGAGAAGAAAAGGUCAAUAGGCUUUUAAUUUCAAGCUAGUUACGUAGAGCCCAUUUGACAAUUUAAAUGGCAAGCUUACAAUAUAUUAAAGGAAGCAAAUAUUUUGGCAUUGUUUGAAAAGGCUAUUCACGUGGAUGGGCUUUGGUUUCAAUUUUGAUUGGCUUAGGAAUGAAAUAGGCGGCUGGGCUUUUGUUUUUAAUUCCUUUCAUAAGAGGAUUUGACAAGCCACAACAUUAUAAAAAGGGAAAAGCCAAGCGGAAGCCAAAAAAAAAAAAAAAAUAAUAGAGCAGCAGCCGCAAGUUUUGAGCAAAACCGAGAGCAGCAUGAAUAAUUUGGAGCAGAAGGAAGACACAUUAAUUCUUGAGUUUUUCUUUCUCUCUUCUCUAUUAUCUUAUUUGAAUGUUUCCCAUUAAAUUCAUGGAUUAUCUUUAUAUUCCCAUGAACUAAUUUAUUUUACUAGAGCUACGAUGUCCUAGUGUUUUAAUCUCUUGGUGAUUUCUAUUACUGCUUGCAUCUUUAUUUGAUUUUUAGUUAUUUUAAUUUUUAAUUUAAAUUCGCUUAUUUGAUUGUUCAAAUAAAUUAGGGUUAGGAUAAUUUCGGUAACUAAUAGGAUAUUCAAUCUCAGUGGGAUGAUACUCUACUCUUCACUAUAUUACUUGUGCCGACUAGUACACUUGCUAAUUUAUGCAAUAGUUGACAGUUGGGAGUGAAUGGAGGCCCUUGACGAAACUUCAGUAAACUUCAGAUUUCAGUUUGUUUGCUCGAAACUUGCAUGGUGACAAGGAUACUGGCAAGGAUAAUGAGAUAGUUUUUGUGUGAAUGAAAUUAUGAUUAUCCUCAGCCUCAGGUAAUUUCUUCUCCUGCUUAGUUGUUAUUUGUUACCUAAUUAAGAAGCAUAAAGUAUCUUGAAUCAUUUUCGUUGUCUGGAAUAUAUGCAACAAUUUUUAAAAUUUUGAUAUGAGUGCAAUGAUUGUAAUUUCUGUUUUCUGUCUGUCAUCGAAUGUAAGACAACUUUAUUAAGAUUCUUGAACCGAGUCAUUUUUGACAAUUGAAGGACAAGUGCUGAAGAGUGGGAAUGCAAAAAGUUUUGUUGUUUUUAGCCUUGUUUUCUUUGAACCAGCGCCUGAUUCACAAGACUCCAUUAAUUUGGCUUUUGAUCAGCUGAUUGAUAAAUGUUCAAUUUCUUUGGUGAUAAAUGUAAUUGUGAAGCAGGCAGCAGGGCAUGACUGUGGAAAAGAGAAGAUUUUAGUGAAAGCCGAGACUCAGAUAAUUCUACGCGUUUUGGUUGAUUUAUAUAAUUCGUGAAAUUUUAUUUCCAUCUGUUACAAGAUCAAACUGCAAUUAGCAAUUUAACAUUCCCUUAAAACCACUAGCUACAUUUCAUCUUUGCACAAUUACACUUAAAAUUCCACUAAAAGAAACUCUUGAGUUGCUCGCAAGCUAUAUAUCAUUAUUCAUUGAAUUCUUACUGUUGAUGCGAGAUUCUGGUUACACUCUUCCGGCUACCAGGAUAUCUGCUCGAUCAACCUCACCUCGACUAGGAUCUCUCCUCGUAUGCUUUCUUCUCCAAGUACUCAUGCGUUCACAGAAACAAGUCAGAGCACGCCGGUUGUUUUCCCGGCGUAAACCCUCCGACGCUCAAGUCAGAUAUGAAGGCUUUGGGAACGCUUGCCACAGAUCUUAUGGCUUUGUAAAUAGUUUUCUCUUCUUUUCAAUUUCCUUAAUCUCUCUUCUAAUCUCGAAAUUGCUAACCCUUUUACCUUCGCUGGCUACCUUUUUAUAGGCCACUUCUGAGCCCAGGCCUUUUUCCCUUUGCGCUCGUCAUCCUCCCACUUCUCGAAAGUGGAUGCUCCAUUUCCGUAGUCGUGGGUGGUUGCGUGGCCCUCGUGCCUAGAUUCUCGGACUGGAAAGCAUGCCACGCCAACUGUCGUUGACCGGGUCUUCUCGAAUCAACCCUUAGCAGGAAUACAGCAGGAAUGGCUUCAGGCUUCUUAUAGGAGAUUGGCCUCGCGGAUGACGUGCUCGUGGACGAGCAGGGUAUUCCUGCUCCUGCUCCUGCUCCCCCGGAUGCCAGGCUCUUACGGGACCCAUCGGCUCGCAGAACUCUACCAUCAGAUAUCUGCUCAUCAUGCCUGGUCUCGUCGACGUAUUUCUCCUAAACACCGGUCCCCCAGUUUCUGGUGUUGGGUAAUGUAGUGGACCAGCAGUAGAAACUCGACAGUACUUGCUCGCGUGGGGUUGGAAAAGGCUUCCAAGAGUCAUGUCGCAUUUAAUUGCGGACGAGGUGAUGUGGCAGAGAUCUAACCCUCCAUUUGAAUUUCAAACCAACGGUUACGAGACCCUUGGGAUUUGGUGCCGUUAAAUGCUGGCAACCCAAGAUUUCGUCCCCAUUAGGAAACCCAAAUCCUUUCGAACGACAAAUUCAUCAUUCACUCCGUCUCCAUCUCUGUCUCUCCGGCAAAGAAGUUCCAGCAUAAAGGCCUCCAUCUCUGUCUUUCACCGACUGAACCAUUACUUCAGGUAUUUCUUCUAUUUCCUUAGUCUCGGAUAGUUGUAGAUAAUUUCUCUUCUCUUUUGCUUGGGUAGUAGUUGGUGGUGGUGUUGUGGUUAGAGCUUAGGGAAUGUCGAAAGGCAAAGAGAAUGUCAUUGAGGUUGACGACGAUGAGUUGGACUUCCUGCCUAGUUUGCUCACCGAUCCUGCUUUUGACCCCGGGAUCCCCUUAGAGCUCAUUAGAUCUAGUGUUGGCACUAGCGCUAGGAGGAUGUCCCCCCAAACAACCUCCACGAGUGGAAGUAGUGGUGAGGAGAGACCCUCUGGCUCGGAAGACACCCUAAGUGAGGAUCAAUGAGGUGACUCUGGGGAGGGGUCUUCACCAGGAACACCGCGACCAGAAGGGUGUAGUACAGUAGGAGGUAGAGCCUUGUCGCGGGAUUAUGCCAUUGAUUACAUGACCUGUACGACCACAUUCAACGAGCUGGAUGACCUCCGGCUCAGGUAUAGCAUUCCUGGUGAAAUUCCUCUCAAGAUCCCAGGAAAGAAGGAUACACCUAGCCGGCCUCCUCGGGGAUACGUUACCCUAUUUUUGGAGAGUUUUAGGCAUGGGCUGAGGUGUCCCUUGCAACCCUACUUUGCCCGGAUUCUUAACGGGCUAAACCUAGCUCCUGGUCAGCUGAACCCCAACGGGUGGAGAGUGCUCUCUGGUCUGUUCAUACUGUGGGACAGAUGUUGUCAAAGCGAGCCCACGGUCGACGAGGUGAAGCACCUGUACCAACUGAAAAGCAGCCCCAAAGACGUCGGCUGGUAUUACUUCCAAUCAAGUACCAAGAUCAGAAAACCCAUAACCGAUCUUCUUACUGGUGAUGGUGGGAAUUGGAAGAGGAAGUUCUUCUUCGCAGGGGGUCCCUUGUUGUUUGCACUUCACUGGUUUGUCUCUAAUCAAAUGUUUGUUUGUGUUGCAGGUUCUUGGGGUGUCCACUUCCCGCUUAAACCUGACCAGCUCAAACGAGUCGAGGCUGUACUAGCCAAUUCCUGCUCGAACCGAGAGCUGUUAACUAUAUACAACUUGCUCGAGUCUCGCUUGAUGCUUCCUGGCCAUAGGAUGGAGGACGCUGUGAUUGGGGCUCUGACCAGGAAACGUUCUCGACCUCCAACCACGAAGAGGGACCAGAGUAAGGACGCCCCUACUGCAAAGCGGGCCAACGUCGUGCAGCAGGUCUCUCCCUUGAAGACUUUACCUCCUGCUCCUGUCAAAGUCGGGGAAACUAGUGGAGCAGCCACAGAUCCUGCUUCCUCUUCUUCUCCUGUCGGCACUCGGUCUCGCUUACCUGACAGCCGAUCAGAACAAUUGGUCCCCUAUCUCAAUGAGUUAUCUAACCUCGUGAGCAAGAAUGACAUGGAGGACUUCGAUGGCUGCACCUUGGGUGAGCUGGUGGGGGCCAUGCAGUAUAGCGCUUUUCACCUCAGCUGCAUGACCACCUAUUACAAGGCCAAGGUUGGGCGCUACGACCGAAAGAUGAAGGAGGACAUUCAAUCGGCGACGACUAGAGCUGGCGUUGCCGAGAAAAAGGCAGGGGAGCUGAAUGUUGAGAACCUCAAGCUGAUGGAGCAGGAAUCUCUUGCUCAAGCAAAAGCCAUUACCCUCGAGGAGGAGCUGACCAAGGUCAAGGGGGAUCUGCAAAGGCAGAAGGCCACGUAUGAGGCUCAGCUCGAAUCCCUCCGCGACUCCCACCGGGCUCACGUCGAGAACUUGGAGAGGGAGGCCAAGAACCAGUAUGACCAGGGACUUCGGCAUUCCUAUCGUUGCAUCAUGGCCGUCCUCGGGAAGCAGCACCCUGAUCUGAAGAUGGAUGAUCUUGCAGUUGGUGUUGCUCAACAUAUGGACGAGGAAGCGGCCAAGGAAGAUGCCGAAGGGGUAGAGCCGAUCGUGAUUGAGGGGGAAAACUCUCCUCCUCGCACAAUCCCUGCUGACGUUGGCGAGGCGAGCACCGCUACUGAUGUUGGCGAGGCGCGCACCCCCCCGGACGCAACUGGUGAUACCCCCCCCCCGCACCUGAGGAGGUCCAGCCAACCAAUGCUGCUCGGCUUACUGAUCCGCCAUCUUCUUGAUAUAUUUCUUGUAUUGUAAUGAACAACGUUGAUGGAGAUUAUCUCCUCUGUUAAUUAUUAACACAUAAAUAAAGAUGUUUUUGAUUAUUUUCGUGUUGUAAUCAUGAGUUAUUUUUCGUUUAAUAAUCUGCCCGUCAUCGUCUGGUUGAGCAGGUUCUGGCCUGGCAUAUGGUUUUACCACAUGCCCUAGAAAAUUCUUCAAUGAUUGAGAUUCUGCUCGCCUUCGCGUGGUCGAGCAGAUCCUGGCACGCUUGGCUUCUGUCUCGCCAUAAACAGGCUUUGAGACUCGACGAGCCUUUGCAUGCCUUAGAAAUAUUUUUUUUUUUCGAUGCUUGGGGGUUCUGCUCGCCUUCGCGUGGUCGAGCAGACCCUGGCACGCUUGGCUUCUGUCUCGCCAUAAACAGGCUUUGAGACUUGACGAGCCUUUGCAUGCCUUAGAGAUUUUUUCGAUGCUUGGGGAUUCUGCUCGCCGUCACGUGGUCGAGCAGAUCUUGGCACGCUUGGCUUCUGUCUCGUCAUAAACAGGCUUUGAGACUUGACGAGCCUUUGCAUGCCUUGGAGAUUUUUUCGAUGCUUGGGGAUUCUGCUCGCCGUCACGUGGUCGAGCAGAUCCUGGCACGCUUGGCUUCUGUCUCGCCAUAAACAGGCUUUGAGACUUGACGAGCCUUUGCAUGCCUUAGAGAUUUUUUCGAUGCUUGGGGAUUCUGCUCGCCGUCACGUGGUCGAGCAGAUCCUGGCACGCUUGGCUUCUGUCUCGCCAUAAACAGGCUUUGAGACUUGACGAGCCUUUGCAUGCCUUGGAGAUUUUUUCGAUGCUUGGGGAUUCUGCUCGCCGUCACGUGGUCGAGCAGAUCCUGGCACGCUUGGCUUCUGUCUCGCCAUAAACAGGCUUUGAGACUUGACGAGCCUUUGCAUGCCUUAGAGAUUUUUUCGAUGCUUGGGGAUUCUGCUCGCCGUCACGUGGUCGAGCAGAUCCUGGCACGCUUGGCUUCUGUCUCGCCAUAAACAGGUUUUGAGACUUGACGAGCCUUUGCAUGCCUUGGAGAUUUUUUCGAUGCUUGGGGAUUCUGCUCGCCGUCACGUGGUCGAGCAGAUCCUGGCACGCUUGGCUUCUGUCUCGCCAUAAACAGGCUUUGAGACUUGACGAGCCUUUGCAUGCCUUGGAGAUUUUUUCGAUGCUUGGGGAUUCUGCUCGCCGUCACGUGGUCGAGCAGAUCCUGGCACGCUUGGCUUCUGUCUCGCCAUAAACAGGCUUUGAGACUUGACGAGCCUUUGCAUGCCUUAGAAAUUUUUCACAGUUUCAAGUGAAUGAAAUUCCUCGACGUUCCAUUAAUUGUAGGAUUCAACUUACAUGAAAAUGUUUGGUCGUAAAAUAAAUAACAGCAAAUACGAACAGAAAGAUCUUGAAAAUAUUAACGACUCUUACUGGAAAUAUUUCCUGAGAUGUGCUGCGUUCCAUGGGCGCUUCACCUCGUGGCCAUCCAUGCGAACCAGCUUGUAAGCUCCUGGUCCCACUAGCUGCUUGACUCUAUAUGGCCCCUCCCAAUUUGGACCGAGCACUCUUUGAGUCGAGUCUUUGGUGUUCUGAUUCACUCUCCUUAACACCCAAUCUCCGACCUUGAACUGCCGUAUGUUCACCUUCUGGUUAUAAUACCGGGCAACCCUCUGCUGGUAAAUGACUGAUCGCUCGGCUGCUUGCUCCCUCUUUUCCGUUAGCAGAUCAAGAUUCAAACAUAUCUGCUCGUCGUUCUCCUGUUCAUUGAAAUGAUAUGUCCGGUGCGUGGUCGUUCCUAUCUCAGUUGGCACGACCGCUUCAUGUCCAAAAGCCAAGGCGAACGGUGUCUCCCCAGUUGCUGUUUUGUGGGUUGUUCUGUAUGCCCAUAGCACACCUGACAGCUCAUCAACCCAUGCACCCUUUUUUGCUCCCAGCCUGGUUUUCAAAAGCCUCUUGAUGGUCUUGUUGGCUGCUUCUACUUGUCCAUUCGAUUGGGGGUGAGCAGGCGAGCAAUACUUCAGCUCUAUUCCGAGGUUCUGGCAGAAAUCCCUGAAGCUGUGAUUAUCGAAUUGUCUGCCAUUAUCCGUUACCAGGGCAUAAGGGAUCCCGUAUCGACAGACCAGGUUUCUCCACACAAAGUCUGUUGUUUUCUUCUCUGUGAUCUUGCUAAGGGCUUCUACCUCUAUCCAUUUCGUGAAGUAGUCUAUAGCAACUAUUGCAUGUGUUGCUGCUCCUCGUCCCUUUGGCAGCGGGCCGAUCAGAUCAAUUCCCCAUUGAGCAAAUGGCCAAGGGGAGGCCAUAGAGGUGAGCUUUUCUGGUGGUUGGUUGGAGAAACUUGCAAAACUCUGGCAACUUACACAGCUCCUGGUCUUCUCCUGUGCAUCCUGGUGCAUUGUCGGCCAGAAAUAUCCCUGCCUUAGAACCUUGUGGGCCAGGGACCUCCCACCAGAAUGAUUCCCGCAAAUUCCUUCAUGUACUUCUCUCAGUACGUAAUCUGCGUCGUCCUCAUCCAAACAUCGGAGGAAAGGUAGUAUAUAUCCUCGCCGAUACAGUACCCCAUCAAUCAUCGUGUAUCUUGAGGCCUGGGCUCUAACCUUCCGAGCUCGCAGCUUAUCUGGUGGUAAUACCCCGUCUCUGAGGUAUGAAAUUAUCGGGUCCAUGCACGAGCAUUUUUGUUCUAUCCGCAACACCCCCAAAUUCUGCUCGAUACUUGGGCUGGACUUCACCUCCAGAGGGACCGACUUUGGCAUUUUUGGGUCGGCUACUGCUGCCAUCCUGGCCAAAGUGUCUGCUCGACUAUUCUGCUCCCUGGGGAUCUGUAUCACCUCCACUGCUUCAAAUUUCCCCAUCAUCUGCCUGACUAUCUUCAGGUACUGCUCCAUCUUCUUCUCUCUUGGUUGGAAUCUUUCGCUGACAUGAUUCGCAACCAGCUGGGAAUAAGUUCUGAUCUUCACUCUGUCUGCUUUCACGGCCUUAGCCAAUUCCAAACCUGCUAUCAAGGCUUCAUACUCUGCCUGGUUAUUUGUGGCUCCAAAUUCCAACUUCACAACAUAAGAGAUCUCCUCCCCCUCCGGGCCUUCCAAGACAAUCCCUGCUCCAGAACCCUGCUCCCCUGAUGACCCAUCCACAUACAUCUGCCAUACUUGAGCUUCGCCACUGUCUGUGACUACAUCUGGUCCAUCUAAACAUACUUCGGGCUCUGUGAAUUCAGCUACGAAAUCGGCCAUUGCCUGAGCCUUUAUCGCUGCUCGGGGUUUGUAGUCUAUGUCGAACUCGCUCAGCUCUAUAGCCCACUUGACGAGCCGACCAGAAGCAUCUGGCUUGUGCACAGUUUGACGCAAUGACUGGUUUGUUAUUACCGAGACCGGGAAUGCUUGGAAAUAUGGCCUCAACUUCCGAGCCGCAACCACAAGGGCAAGUGCCCAUUUCUCCAACGGUGGGUAUCUGGUCUCAGCGUCGAGCAGGGCCUUGCUUGUGUAGUAUAUCGGAUACUGAACUCCUUCUUCCUCUCUCACCAGAACAGAACUGGCGGCCCGAUCCGAUACCGCCAAAUACAGAUAUAACUUGUCCCCAUCCCUCGGUGUGGACAGUAGUGGAGCUUGCUGCAAGUAUUGCUUCAAGUUCUGGAAGGCUUCCUCGCAUUCUGGUGUCCAUUCUGUUUUCUUUCCCCUCCUUAUCACUUAAAAGAAUGGCUGACACUUGUCUGUAACCUUGGAUAUGAAUCUGCUCAACGCAGCCAACCUCCCCGUGAGGCUCUGCAUCUCCUUCAGGUUACGAGGAGACCUCAUCUGCACAAUUGCCUGGAUUUUCUCCGGAUUUGCUUCAAUCCCCCUAUGGCUCACCAUGAAUCCAAGGAAUUUCCCUGACUCGACCCCAAAAGCACACUUCUCCGGGUUGAGCUUCAUCUUAUACUUCCUCAAAAGCCCGAAUGUCUCCUCGAGGUGCCUGACAUGUUCCUUCGAGAUUUUGGAUUUGGUGAUCAUGUCGUCCACGUACACCUCCAUGGUUUUCCCAAUCAACGGCUUAAAGACUUUGUUCACCAGCCUCUGAUAGGUGGCCCCAGCAUUUUUUAGACCAAAUGGUAUUACCCUGUAACAGAACAAACCCUGGUUAGUGAUGAAAGCCGUGCUCUCCUCAUCCUGCUCGUACAUGGGGAUUUGGUUGUAUCCCGAGAACGCGUCCAUGAAACUAAGCAGACCGUGUCCAGCCGUUGAAUCUACUAGUUGAUCGAUCUUUGGUAAAGGGAAGCUGUCUUUUGGGCACGCCUUAUUAAGGUCUGUGAAAUCCACACACAUCCUCCACUUGCCAUUUGCCUUCUUUACCAACACCACAUUCGAUAUCCAUUCAGGGUAAUUGACUUCCCGAAUGAACCCUGCUCUCAAGAGCUUCUCCACCUCGACAUUUAUAGCCUCAUACCUCUCCUGAUUGAAGCACCUCCUCUUCUGCCUUACUGCCCGAGCACCUUUCUUUAUUGCCAGCUUAUGACAUGCUACCUCAGGGUCAAUCCCUGGCAUAUCUUCAUGUGUCCAAGCAAACACAUCUGCAUGAGCCUGUAAGCAUUUCACUAACUCCUGCUUUUGCUCUCCCUUAAGUCUCGACCCGAUUCUGAUUGUUUUUCCCGGAUUCUCUGGUCCCAGGCUUACUGUUUCCAGAUCCUCUACAGGUUCUUGUCUGCCAUUCUUGUUUUCCACUCGGGUAUCGAGGGAUGUUAUCUGCAUUGCUUCCCUUGCUGCUGAGGAGUAGCAGCUUCUUGCGAUCCUCUGAUCUCCUCGUACCACUCCAACUACCCCAUUCACCCGGUACUUCAGAGCCAGAUAAUGGUUGGACAGCAUCGCUUUGCUCAUCCUCAGAAAUGGCCGACCUAGGAUCAUCUGGUAAGGACCUUCCUCAUCCACUACCAUAAAGUCCAGUAUCAUUGUCCUUUCUGUCGGGGAGCUCCCAAUCGUGAUAGGCAGCUCGACCAUGCCCAGAGGGACCAGCCUUCCUCCUCCAAACCCCUUCAAGGAGGUAUUGGUGUAAUCCAACUUCAGGUCUGCUAUUCUCAUCUCCUUCAGGGUUGACUUAAACAACACAUCAACUGAACUCCCUGUGUCAACCAGUAUCCUGUCAAACUUCUUGCUAGCAACAGUGGCCUUGAUGACCAAAGCAUCCUCGUGGGGGUAUAUGAUCCCUUCUUCAUCCUCAUCUGUCCACAUGAUUGGCACUUGCCUGACUCUUGCACGUUUGGCUGCUGGGGUGUUGAAGAAUACCUUUUUGCUGGUCAUGGCGUAUCUAGCAUAAUUUUUCCUCGAUCUGUUAGAAUCUCCGGCCAAUGUUGGGCCCUCAGCUAUAACCCUUACUGCAGGCUGCUCGCGCCUCAAGUUCCUGUCACUCUGCUCCCCUUCACUUGUUGAGGCUACCAUUGGGAAGGUCCCAUCUACGAACUCGUCCAGAUACCGAUUUCUCACUAAAUCUUCAACCUGGGUCUUAAGAUCUCUGCAAUCUGCUGUGGUGUGGCCAUGAGUGCCAUGGAACUUACAAUAGCGUCCCCUAUCCCUCAUGCUGGGUAGCUUGGUUAUUGGAGCAGGGAGGUAUAGCAACCCCCGAUCCUUUAUGGCCUCGUACACCUCGUCCAGGGACAUCUUCAAGGAAGUGUACCGCCCAUAGUCCUAGUUCUGGUCGAUCAGGUGUACUGCUCUUUCUCUGUUUGCUCCGUUCUGGGUUGGGGGCGGUGGCAGUACUUCUGGUCUGCUCCCUCUGCUACCGUGGGAGUGUUGAUGAGCACCAUAUGAUGAAUCAUGCCUUCUCCAAGGCUCCCUAGCUGUGGAACGAGGAGGCUGCGCCCUGCUGCGCUGAUACUGUGGUGGGCUCUGAUGAGGCUGGUAAGCAAUUACCCGACCUCCUGCUCCAUUACCCGAGGCCUGGUGGUCCCUCCUCCUGAUCGGCCCAUUCCCCGGUAAUGCUUUCUUCUCUUUCCUCCCCAACCCUUCUAACUGGUCUAUCUUAAUUCGUGCUGCCUUCUCCUCUUCAAUCUCAAUGUCUCUCUUAGCCUGCUCGUAUGCGGCCGCAUACGUCUGGAUAGCUGGGCUUCUCAAAUUGUACCACAGCCUUCCUAUCUUCACCCUUUCUUUCAAUCCCCUUAACGCCUGAGGGUGGUUGAAGGCUCCCAAGUCGAGGACAGCCCGAUGAAACCUCUUGAUGAAUUCCCGAAGGGUUUCUUGCUCCCCCUGUUUCAUGCUUUUCAGCUCCAUCAUGUCAUCUUCUGGGGCCAUUGCCCCACUAAACUGCUCUGCGAAUUCCUGGCACAUCUGCUCGAAGGUUUUAAUGCUGCCCCGAGGAAGUUUCCUGUACCACUCGCGUGCACGUCCCUCCAGGGAUAGUGGAAACACCCUGCACCUUUGGGGCUGAGAUAAUCCUUGUACCCCCGUUAUGUCAUUGAAGCGUUCUAUGUGCACCAGCGGAUCAGUUCGUCCCGAAUAUCUAAGGUCCGGGAGACGGAAAUCCCUCGGAAUAAUUGCCCUCAUGAUCUCUGCUGCGAGCAGUGAUUCUCCGUCCAGCAUUAUCCUCCAACCAGGAGCUCUGCUCCUUCCUUGCAUAUCGUCAAUUAUCUGCGCUAGUCUGCGCACUUCCUCCUCCAGCUGUACUGCACGACCAGGGUCACGUGCUGCAACUUGAUCCCUCUCUUGCUCUACAUCAUGCAAGUGUUGCCUCAACUCUGUUUCUUCUGCAUUCGCCACCCCGUCGUCCUCGUAAAAAAUCUGUCUUGCCGGGGAUUGCUCUUCUUCUCUAUGAAAUUCUCCCCGUAGAGGUAUGUUACCUCUCUCACCACUAAAUCUCCCGGUGGUUUGACUUCUCCUCGUACCAUCGGGACCUGGUGUCACUCCACCACCUCUCACCAUUUCCUCCUGGGUUACCCUUCGUUCACUCCGCAACUCAUGCAGGAUGGUUGUCAGGGUCUCCAUCUGCUUUUCCAUCCGUUCCAUCCGGUCGAACAUGGCUUUUUCCCGUGCUUCGCUGGCUAUCUCCCUCAGCGUUACAGAAUCGUUAAGCCUCAUAUCACCCCCUUGUGCACUACUUCCUCCUGCCUCCAUUGCUUUUCACUUGCUUCACUCCUCUUCUUGCUAUCAACAGAAGCUUUUUGCUCAGCUCCCCACAGACGGCGCCAAAAUGUUGAUGCGAGAUUCUGGUUACACUCUUCCGGCUACCAGGACAUCUGCUCAAUCAACCUCACCUCGACCAGGAUCUCUCCUCGUAUGCUUUCUUCUCCAAGUACUCCUGCGUUCACAGAAACAAGUCAGAGCACGCCGGUUGUUUUCCCGGCGUAAACCCUCCGACGCUCAAGUCAGAUAUGAAGGCUUUGGGAACGCUUGCCACAGAUCUUAUGGCUUUGGAAAUAGUUUUCUCUUCUUUUCAAUUUCCUUAAUCUCUAUUCUAAUCUCGAAAUUGCUAACCCUUUUACCUUCGCUGGCUACCUUUUUAUAGGCCACUUCUGAGCCCAAGCCUUUUUCCCUUUGCGCUCGUCAUCCUCCCACUUCUCGAAAGUGGAUGCUCCAUUUCUGUAGUCGUGGGUGGUUGCGUGGCCCUCGUGCCUAGAUUCUCAGACUGGAAAGCAUGCCACGCCAACUGUCGUUGACCGGGUCUUCUCGAAUCAACCCUUAGCAGGAAUACAGCAGGAAUGGCUUCAGGCUUCUUACAGGAGAUUGGCCUCGCGGAUGACGUGCUCGUGGACGAGCAGGGUAUUCCUGCUCCUGCUCCUGCUCCCCCGGAUGCCAGGCUCUUACGGGACCCAUCGGCUCGCAGAACUCUACCAUCAGAUAUCUGCUCAUCAUGCCUGGUCUCGUCGACGUAUUUCUCCCAAACACUUACCACAUAUAUGUCACCUUUCAAUCAAUUGUUGAAAAAUUCAAAUUUGGAAUUCAAAUACAUGCAUUCAAAUUUGGAACACUUUGAACGGUCCGAUUCAAAACUUCAUAUUCCAAUUAUAUUCAUAAGACAAAUGGAACACUUUGAACGGCUUGUGUCCGAGCAUUGUAGUUUGAUUUAUUUUGAUGACAUUACCUUUUGACAUUGAGAUUCUUUCAGGAUUUAAACAUUCUUUUUAAAACCAAAUUAUUAAAAAAAAAUAACUAACAUAUAUUAUUUUAUUAGUGCUUUUUAAAUCAAAUAUACAUAGGAGAACUGUAAUUCUUAGCAAUCAAUUUUCCACUAAAUACACCUGCAACAAACUAUUAAUAACAAAGUGAUAGAAAAUACCUGAUUUUUCAUACUUUCUAAUUUCUUUUGGUCCUAAAAUAUGGGCAUUUGUGUAAUAAUAAGCCCAUGUGGAUCUCUAUGCCAUGAGUUUGAUAAAUAGCUAUCAAGGAUCACUUAUUAAGCUAAAAAUAUUUGGAGGACAAAAUUGUAAAACUAAAAGGGUGGAGCAAAUAUGGCUAUCUAGGAUUAAAUAGUAAGUCAACUAUAUUUAAAGGAUAAAAUAUUAAAACUUGAAUUGUGAUAUUAAAAAUAUCUCAACUAUUAUAUUAUUAAACCAUAUGUUCUAAUAGUUUUUUUUUUAAGCUUCAAAAUGUUCAGGAUUUUAGAUUGAAACAUUUUCAAUUGAAAUAAUUUGGUGCAGUCACAAGUUAAGAAAGAAAAAGUUGUCCCAUUGGUCAUUUCACAAAAAUGAAAGCCCUGUAUAACAUGGACGUGAAUGGAAACCCAAUUGUUUGUGUUUGAUUAAUUGAUUUCAAGCUUUAUCUAACCUUUGGACCUGGAUACUUUACUGCGGCCUCUAAGCGCUAUAAAUUUUUUUGGGGAUAAACGGCGCUUCAAUGAGGGCAUCUCCAAUGCUUAACACCAUUUUGGUGUAACACCAACAUUAAAAAUAUACAUUUUUCACACUAAAUUACUAUUUCAUCUCCAACCCAUUUACACCAAAUUUUACACCAAAAAUAAUAUUUUUUUUAUUCUUUUAAUUCUCAAGAAUUAAUUCAAUUAACACAAUAAAUACUACUAUUAACAUAGAUAAUUAAGUAAUAAGUAAUUUUAUCAAUUAACAAAAAAAAUAGAAAAUUAUUAAAUUUGCAUUUAAUUAACUAAAUUAGUACAUUAUGAAAAUUAAACAUUACAUUAAUAUAGAAAAAUACAAUAAAAAUAAUAAUAAUUUUAUAUCUAAUAUUUUGAUGAUAUUGGAGGAUCUAAUAAUGAUCUUCCAGAUUAUUAAAUAAUUGUUCUAAUUUAUACUAGUAGUAGUAGCUUUUUUAAUUUGUGUUAAUUUAAUUUUGUAAUAUGUAAUAUAGUAAUUAAUGUUAUUGGCAUUUUAUUUUUAUUAUUAAUUUUUGUGUUGAAUUUUUUUAUUUAAAAUAUUAGUAUAAUAUUAAAAAAUUAAAAAUGAAAUAAAUAAUAACAAAAAUAAUAAUAAUAACUUAAAAUAUUAUAUAAAAAAGGACAUAUAUGUAAAUAAGAAAAAGUAAUAAAGAUAUUUAGGACUCUUUUUUCCUAGCACCAAAUGAAUAGUGUUACACCAUAUUUGGUGCAAUACUAUUCAUAACACCAAUUUGCUGUUCGUUUUGAUGUUACAUUGGAGAAGCAUUUUACACAAAAAAUGGUGUAAAAGGUAGUUUGGUGUUAGUUUUGGUGUCACAUUGGAGAUGGCCUGGAAAAACACUUGAAAACUUUGGAUUUUUGGUUCGUCCAGUUACGGUGUUAUGCUAAUGGGGUUAAAAGUUCCGAUCCAAUGAGUUAGGAUGGAAUAUGAAUAUAUAAAUUCCAUAGCAUGUAAGGACUAGGAUUUGUUUGUUCAUAUCAAGAAAAAAAAGAUCCGAAAAUUUGAUGAUCAGAAGAUGAAGACACGUUUAUUACAGAGAAACAAACGACAACAUGAUACUAGUAGUAGUUAUUCUUUUCAUCCGAUAUAUUACAUGGUAAUAUCACUACUCGUUCCACUGGUUUCAUAUACACCAUCGAUCAGCAACAUGAUAAUUUUGUGUCAGUUCAUUUUGUUUGUAGGAAAGAGCAGUGUAUUUCUUAGAGCUUGAAAAUAAUAAAAAGAUUUUAAAAUAUAAAUUGCAUAUUUGUUUAUUACAGUUGUUUGGUCUAAUUUCUUAUGUAGAAUUGCUUGUCAUUCUUUGGACGUUAUUGAUUAUAUUUUUGUCAGACUUGGCGUAUAUAUUCACACAUACGUUUUAUUUUGUCAUUUUGUAGAACAUUUUUACACGCCAUAUUAUCACGACUCUUCUCUGUCUGAAUAAGAAGAAAGCAUAAUGCGACCCUCCAAUAGCUUAAUCUAUGGAAUUAUCGUGUUUUGUAAGUUGAGGUCCAAUGGCGUUUUGGCACAUCAUAUGAUAGCCCACUAUAUUGCGUUGCUUUACAAAAGAUUAAUAUUUUGAAAAUUAUUAGGUAAGUUUAGGCUCAGUGGCACUUUAACUCAUGAUAUGAUUGUCCAGGUUUUCGAGGACCACUAUAUUCUAUUGAUUUAAAAAAAAUUAAUAUUUUUUAAUAUUAAUAUUCUAAAUUAUAUUCAGUUCAAAUAUUAAAUAUUAAAUACAUUCUUAAUAUUAAUAUUCUUAGAUGAAAUUCUUUUGCUGACUUAAGAAUAAAAUAUUAAAUAAUUUUAUUUUUCUUUUAUUCUGUAACGUGGACCCAAUAAAAAAAGGAAAUGAAUUUAAUAAAACCUUCAUUCAAAAUCUUCAUUCCGCCACCAUGCAUGUUAAUUGUUUCCAAAUUCCAACCUCCGUACUCUCUUGAGGAGUUUCCCAUUCAUCAAUUAUUAUUUUUUAUAAUCCAUACCAUCCUGAUAUAAUUAAACACCAUUAAUAAUGUACCAACCUUUAAAUAGUAAUUAAUUUAUUUAUCUAAUUCACCAAAUGUUUUUUCCGGUACAUAUCUCCAUUGGUAUCAAGAAGAAGCAGAACCCAAAGAAAUGUUUCUUGCAUCUUCAUAUUUGUGCGAAUUCAUCCUUUCAUUGAGAAUAACCAUUUCCAGGCAGCAGUUGGCAAUCAAUUCAUGCGCACGUCGAUGCUAUUCAUAGAUACUAAAGACAAUGAUGAACCAAAGGUGAUAAAUCAUAAAUGCAUAAUUACCAAACCUCCAUCCUUCUCUCAUUAUGAUUUGAUUUUAAAUGAAUUAUUGCUUGGUAACAUUAUUUCCAACCAUUGCAAGACCUUUUUUUUGGAGAAAUUUCAAUUGAAAGUGAAACCUUUAGACAUUUACCUAAUGAAGUUAGUUAAUCGGGAGGGUCGGAAAAAAAAAGUUGACGCAAGUCAAUACACAAUAAUCAAUUAAAUCCGGAGUGACUAAAACAGAGCCACUACUUUUUAAAAAAUAUCUGCAUUAAUCACUUUCUCCAGCAACUAGUCAGCUACACACGAAUCAAUUUCUCUCCUCGUUUGUCAUCCAAAAUUAUUCACCAAUACCAUGGCUGAUGCAAUCGUUUCCACUAUCUUGGAGCAGCUGAUUUCCUUCGCUGCUGAAGAGAUAAAACAACAGGUGAUCGAAGUUUCACCCCUCAUAUUACAAAUACUUCCAAUGAUUUUAAUUGGCUUUGUUUUUAUCAAAAACAUUAUAUAUUUUUGCUUUUUUUUUAUUUAUCUGAUAAUUUUAUAUUUUGAAAUUUGAAUUGAAUUUAAUUAAAAGGUGAUGUAGUAACCACUCAUUUUUAUUUUAUUUCAUUUCUAUUCUCGAUAACUAACCAUAUUUUGGUAACUUAAUAUGACUCUCGUACAUAAGAAAUGAUCAAAACCCACAAUUUUAACUAUGUAUAAAUAUUCAACGUUGAGCUAAGGUUUUGCAGAACAUUCAAGUUUAUCAAAUAGUCAUUAAUUUAAUGUUUUAGUAAAACCUCAACUCAUCACUGAAUCCCAUAGCUAUUACUUAGACUCUAUGAAAAAUUUCAUAGUUUUCUUACAUUCUUUCAGUUUGGUAAGUGAUUUCAUAUAAUUUCUGUUCAAUAUAAAUUUUAAUUUGGUUUCUUAUAUACUCUCUUUGCUGAAUUUGUAUCUUUUAUGAUUCUUAGAUUUUGGGCUCUAACAUUUUAGGAUUUGAUAGUCACAUUUUAUGCCAUGCUUAGAUUGAUUUUCAUGAUUUUUACUACCCAUUAAGUGACUUAGAAUUUGACAAAAGUUUGAAAGGAAAUCUGCUUCAGGAUUCUGUUUUAAUUGACCUUUUAGUGGAAAUAGGAUGCUUAUAACUUAAUGUGGAUGGUUCGUAAAAUCAUGAAAUUUGGAUAGAAUUAACUAGAAAUAUGUACAAGACUCUCCAUGAAGUCUCAUAAUUUUUCAUUCGGUCUGGGGUGGUACAGGUGAAACUUGUGGUUGGUGUUGAAAAAGAAGUGAAAAGCCUUACCAGCCAUCUUCAAGCCAUUCAAGUUGUGCUCGAUGAUGCAGAGGAAAAGCAAGUGAAGGAAAAAGCUGUUAGUCUUUGGCUGGGUAGGCUCAAGUAUGCAUCCUACGACAUUGAAGAUGUGUUGGAUGAGUGGAUCACAACAAGACGCAAAUUGCAAAUUGAGGGUGGCAUUGGUGAAAAUGCUCUUGUUGUUCCUCAUAAGAAAAAGAAGGUAUGUCUCUGCUUUCCCGGCUCUUGUUUUGGAUUCAAACAAGAAGAAUUUGGUUUCAAACAAGUCUUUCUCCGUCAUGACAUUGCCGACAAGAUCAAAGAAAUCAAUGAAGAGCUACAUGAUAUUGCCGCUCAAAAAGACAUGUUUGAUCUUGUUAAGAGUGGCAAUAAAAGUAGUGAAAGACCAAGGCGUGUACAGAGUACCUUCUUGAUUGAUGAGGAAGAGAUUUGUGGCAGAGUUGGUGAGAGGAAUGAACUCUUAAGCAAGCUGUUGUGUGAGAGUAGCGAGCAACAAAAAGGCCUUCAUAUCAUCUCAAUCGUUGGUAUGGGAGGCAUAGGGAAAACAACUCUUGCACAACUAGCUUGUAAUCAUGACGAGGUGAAGAGAAAGUUCGACAAAAUUCUGUGGGUGUGUGUAUCAGAAACUUUUGAGGAGUUUAGGGUUGCCAAAGCGAUCGUUGAAGUUUUGGAUGGUCGUGAAUCUCAUUUAGCUGAAUUCCAUUCUCUUCUUCAACAUAUUUAUGAAUCCAUUGCAGGGAAGAGCUUUCUUCUUGUCUUAGAUGACGUGUGGGAUGGAAAUUACUUGAAAUGGGAACCAUUCUACCGUUGUCUAAAGAAUGGUCUCCAUGGAAGUAAAAUUUUAGUUACCACACGUAAAGGGUCAGUCGCAUCCAUGAUGGGAUCCAUAGAUAUUAUCUCCGUUAAGGAGUUAGCUGAAGAGGAAUGUUGGUUGUUGUUUAACAAGAUAGCAUUUUUUGAUCGGUCCAUCGAGGAACGUGAAAAAUUAGAACAAAUUGGGCAAAGAAUUGCAGGCAAGUGCAAAGGUUUACCUCUUGCAGCAAAGACAAUAGGGAGUCUCAUGCGUUCUAAACAAACUGAAGAAGAGUGGAAAAGAAUUUUAAAUAGUGAUUUAUGGAAAGUAGAAGAGAUUGAGAAAGAUGUUUUGUCCUCUUUAUUGUUGAGUUAUAAUGAUUUGCCAUCUAGAGUAAAAAGAUGUUUUUCAUAUUGUGCUGUCUUUCCAAAAGACUACAAUAUAGAAAAAGACAAACUAAUCACGUUAUGGAUGGCUCAAGGUUAUCUUAGUGCAGAAGAAGAUGAAGAGAUGGAGACAGUAGGUGAAGAGUAUUUUGGCAUCUUAGCUUCUCGCUCAUUUUUUCAAGAGUUUAAGAAAAGUUAUGAUAAUCGGAUUAUAGAGUGUAAGAUGCAUGAUAUGGUACAUGAUUUUGCCCGAUUUGUAAGUCAAAAUGAAUGUUUUUCGAUGGCAAUCAAUGGUAGUGAAGAACCAAACGCCACAAACUCUCUUGAUGAGAAGGUCCGUCAUUUAAUGUUAAUCUUUAGUAUAGAGGCUUCAUUACCUGUUUCCACUUGUAGAGUUAAAAGAAUUCGUAGCCUCUUAAUUAACGAUAGUAGAUCUGAUCAUUCAUUAUUAAAUGGUGAGAUCCUAGAAGAAUUAUUUAGGGAAUUGACAAGUUUAAGGGCAUUAGAUUUUUGCAAAUCGUAUAACGCAAGUUGGUCUUCGACUCUGGAGAUUCCGAGAAACAUAGAAAAGCUGGUACAUUUAAGAUACCUUAAUUUGUCUUAUCAGGGAAUAAAGAAACUACCGGAGACAUUAUGCGAGUUGUAUAAUCUAGAAAAGUUAGAUAUUAGUUAUUGUUAUAAGCUAGAAGAAUUACCUGAAGGGAUUGGGAAGUUAAUAAACAUGAAGCAUUUACGAAAUAGAGGUACUAGUUCUUUAAGGUACAUGCCAGUAGGGAUUGGGAGAUUAACGGGUCUUAGGACCUUGGGUGAGUUCCACGUGAGUGCAGGAGGAGGUGUUGAUGGUAGGAAAGCAUGUAGGCUUGAAUCUCUUAAAAACUUGGAACACCUUCAAGUAUGUGGUAUAUGUAGACUGGGUGAUGUAUCAGAUGUGGGCGAGGCUAAGCGAUUAGAACUUGACAAAAAGAAAUACCUCUUCAGUUUGACCCUCGAGUUUGAUAAGACGGAAAGAGGAGGAGAAAGGAGGAAGAACGAGGACGAUCAACUUCUUCUUGAAGCCUUGCGACCACCCCUGGAUUUAAAGGAAUUAGAGAUACGGUACUACCGAGGCAACACUGUUUUCCCCAGCUGGAUGGCGUCAUUAACCAACUUAAAGAGUUUACAUCUCCAUAGGUGCGAAAAUUGCGAGCAGCUGCCUCCUUUGGGAAAAUUGCCGUCCCUUGAAAAUCUCUACAUAUGGCGCAUGGAGAGUGUGAAGAGAGUGGGUGAUGAAUUUUUGGGGAUAGAAAGUGAUCAUCAUGACUCAUCGUCAUCUUCAUCAGUUACUAUUGCCUUCCCCAAAUUGAAAUCACUCACAAUUUAUUCGAUGCUGGAAUUGGAGGAGUGGGAUUAUGAGAUUACAAGAACAGGAAACACCGUCAUCAACAUCAUGCCACGUCUUUCUUCCUUGACAAUUGUUGAUUGCACCACAUUAAAGGCACUGCCCGACCACAUUCAUCAAACGACAACGUUGAAGGAAUUGAGCAUUUUUAUGUGUUGGCUUCUGAACAAACGUUACCGCAAGGGGAAAGGAGAAGACUGGCCUAAAAUAUCACACAUUCCCAACCUCCGUAUUGGGCUUUGACAAGUAAUUUCUUCUCUCACUCUGAUUUGCUUUGUUGUUGUUUUUAAUCUAAUUAAGAAGCGAAAAUAGCAUUUUGAAUCAAACUCUAUAUCAGAAAUCUGCAAUACUUACUUUCUAAUAUUCUGAUUUUCAUAUCCUAUGAAUAUACGAUUUUUAAUUUGUGAGAUGGGUAACGUUACUGUAAAAGAUUAUUAAUGCAAUAUGAGUAAUUCUUUUGCAGGACAAGUGACCUACAUUUAGUUUGGCUUUGGAGUUGAAUAAUAACCUUUCGUGGUCCCGACAACCAAAAAACAAAGCUUAAUUUGCCACAGAUUGAACGUAUUGCCAUUAUUGACAAUUUUCUGCACAAGCGUGACUGAACUUAGGUUGAUGUCAAAAGAGGUAAAUUAUUGGCAUGCCUGACUAUUUUGACCAUUACAUGAUUCAUAAGUUUACAUUAAUUUUGAUUUUGAGUUGAGUGAUUAGUUUUCUAGGUUUGCUUACUUUAACUGGGUGACCAAUUUCUUGUAACUAAAUGUAUGAUGUGAUGCAGGAAGCAGGGCAGGAUAUGAAAAGAGAAGCUUAUUAGAGGAAGGAUUGCCAGUAACAGAAUCCAAAGAAAAAGAAACCAUUUCGAGGCAGCUGUUGGCAGUUGGCAGUGAAUGGAGCCCCUUGAAAAAAUUCCCAGGCCGUUGCACUGCAAUUACGAUCAUCCUCGGCCUCAGGUAAUUUCUUCUCCUGCAUUUUUGUUAUUUGCUAUCAAGUGACUAUUUUAAGUAUGAUUGCAUUAAGCUUCUGCUGGGAAAUUUGAGGUUUUGAUGACUGCCCAUGCUAUUGUCAGAAGCUGCGGUUCUUUUCAUCAGCCUGAACCUGGACCUGCCGCUAUGGAUAACUCAGGUUUUUUUUUUUUUUUUAAUCAACUGCCAUCUUUUCCACUGUUUAGAAACUCUUAAGAUUAAACUUUAGUAAAGUUGUUUUAGUUAUCCAUGUAAUCAGGCUGAGGAUACUUAGCUGCCUAUUUAGGCAAAUGUCAGAAUUUAGUUUGUUCGCUGGGAACUGGUGUGGACUGGCAAAGGAUGAUGAGAUAGUUUUUUGAGUGAGUAAAUUUUGGGAGCUUGAGUGUAUUGGGAUUUGCAAUUACAAUCAUCGUCUGCCUCAGGUGAUUUCUUCUCCUGCUCUGUCAUUGUUUGUUCUCUAAUUCAAAAGCAUAAAAUAUUUCAAUCAAUUUUUAUGCCAGGAAUAUGCAAAAGUUUCUAAUAUUUUAUUUCCAUCUGUUACAAGAUCAAACUGAAGCAGAACUCAAACAAAAGUAUGCUACUUCUUGCGGAAAUCUUGCCUUUGUUCAGAUUAUGAAACCAUUUCCAUGCAGCAAAUUCAUCCAAAAGUUUGAAUAAGUUUCAUGGUUGGACACUGUUGGCUUCUUUUUCUUCUGGGGUGCAUUUAGGUGCUAUCAAGUGACAGCUGUAAGUAUGAUUGCACUAAGCUGCCGCUGGGAAAUUUGAGGUUUUGAUGGCUGCCCAUGUUAUUUUCAAGAAACUAUUGAUGUAAGAAGCUGUGGUUCUUUUCAUCAGCUUGAACCUGAAACUGUCGCUAUGGAUAACUCAGGUUUUUGUUAUCAACUAUAUCAUCUUUUUCACUAUUUUGAAACUCUUAAGAUUAAACUUUAGUAAAGUUGUUUCAGCUAUUCAAAUGAAAAACUCAUUGAUUUGAGACUUCCUUCAUUAUUGUUUCUAAUUACAAUGCUAACGAUCCAGAUAAAAUAAUAUUUAAUCGGCGAAGGUGUCCCUUGGAAGUACAUCCUUCUUUUUCUUUUAUUAUAUAAAUUCUUGCAAUGAGCUUAGUGAAGCUGUUGUGCUAAUCAUGCCACUGCAUAAUUUGGCCCCUAAUGUGGGUACUCUGUUACAUUGUUCUGCAAAUUCUCCAGAAGUUAAAAUCAAUAAAUUUUCUAUUAGCUCUAGUGCUUUGACCUAAAUGCCAUUCUAUAUUUUGAUUACAAUGUUUUAACCUUUAAAUUAACUACCCCUAGAUGUUGGAUUUUCUAGAACUUCAAAAUGAUUAAUGGAGAAAGAUCCCAUUAUCGUUAUUGCUAUAAGAAAUUGAUUUAUGCAUCCAAAGAUACAUUAUAUAUUUCUGUGUCUCUAUUUGUAGAUGACAUUUAAGCAUCCAUAAACCGUCAGACAGAGGAAGGGGGUUCAGUGCAAAGAUUCUGUUGACCUAGGGUUGACUGCAUAAUGUCACUUGUUCGCAAUCUAUUAUUUAUUUUAUAUUUUGAAGAAUUUAAUGGGUAAUCCUAAUUGUUUGUUUUGGCAGGUAUGUGUUGUUAUCUCCUUCUAUCUAACAGUCGUACCUAAAUAGCAUAGUUUCAUCUGUGUUACCAUGUGAUGUACAUAAUUUCACAUUUGCCUCAGAUUAAGCUUAAUUUCCCACAGAAUAGAGCUGUCGCGACUGGACUUAGGUUGAUGUCCAAAGAGGUAAAUUAUUGGCAUGCCUAGAUAAUUUGGCCAUUUCCUAAUUCAUAAGUCUACAUUAAUUUUGAUUUUGAGUUGACUGAUUUCUUUUCAAGGUCUGCUUCCUUAACGGAGUGACCAAUGUUUUUCAACUAAAUUUAUCAUAUGAUGCAGGAAGCAGGGCAGGAUAUGAAAUGAGAAGCUCAUUGGUGGAAGUAUUGCCAGUAACAGAACCCAAAGAAAAUGAAACUAUUUCAAGGCAGCAGUUGGCAGUUGCAAGUGAAUGGAGGCCCUGACAAAAUUCUCAAGCGGUUGCAAUGCAAUUACGAUCAUCCUCAGCCUCAGGUAAUUUCUUCUCCUGCUCUGUUUUUAUUUGUUAUCUAAUUAAAAAGCAUAAAGUAUCUUGAAUCACUUUCUGUAUCUGGAACAUAUGCAGCAGUUUCUAAAAUCUUCAUAUGAGUGUAAUGAUGGUAAUUUCUGUUUUUUGUCUGUCAUUGAAUGUUAGACAACUUUCAGUGAGACUCUUGAACCGAGACAUUUUUGACAAAUGAAGGACAAUUGCUGAAGAGUGGGAAUGGUGCUAGAUUGGGGAAUAAAGACAAAGGAGGUAAAUUAUUUGCAGUUUAUUCAGCAUUAUUUGCUUUGGACCAGCGCCUGAUUCACAAGUCUCCAUAAUUUGGCUUUUGACCAGUUGUUAAUAAAUUUUUUAUUCCAUUGGUGCUAAAUGUACACGUGAAGCAGGCAGAGCAGGACUGUGGAAAUGAGAAGGUUUUUAGUGAAAGCUUAAACUCAGGUAAUUCUAAAAAGUACAUGUUUUUGCUGAUUUAUCUAAAUCAGGAAAUUUUAUUUCCAUCUGUUACAAGAUAAAACAGAAACAGAACACAAAGAAAAAUAUUCUACUUCUUGUGGCAAUCUUGCCUUCAUUCAGACAAUGAAACCAUUUCCUUUCACCAAUUUCUUCCAAAAGUUUGAAUAAGUUUCAUGGUUGGACAUAGUUAGCUUCUUUUUCUUUUGGUGCAUUUAGGUCCUAUCAAGUGACAGCCAUAAGUAUGAUUGCAUUAUUGGGAAAUUUUAGGUUUUGAUGGCUCCCCACGUUAUUGCCAAGAAAGUCCUCAUGUCAAAAGCUGCGGUUCUUUUCAUCAGCCUGAACCCGAACCUGUCGUUAUGGAUAACUCAGGUUUUUGUCAUCAACUAUAUCAUCUUUUUUACUGUUUUGAAACUCUUAAGAUUAAACUUCAGUAAAGUUGUUUCAGUUAUCCAUGUAAUCAGGCCAAGGAUAUUUAGCAGCUUAUUUAGGCAACUGCCAGAAUUCAGUUUGUUUGCUCGAAACUUGUAUGGUGACAAGGAUACUGGCAAGGAUAGUGAGAUAGUUUUUUGUGUGAGUGAAAUUUGAAAGCUUGGGUGUUCUGGGAUUUGCAAUUGCAAUCAUCCUCUGAGUCAGGUGAUUUCUUCUCCUGCUCUGUCUUGAUUUUCUCUCUAAUUGAAAGCAUAAAGUAUUUCAAUCAAAUUCUGUACCAGGAGUACAUAAAAGUUACUAAUAUUUUAUUUCCAUCUGUUUGCAUUGAUAACUCGGCAUAUGUUCUAGUUAAAGAACAAACAGAAACAGAGUUCAGGAAAAAGUUUCUUCGGCCACCAUAUUUGAAAAUGAAACCAUUUCCAGGAAGCAGUUGGCAGCAAAUUCAUAUGGAGUGUAGACAAUGAUGAGCAAAAAGGUGAUUCGCAAUUUCUUUUUUUUUUAAGUGAAAUUAUUUGUUAGAUUGAAGCUGAUAUUGUAAGAAGGCCAUUGAGCUAACCUAUGUCGUCACUUGCCUAGAUUGCAGGGGGUCAAGACUCAAAAGAAGCACUGAAAUUUAAAAAGCAUGGAAUAGUUCUUUUGCCAUGUGUCAAUUAAUGCAAGUUUGAAUAAGUUUAUUGGCUGAACGAUGUUAGCUUCUUUUCCUUUCGUGCACUUUGGUAUGCUAUCAAGUGACAGCCGUAUGUAUGGCUUGCAUAUAGCUGCUGCUGGGAAAAUUGACGAUUUCAUGGCUGGCCGUGUUAUUGUCUUAAAUUAGUUGUGAUAAGCUGUUGCUUGGAGAUUCUGUUGCCAAGACUUUGCUCACAUCAGAAGCUGUGGAAUCUGAACCCUUCGUUAUGUAUCAUCUUUUUCAUUGUUUUAAAACUCUCAGGAUUAAACUUGAGCGAAUUUGUUCGGUUGUCUAUAUAAUCAUGUAUUGAGUAAACUCUCAGGAUACUGAGGGUGAGAGAAAUUAGAGGGUGUAUAGGGAUUUGGAUUUGUUAGGAAGUUAUCAUUUUUAUUUUUAUUUUUAUUUUUUUCCCAGAAAAUCUUCUGGUGGUGCUAUAUUUUCAAACGACAGUCCGAUUCAAAACUUGAUAUUCCAAUUAUAUUCAUAAGCUUCUACAGUUAUCUUCAAAAAGACAAAUGGAAGGCUUUGAACGGCUUGGGUCUGAGUAUUGUAGUUUGAUUUAUUUUGAUGAAAGUACCUUUUGACAUUGAGAUUCUUUCAUGAGUUAAACAUUCUUUUUAAAACCAACUUAUUAAAAAAAAAAAGUAACUAACAUAUAUUAUUUUGUUAGUGCUUUUUAAAUCAAAUAUAAAAAAGAGAACUGUAAUUCUUAGCAACCAAUUUUUCACUGAGUACACCUACAACAAACUAUUAAAAAAUAAAGUGAUAGAAAAUGCCUGAUUUUUCGUACUUUCUAAUUACUUUUGGUCCUAAAAUAUGGCAAUUUGUGUAAUAAUAAGCCCAUGUAUAUCUUUAUGCCAUUAGUUUGAUAAAUAGCUAUCAAGGAUAACUUAUUAAGCUAAAAAUAUUUGAAGGAUAAAUUGAUUUAUGCAUCCAAAGAUACAUUAUAUAUUUCUGUGUCUCUAUUUAUAGAUGACAUUUAAGCAUCCAUAAACCGUCAGACAGAGGAAGGGGGUUCAGUGCAAAGAUUCUGUUGACCUAGGGUUGACUGCAUAAUGUCACUUGUUCGCAAUCUAUUAUUUAUUUUAUAUUUUGAAGAAUUUAAUGGGUAAUCCUAAUUGUUUGUUUUGGCAGGUAUGUGUUGUUAUCUCCUUCUAUCUAACAGUCGUACCUAAAUAGCAUAGUUUCAUCUGUGUUACCAUGUGAUGUACAUAAUUUCACAUUUGCCUCAGAUUAAGCUUAAUUUCCCACAGAAUAGAGCUGUCGUGACUGGACUUAGGUUGAUGUCCAAAGAGGUAAAUUAUUGGCAUGCCUAGAUAAUUUGGCCAUUUCCUAAUUCAUAAGUCUACAUUAAUUUUGAUUUUGAGUUGACUGAUUUCUUUUCAAGGUCUGCUUCCUUAACGGAGUGACCAAUGUUUUUCAACUAAAUUUAUCAUAUGAUGCAGGAAGCAGGGCAGGAUAUGAAAUGAGAUCUCAUUGGUGGAAGUAUUGCCAGUAGCAGAACCCAAUGAAAAUGAAACUAUUUCAAGGCAGCAGUUGGCAGUUGCAAGUGAAUGGAGGCCCUUGACAAAAUUCUCAAGCGGUUGCAAUGAUGGUAAUUUCUUCUCCUGCUUUGUAUUUAUUUGUUAUCUAAUUAGGAAGCGUGAAGUAUCUUGAAUCAUUUUCUGUAUCUGGAAUAUAUGCAAGAGUUUCUAAAAUUUUGAUAUGAGUGUAAUGAUGGUAAUUUCUGUUUUCUGUCUGUCAUCAAAUGUUAGAAAACUUUCAUUGAGACCCUUGAACCGAGUCAUUUUUGACAAGUGAAGGACAAUUGCUGAAGAGUGGGAAUGGUGCUAGAUUGGGGAAUAAAGACAAAGGAGGUAAAUUAUUUGCAGUUUAUUCAGCAUUAUUUGCUUUGGACCACCGCCUGAUUCACAAGUCUCCAUAAUUUGGCUUUUGACCAGUUAAUAAAUUUUUAAUUCCAUUGGUGCUAAAUGUACACGUGAAGCAGGCAGAGCAGGACUGUGGAAAUGAGAAGGUUUUUAGUGAAAGCUUAAACUCAGGUAAUUCUAAAAAGUACAUGUUUUUGCUGAUUUAUCUAAAUCAGGAAAUUUUAUUUCCAUCUGUUACAAGAUAAAACAGAAACAGAACACAAAGAAAAAUAUUCUACUUCUUGUGGCAAUCUUGCCUUCAUUCAGACAAUGAAACCAUUUCCUUUCACCAAUUUCUUCCAAAAGUUUGAAUAAGUUUCAUGGUUGGACAUAGUUAGCUUCUUUUUCUUUUUGGUGCAUUUAGGUCCUAUCAAGUGACAGCCAUAAGUAUGAUUGCAUUAUUGGGAAAUUUUAGGUUUGGAUGGCUCCCCAUGUUAUUGCCAAGAAAGUCCUCAUGUCAGAAGCUGCGGUUCUUUUCAUCAGCCUGAACCCGAACCUGUCGUUAUGGAUAACUCAGGUUUUUGUCAUCAACUAUAUCAUCUUUUUUACUGUUUUGAAACUCUUAAGAUUAAACUUCAGUAAAGUUGUUUCAGUUAUCCAUGUAAUCAGGCUAAGGAUAUUUAGCAGCUUAUUUAGGCAACUGCCAGAAUUCAGUUUGUUUGCUCGAAACUUGUAUGGUGACAAGGAUACUGGCAAGGAUAGUGAGAUAGUUUUUUGUGUGAGUGAAAUUUGAAAGCUUGGGUGUUCUGGGAUUUGCAAUUGCAAUCAUCCUCUGAGUCAGGUGAUUUCUUCUCCUGCUCUGUCUUGAUUUUCUCUCUAAUUGAAAGCAUAAAGUAUUUCAAUCAAAUUCUGUACCAGGAAUACGUAAAAGUUACUAAUAUUUUAUUUCCAUCUGUUUGCAUUGAUAACUCGGCGGCAUAUGUUCUAGUUAAAGAACAAACAGAAACAGAGUUCAGGAAAAAGUUUCUUCGGCCACCAUAUUUGAAAAUGAAACCAUUUCCAGGAAGCAGUUGGCAGCAAAUUCAUAUGGAGUGUAGACAAUGAUGAGCGAAAAGGUGAUACGCAAUUUCUUUUUUUUUUUUUUUAAGUGAAAUUAUUUGUUAGAUUGAAGCUGAUAUUGUAAGAAGGCCAUUGAGCUAACCUAUGUCGCCACUUGCCUAGAUUGCAGGGGGUCAAGACUCAAAAGAAGCACUGAAAUUUAAAAAAGCAUGCAAUAGUUCUUUUGCCAUGUGUCAAUUAAUGCAAGUUUGAAUAAGUUUAUUGGCUGAACGAUGUUAGCUUCUUUUCCUUUCGUGCACUUUGGUAUGCUAUCAAGUGACAGCCGUAUGUAUGGCUUGCGUAUAGCUGCUGCUGGGAAAAUUGACGAUUUCAUGGCUGGCCGUGUUAUUGUCUUAAAUUAGUUGUGAUAAGCUGUUGCUUGGAGAUUCUGUUGCCAAGACUUUGCUCACAUCAGAAGCUGUGGAAUCUGAACCCUUCGUUAUGUAUCAUCUUUUUCAUUGUUUUAAAACUCUCAGGAUUAAACUUGAGCGAAUUUGUUCGGUUGUCUAUAUAAUCAUGUAUUGAGUAACCUCUCAGGAUACUGAGCAGGCAAAUGUUAUAACUCGGUUUGUUAGCCAAAAACUUGUUGAAGAUUCUUGACAAAGCUGCAUCAAGUGAAUUGUCGGAGCUCUGAGGGUGAGAGAAAUUAGAGGGUGUAUAGGGAUUUGGAUUUGUUAGGAAGUUAUCAUUUUUAUUUUUAUUUUUAUUUUUUUCACAGAAAAUCUUCUGGUGGUGCUAUAUUUUCAAACGACAGUCCGAUUCAAAACUUGAUAUUCCAAUUAUAUUCAUAAGCUUCUACAGUUAUCUUCAAAAAGACAAAUGGAAGGCUUUGAACGGCUUGGGUCUGAGUAUUGUAGUUUGAUUUAUUUUGAUGAAAGUACCUUUUGACAUUGAGAUUCUUUCAUGAGUUAAACAUUCUUUUUAAAACCAACUUAUUAAAAAAAAAAAGUAACUAACAUAUAUUAUUUUGUUAGUGCUUUUUAAAUCAAAUAUAAAAAAGAGAACUGUAAUUCUUAGCAACCAAUUUUUCACUGAGUACACCUACAACAAACUAUUAAAAAAUAAAGUGAUAGAAAAUGCCUGAUUUUUCGUACUUUCUAAUUACUUUUGGUCCUAAAAUAUGGCGAUUUGUGUAAUAAUAAGCCCAUGUAUAUCUUUAUGCCAUUAGUUUGAUAAAUAGCUAUCAAGGAUAACUUAUUAAGCUAAAAAUAUUUGAAGGAUAAAAUGGUAAAACUAAAAGGGUGGAGUAAUAUAGUUAUUUAAGAUUACAUAGUAAGUCAACUAUAUUCGAGGGAUAAAAUAUUAAAACUUGAAUAGUGAUAUUAAAAAUAUCUCAGCUAUUAUACUAUUAAACCAUAUGCCGUAAUAAUAUUUUUUUUCAAACUUUAAAAAAUUCAGGAUUUUAAAUUAAAACAUGGAUUUCUUUAAGAUGCUAUAUGUGUUUUUACAGUAUUGAUAGUGGGAUUAGUGUGGACCUUUAGAUGAAAGAGUUUUAAUCUGAAUCAUUCAUUUAAUAUAAUAGAUAAUUAAAUAAUUAAUUAAAAUAUAUCAGGUAACUUAUAGGUUGCAGGUAAAAAAUUAAUUUUUUAAUUUUAAAUUAAAAUUAAUUUGGAACAAAACCAUCCACACCCCUAAGGUUUACUUAAAUGAUCAUAUAAAUCCCUUUAGUUUCUACAUAGUUAUACAAACCCUCUUAAUUUCAUAAAUUAUUAUUAUACUUUUAAUUAAAACAACCUAAAUGAAUAUAAAUAUAGUAAUAGGAUAGAAAUAAUAAAUAAAUAUCAGAUGAAACAAAUAAAAUAUUACAAUAAAUACAAUUAAUUAAAUAACAUGUAGGAUGAAAAUUUUAUUCAUAUUAAGUUAUUAUUAGUCGAUCUCGAUGGAUUUACUCAAAUUAAUUAAUCCAAAAUUUAAUUUUAAGAUUGAUAUUAAUAUGGACAUAAUUAAAUAAGAUGUUGUAAUAUAUAUUACUUUGAAUGUUAAGUAUAAUUAUCUAAUAUUAUUAGUAUGUGAAAUAGAUUUUAAUAUUAUUAAAAGAAUAUGACAAUAUAUAAUUUUGACAUAAAUUUUUUAGUAUUCAUAAUAUUUUAUAAAUUUUAUCUUAUUUUAUAUAUUAUAUUUUUUAAUUUUAAUGUAUUAUAUAUGAUCAUUUAAGCAAAUUUUGGAGGUGCGGUGGUCUUUUCCCUAUUAAUUUUGUAGCAUAUUUAAAGUGUUAUAUCAUACAUCAUACAUCGCACUUUUGUUAAAGUAUUAUGUUAUUAAAAAUUAAACUUUGCAUUUAUAAUAUACUACCAUUUUAAUGUAAAUGUAACAAAAAAUAUGAAGAUAUUUUUAAGUAGUCAAUUGUAGCUUUCUAUUACAAAAUAGCAGUAUAGAAAUACAAUUGGUAAAAUGUAAUAAAAAUGGUAUGGAAAAAAGUUAGUAGAGGCAAUUAUUUUUGUAGUUGCUAAAACAUAUGAAGUGACACACACACACACACACACACACAUCAAGUACUUGUAUGUUCCCCUAACUUUUAUUAAUAGGAAGGAAAUUAAAUUCGUAAUUUUCCCGGUGAAUUAUGAAUUGAUAAAUGAAAUAUAAAUAUUAGUAAAAAUUAAUUUGUCGACUAAAGAAGUAAACCAUAUUUUAUGGGCAUUUAAUACAUUACUUUAAGGUCAAAUGAGAUAUAUCACAUGAUAUUUGAUACAGUAGUCCAAUUUUCAACAUUUGCAUAUAGUUUCUAAGCUAGUAAUCUAAUAAAAUAUACCAAAUGAGAAAUUCAAGGCUAUUAUUUAUAUUUCACAAUUGGACAAACACCAUACAUUAGAAUAAAAAAAUCUCACAGUACAGACGACAUCUGUUUGCAUGUUUUGAAAAUAGAUUUUGAAAAUAGUUUAAUUACAUGAUAAUUAAAUUAUAUUAUAAAACUAAGAAUAUGAUUUAAGUACUAUUUUAGCAAUUUUGAGUCUCACAUUGAGUAUUCAAGUUAAUUAAAUGUUGAAACUCUUUUCUAUUUGGCUUGAAAUCACUACUUAAUUAAAUUACAAAAAGUCGAUAAUGAAUGAUGUAGGACACAUAUGUAAAAUAAAUUUUAAAGUGUAAUUAAACAUUCCUAUCAAUAUUAGUUUCGUAUACAUGUUCAUAUAUUUUAUUGAAACCAUAUAUAAUUAAAUUUUGUGUAAUUAAGUAAAAUAUAUUAUUCAAGUGAAUUUAUGAGAAUAUUUAAAAUUAUAGGGGUGGUCACUGAAAUUUGCCAAACUUGAGCCAACCGUGCAUGAUCCAAACAAUUUAUUUUAAUAAUUCUCAAUAUGUUAGUCUGUUUGACUGUUGGCAAAAUAAAUUCCUAUCAGCAAUGCAACACAAUUCAAAAUCAUAUCUGCAUACAACGAACAAUAUCUCAUCAAAGAUCAAAUUAUACAUUUUUUACACCAAAGCAUAAAUAUCUAAAUUAUCCCUCUUCAACUCACCAAGCUCAUACCUAACAACAGCAAGAUUAAAUGUCAUUUGAUCCAUCUUUUUUAGUAAGCUUUAUCAAUUCUUCUCAUGGUUGCAAUUUUGAAAGCUCGCUUCGCUAUUUCCAUUUGCUUUUAUGCUUUGUUUGAGCUCCAUCUUUUCUCUCCAUCUACAUUUUACACUGUAAAAAAAAUUUUAAAAAAAUUACAAAGCUUCUUAUACUAGAAUAUGAGCAACAAUAUAAAUAAUAAACAAUAAAGUUAUGAUAGCACAACAUACUCAUUAAAGUGCUUCUUUUUUUUUUUCAACAAGAAAUUACUACUGAAUUAAAGAAUUGGCUUUGCAUUAAGGUUUGCCUUCAAUAACUCAACUCCCCACUUGGGUUUUGUCGUUUUCUUAAAAUCUCUGCUCAAUCAAUUUAAAGAUCCAUUUUUUUUUUCUUUCCAAAGAUCUAAAAGCAAUGUCUUUUAUUGGUACCCAACAAAAAUGCAAGGUCUGUGAGAAGACAGUUUGUCCAGUUGAGCAGUUAUCUGCUGAUGGGGUUGUUUAUCACAAGUCUUGCUUCAAGUGCUAUCACGGCAAAGGCACACUCAAGCUAAGCAAUUACUCAUCCCUGGAAGGUGUUCUUUACUGUAAGCCUCACUUUGAGCAGCUUUUGAAGGAGUCGAGUAACUUCAACCAGAAUUUCCAAUUACCUGCAAAGUCAGCUGAGAAGUUAACUCCUGAGCUGAGAAGGUCGCCUAGCAAAGUUGCCAGCAUGUUCUCUGGGCCCAAUAAAAAUGUGCUUCUUGCAGUAAAACAGUGUGUCCGUGGGAGAAGGUAGCAGUGGAAAACCAAGCCUCUCACAAGACAUGUUUCAAGUGCUCACAUGGUGGUUAUUCCAUUAGCCCGUCAAAUUACGCAGCCCUAGAAGGCAUCUUGUAUUGCAAACAUAAUUUCUCCCAAUUGUUCAAGGAAAAAGGCAGCUACAACCACCUUAUAUCAAAUCUGCUCCCAUGAAGCGUGCUGCAGUCUCUGUUCAAGAAGCUUGAACACGUUAUGUUAUCUUCCAUAAAUCUUAUUUGGCGUGGGUUUUCUCUGGCUUGAGGGUGUGCUUUCUAUUUUGAUCCCUCUUGUUGUUUUUGCGGGGAACUACCAAACCUUCGGUUCCCUCUGCUUCUUUGGAUCAUCUUUGUUUGGACAAAUUUCAUGUAAUUAGAGAUACCGAUUUAUGGGAGGCAUAAUCCCAUGGUCGUAAAUUGACCAUUUUCUGGCAAUGUUCUUUUUAAAAAGAGAUGAGCAGUUGUUUAAAAAAAAAAAAAAUUGCUUGCCUUCAUCAUUGUAUAUUACCAAACUGCUAUGUAUAGCUGCUAACUAUGAGCAUCCGAAAAUAUGGUGCAUCGUGAUUCAUGUAGUGCAAUAUGGCUACCAACGCAUCCUAAAUGGAGUAUUACUCAGUUAGUCAGCAAAAUAAGACAACAUAACUGAUAUUAAAAAAAAAAAAAAACUACAUUAAUAAGUGGGCAAGAUCAUGCCAGUUUAACUUUUCGCGCGUCGCUGCUGGAGAUGAUCAAAUCGGGGCAUAGAAAAGGAGAAUGGAAUCAGAGGCUAAGAUUAAUAAGUGGGCUUCUGCUUGCUUUGCCCUCUUUCUUAAACGAUUGGUAGACUGCUGCUUCCGCCGAUUAACCGGGUCUUCAACCACUGCUUUUACUGCCUGCCAUCUUGUUGUUUGUCGAAGGGAUGAAUUCGAGUCGAAAAGAGAAAGCGCGCUGAAAAAGAUAAAUCACUAGUGGUUAACUGCUGACUCAGCCAAGUGUUGGCUUCACUUGAUUCACCGAUUGAGGUUAUUUUGUCUUCUAUCUAAUGCAGCGAAGAAGCUUUGCUGCUUAACAUGCUGCAAUGCAACUUUAUCCUUUGAAGUUCACACUCCAGGGCUGCGCACUUUAUGUAAUCCUAUGAGUAAAAAGAAUUUGUUUUCAAAUGUGAAAAAAGAAAAUGUAAGGUAGUAACUAAAUAUAUUAUAGCAUCAAAGCAAGAUUUGAUAUGAAUUUAGUACAACAAAGAACAUCAAAUCUGUGAUUCCUUGUCUAAUGUCACCAUCGAGCAACAAAUUUAAAAGCCUACCUAUCAAAUACACGAGGCAAUAAACGGAGAAAAAGUUGAAUUACAAGAACAAGUUUACAAUUCUUGUCAAUGGUUAAUGAUUUGUGAACUGAGAUAUCAUUCAAGAAUCCAAUUUCAAUACAACAACCUAAAAGAUAAACAGAUGAUGAAUUUUAUGAGAUAAAAAAGGAGAUCGUGUUUUAUCGUAUCUCUAUUUUCUUUCUUUUUAAAUUUAUGAGAUAAAGCGGUUGGUCCAGUUACGGUGUUAUGCUAACGGGUUUAAAGGUUCCGAUCCAAUGAGUUAGGGUGGAAUAUGAAUAUAUAAAUUCCAUAGCAUGUAAGGACUAGGAUUUGUUUGUUCAUAUCAAGAAAAAAAAUCUGAAAAUUUGAUGAUCAGAAGAUAAAAACACUUAAACACGUUUAAGUAUCAAUAAAUACUUGCUGCUGUAGUUUGAAAAUAAAAUGAGUUUAUCUUGUUGCUGUUUGAUAAAAAUUUAUACUAUUUUUAUUAAUUUUGUCAAAAUCAAUAUUUAGACAUUAUAUUUACCAAGCAUUAUCAUUUUUUUAAUCUCAUAAUUAAUUAAAAUUUUCAUUUCAUUCAAUACAGUAAUUAAUUAGAAUUGUAGCAUAAGCCCAUUUUAAUUUUCUUUCUUUAGGCUAUAUACGCUACUUAUAAGAAAAACUUAUGGACCAUUGACCUAGGCUUAUACAAUAAGCCAAUUUAGAAAUUGUAGACUCACUCUAUGGAUUACUCAUGAGUUGUGGAUGAUGAGUUCUUCACUAACGAAGUGCAUUGGAUAUCAUAUAACGUAAAAACACACAUUGUCAUUAGUCUAUUGCAAGCAUUCCCAUUUGGCACCGAAUCUUUCUCAUUAGCCUAUUGCAAGCGAUCCCAGCCACUUGGAAUCAAAAUUUAGUGAAUUUACAUAUGUUGUCUCGAAGUGGUGUCUCUUAUGGUUGGGUGUUUUUAUAAAUUUCUUAAUUGCUUCGAAUACCAUGGCUGAUGCAACCGUUUCUACUAUCUUGGAGCAGCUGAUUUCCUUCGCUGCUGAAGAGAUAAAACAACAGGUGAUCGAAGUUGCACCCCUCAUAUUACAAAUGCUUCCAAUGAUUUUAAUUGGUUUUGUUUUUAUCAAAAACAUUAUAUAUUUUUUCUUUAUUUUAUUUAUCUGGUAAUUUUAGAUUUUGAAAUUUGAAUUGAAUUUAAUUAAAAGGUGAUGUAGUAACCACUUAUUUUUAUUUUUUUUUAUUUAUAUUCUCAAUAACUACUCAUAGUUUGGUAACUUACUAUAACUUCCAUAUCUAAGAAAUGAUCCAAACCCACAAUUUUAACUCAAGUUUGUCAAACAGUCAUUAAUUCAAUGUUUAGUAAAAAAAACACUUCUCAGCACAGAAUUCCAUGUCCAUUACUUAGACUCUAUGAAAAAUUUCAUAAUUUUCUUACAUUCUUUGAGUUUGGUAAGUGAUUUCAUAUAUUUUCUAUUCAAUAUAAAUUUUAAUUUGUUUUCUUAUAUACUCUCUUUGCUGAAUUUGUAUCUUUUAUGAUUCUUAGAUUUUGGGCUCUAACUUUUUAGGAUUUGAUAGUCACAUUUUAUGCCAUGCUUAGAUUGAUUUUCAUGAUUUUUACUACCCGUUAAGUGACUUAGAAUUUGACAAAAGUUUGAAAGGAAAUCUGCUUCAGGAUUCUGUUUUAAUUGACCCUUUAGUGGAAAUAAAAUGCUUAUAACUUAAUGUGGAUGCUAUGUAAAAUCAUGAAAUUUGGAUAGAAUUAACUAGAAAUAUGUACAAGACUCUCCAUGAAGUCUCAUAAUUUUUCAUUCGGUCUGGGGUGUUACAGGUGAAGCUUGUGGUUGGUGUCGAAAAAGAAGUGAAAAGCCUUACCAGCCACCUUCAAGCCAUUCAAGCUGUGCUCGAUGAUGCAGAGGAAAAGCAAGUGAAGGACAAAGCUGUUAGACAUUGGCUGGGUAGGCUCAAGUAUGCAUCCUACGACAUUGAAGAUGUGUUGGAUGAGUGGAUCACAGGAAGACGCAAAUUGCAAAUUGAGGGUGGCAUUGGUGAAAAUGCUCUUAUUGCUCCUCAUAAGAAAAAGAAGGUACGUUUCUGCUUUCGUGCCUCUUGUCUUGGAUUCAAAACAGAAGAAUUUGGCUUCAAACAAGUCUUUCUACGUCAUGACAUUGCCAACAAGAUCAAAGAAAUGAAUGAAGAGCUACAUGAUAUUGCUACUCAAAAAGACAUGUUUAAUCUUGUUAAGAGUGGCAAUAACAGUAGUGAAAGACCAAGGCGUGUACAGAGUACCUCCUUGAUUGAUGAGGAAGAGAUUUGUGGUAGAGUUGGUGAGAAGAAUGAACUCAUAAGCAAGCUGUUGUGUGAGAGUAGCGAGCAACAAAAAGGCCUCCAUAUCAUCUCAAUUGUUGGUAUGGGAGGCAUAGGGAAAACUACUCUUGCACAACUAGCUUGUAAUCAUGACGAGGUGAAGAGAAAGUUCGACAAAAUUCUGUGGGUGUGUGUAUCAGAAACUUUUGAGGAGUUUAGGGUUGCCAAAGCAAUCGUUGAAGCUUUGGAUGGUCGUGAAUCUCAUUUAGGUGAAUUCCAAUCUCUUCUUCAACAUAUUGAUGAAUCCAUUGCAGGGAAGACCUUUCUUCUUGUCUUAGAUGACGUGUGGGAUGGAAAUUACUUGAAAUGGGAACCAUUCUACCGUUGUCUAAAGAAUGGUCUCCAUGGAAGUAAAAUUAUAGUUACCACACGUAGUGGGUCCGUUGCAUCCAUGAUGGGAUCCAUAGAUAUUAUUCCCAUUAAGGAAUUAGCUGAAGAGGAAUGUUGGUUGUUGUUUAACAAGAUAGCAUUUUUUGGUAGGCCUAUUGAGGAACGUGAAAAAUUAGAACAAAUUGGGCAAAGAAUUGCAGGCAAGUGCAAAGGUUUACCUCUUGCAGCAAAGACAAUAGGGAGUCUCAUGCGUUCUAAACAAACUGAAGAAGAGUGGAAAAGAAUUUUAAAUAGUGAUUUAUGGAAAGUAGAAGAGAUUGAGAAAGAUGUUUUGUCCUCUUUAUUGUUGAGUUAUAAUGAUUUGCCAUCUAGAGUAAAAAGAUGUUUUUCAUAUUGUGCUGUCUUUCCAAAAGACUACAAUAUAAAAAAAGACGAACUAAUCACAUUAUGGAUGGCUCAAGGUUAUCUUAGUGCAGAAGCAGCAGAACAAGAUGAGGAGUUGGAGACUAUAGGUGAAGAGUAUUUUGGCAUCUUAGCUUCUCGCUCUUUCUUUCAAGAGUUUGAGAAAAGUUAUGAUAAUCGUAUUAUAGAGUGCAAGAUGCAUGAUAUGGUACAUGAUUUUGCCCGCUUUGUAAGUCAAAAUGAAUGUUUUUCGAUGGCAAUUAAUGGUAGUGAAGAACCAAACGCCACAAACGCUCUUGAUGAGAAGGUCCGUCAUUUAAUGUUAAUAUUUAGUAAAGCGGCUUCAUUACCUAUUUCCACUCUUAGAGUUAAAAGAAUGCGUACCCUCUUAAUUAACGAUCAUUCAUUAUUAAAUGCUGCGAUCCUAGAAGAAUUAUUUAGGGAAUUGACAAGUUUAAGGGCAUUAGAUUUUGGCGGAUCGUACCACUCAACGCGGUUGUUGACUCCGGAGGUUCCGAGAAACAUAGAAAAGCUGGUACUACCGGAGACAUUGUGUGAGUUAUAUAAUCUAGAAAAGUUAGAUAUUAGUGAUUGUUUUAAUCUUAAAGAAUUACCUGAAGGGAUUGGGAAGUUAAUAAACGUGAAGCAUUUACUAAAUAGAGGUACUAAUUCUUUAAGGUACAUGCCAGUAGGGAUUGGGAGAUUAACAGGUCUUAGGACCUUGGGUGAGUUCCACGUGAGUGCAGGAGGAGGUGUUGAUGGUAGGAAAGCAUGUAGGCUUGAAUCUCUUAAAAACUUGGAACACCUUCAAGUAUGUGGUAUAAGUAGACUGGGUGAUGUAUCAGAUGUGGGCGAGGCUAAGCGAUUAGAACUUGACAAAAAGAAAUACCUCUCCAGUUUGACCCUUUGGUUUGAUAAGGAGGAGGAAGAAGAAGGAGAAAGAAGGAAGAACGAGGACAAUCAACUUCUUCUUGAAGCCCUGCGACCACCUCUCAAUUUAAAGGAAUUAGAGAUUGAGUACUACCGAGGCAACACUGUUUUCCCCAGCUGGAUGACGUCAUUAACCAACUUGAAGAGUUUAGAUCUCUCUUCCUGCGAAAAUUGCGAGCAGCUGCCUCCUUUGGGAAAAUUGCAGUCCCUUGAAAAUCUCCACAUAUGGCGCAUGGAGAGUGUGAAGAGAGUGGGUGAUGAAUUUUUGGGGAUAGAAAGUGAUCAUCAUGGCUCAUCUUCAUCUUCAUCGGUUAUUAUUGCCUUCCCCAAAUUGAAAUCACUUUCAAUUGAGGUUCUGCGCGAAUUGGAGGAGUGGGAUUAUGGGAUUACAAGAACGGGAAACACCGUCAUCAACAUCAUGCCACGUCUUUCUUCAUUGACAAUUAAUUACUGCUCCAAAUUAAAGGCACUGCCCGACCACUUUCAUCAAACGACAACAUUGAAGGAAUUGCACAUUUGGAAGUGCAGGCUUCUGGAAGAACGUUAUUGCAAUGGGGAAGGAGAAGACUGGUCUAAGAUAUCACACAUUCCCAACCUCCAUAUUGGGCUUUGACAAGUAAUUUCUUCUCUUACUCUGAUUUGCUUUGUUGUUGUUUUUAAUCUAAUUAAGAAGCGUAAAUAGCAUUUUGAAUCAAACUCUAUAUCAGAAAUCUGCAAUACUUACUUUCUAAUAUUCUGAUUUUCAUAUCCUAUGAAUAUACGAUUUUUAAUUUGUGAGAUGGGUAACGUUACUGUAAAAGAUUAUUAAUGCAAUAUGAGUAAUUCUUUUGCAGGACAAGUGACCUACAUUUAGUUUGGCUUUGGAGUUGAAUAAUAACCUUUCGAGGUCCCGACAACCAAAAAACGAAGCUUAAUUUGCCACAGAUUGCACGUAUUGCCAUUAUUGACAAUUUUCUGCACAAGCGUGACUGAACUUAGGUUGAUGUCAAAAGAGGUAAAUUAUUGGCAUGCCUGACUAUUUUGACCAUUACAUGAUUCAUAAGUUUACAUUAAUUUUGAUUUUGAGUUGAGUGAUUAAUUUUCUAUGUUUGCUUACUUUAACUGGGUGACCAAUUUCUUGUAACUAAAUGUAUGAUGUGAUGCAGGAAGCAGGGCAGGAUAUGAAAAGAGAAGCUUAUUAGAGGAAGGAUUGCCAGUAACAGAAUCCAAAGAAAAAGAAACCAUUUCGAGGCAGCAGUUGGCAGUUGGCAGUGAAUGGAGCCCCUUGAAAAAGUUCCCAAGCCGUUGCACUGCAAUUACGAUCAUCCUCGGCCUCAGGUAAUUUCUUCUCCUGCAUUUUUGUUAUUUGCUAUCAAGUGACUAUUUUAAGUAUGAUUGCAUUAAGCUGCUACUGGGAAAUUUGAGGUUUUGAGGACUGCCCAUGCUAUUGUCAGAAGCUGCGGUUCUUUUCAUCAGCCUGAACCUGGACCUGCCGCUAUGGAUAACUCAGGUUUUUUUUUUUUUUAAUCAACUGCCAUCUUUUCCACUGUUUAGAAACUCUUAAGAUUAAACUUUAGUAAAGAUGUUUUAGUUAUCCAUGUAAUCAGGCUGAGGAUACUUAGCUGCCUAUUUAGGCAAAUGUCAGAAUUUAGUUUGUUCGCUGGGAACUGGUGUGGACUGGCAAAGGAUGAUGAGAUAGUUUUUUGAGUGAGUAAAUUUUGGGAGCUUGAGUGUAUUGGGAUUUGCAAUUACAAUCAUCCUCUGCCUCAGGUGAUUUCUUCUCCUGCUCUGUCAUUGUUUGUUCUCUAAUUCAAAAGCAUAAAAUAUUUCAAUCAAUUUUUAUACCAGGAAUAUGCAAAAGUUUCUAAUAUUUUAUUUCCAUCUGUUACAAGAUCAAACUGAAGCAGAACUCAAUCAAAAGUAUGCUGCUUCUUGCGGAAAUCUUGCCUUUGUUCAGAUUAUGAAACCAUUUCCAUGCAGCAAAUUCAUCCAAAAAUUUGAAUAAGUUUCACGGUUGGACACUGUUGGCUUCUUUUUCUUCCGGGGUGCAUUUAGGUGCUAUCAAGUGACAGCUGUAAGUAUGAUUGCACUAAGCUGCCGCUGGGAAAUUUGAGGUUUUGAUGGCUGCCCAUGUUAUUUUCAAUAAACUAUUGAUGUAAGAAGCUGUGGUUCUUUUCAUCAGCUUGAACCUGAAACUGUCGCUAUGGAUAACUCAGGUUUUUGUUAUCAACUAUAUCAUCUUUUUCACUAUUUUGAAACUCUUAAGAUUAAACUUUAGUAAAGUUGUUUCAGCUAUUCAAAUGAAAAACUCAUUGAUUUGAGACUUCCUUCAUUAUUGUUUCUAAUUACAAUGCUAACGAUCCAGAUAAAAUAAUAUUUAAUCAACGAAGGUGUUGAUUGAUUUGAGACUUCCUUCAUUAAUGUAGACUUCCUUCAUUAUUGUUUCUUUUUCUUUUAUUCUAUAAAAUCUUGCAAUGAGCUUAGUGAAGCUGUUGUGCUAAUCAUGCCACUGCAUAAUUUGGCCCCUAAUGUGAGUACUCUGUUACAUUGUUCUGCAAAUUCUCCAGAAGUUAAAAUCAAUAAAUUUUCUAUUAGCUCUAGUGCUUUGACCUAAAUGCUAUUCUAUAUUCUGAUUACAAUGUUUUAACCUUUAAAUUAACUACCCCUAGAUGUUGGAUUUUCUAGAACUUCAAAAUGAUUAAUGGAGAAAGAUCCCAUUAUCGUUAUUGCUAUAAGAAAUUGAUUUAUGCAUCCAAAGAUACAUUAUAUGUUUCUGUGUCUCUAUUUAUAGAUGACACCUAAGCAUCCCAUUAUCUAUUAUUUAUUUUAUAUUUUGAAGAAUUUAAUGGGUAAUCCUAAUUGUUUGUUUAGGCAGGUAUGUGUUGUUAUCUCCUUCUAUCUUACAGUCGUACCUAAAUAGCAUAGUUUCAUCUGUGUUACCAUGUGAUGUACAUAAUUUCACAUUUGCCUCAGAUUAAGCUUAAUUUCCCACAGAAUAGAGCUGCCGCGACUGGACUUAGGUUGAUGUCCAAAGAGGUAAAUUAUUGGCAUGCCUAGAUAAUUUGGCCAUUUCCUAAUUCAUAAGUCUACAUUAAUUUUGAUUUUGAGUUGACUGAUUUCUUUUCAAGGUCUGCUUCCUUAACAGAGUGACCAAUGUUUUUCAACUAAAUUUAUCAUAUGAUGCAGGAAGCAAGGCAGGAUAUGAAAUGAGAAGCUCAUUGGUGGAAGUAUUGCCAGUAAGAGAACCCAAAGAAAAUGAAUCUAUUUCAAGGCAGCAGUUGGCAGUUGCAAGUGAAUGGAGGCCCUUGACAAAAUUCUCAAGCGGUUGCAAUGCAAUUACGAUCAUCCUCAGCCUCAGGUAAUUUCUUCUCCUGCUCUGUUUUUAUUUGUUAUCUAAUUAAGAAGCAUAAAGUAUCUUGAAUCACUUUAUGUAUCUGGAAUAUAUGCAGCAGUUUCUAAAAUUUUGAUAUGAGUGUAAUGAUGGUAAUUUCUGUUUUUUGUCUGUCAUUGAAUGUUAGACAACUUUCAGUGAGACUCUUGAACCGAGACAUUUUGGACAAAUGAAGGACAAGUGCUGAAGAGUGGGAAUGGUGCUAGAUUGGGGAAUAAAGACAAAGGUGGUAAAUUAUUUGCAGUUUAUUCAGCAUUAUUUGCUUUCGACCAGCGCCUGAUUCACAAGUCUACAUAAUUUGGCUUUUGACCAGUUGUUAAUAAAUUUUUAAUUCCAUUGGUGCUAAAUGUACACGUGAAGCAGGCAGAGCAGGACUGUGGAAAUGAGAAGCUUUUUAGGGAAAGCUUAAACUCAGGUAAUUCUAAAAAUUAAUUCUGAUUGUUCCGAUUUAUCUAAAUCAGGAAAUUUUAUUUCCAUCUGUUACAAUAAAACAGAAACAGAACACAGAGAAAAAUAUUCUACUUCUUGUGGCAAUCUUGCCUUCAUUCAGACUAUGAAACCAUUUCCUUUCACCAAUUUCUUCCGAAAGUUUGAACACGUUUCAUGGUUGGACAUAGUUAGCUUCUUUUUCUUUUGGUGCAUUUAGGUGCUAUCAAGUGACAACCAUAAGUAUGAUUGCAUUAUUGGGAAAUUUUAGGUUUUGAUGGCUCCCCAUGUUAUUGCCAAGAAAUUUUAAGUCCUCAUGUCAGAAGCUGCGUUUCUUUUCAUCAGACUGAACCCGAACCUGUCACUAUGGAUAACUGAGGUUUUUGUCAUCAACUCUAUCAUGUUUUUCACUGUUUUGAAACUCUUAAGAUUAAACUUCAGUAAAGUUGUUUCAGUUACCCAUGUAAUCAGGCUAAGGAUAUUUAGCAGCUUAUUUAGGCAACUGCCAGAAUUCAGUUUGUUCGCUCGAAACUUGUAUGGUGACAAGGAUACUGGCAAGGAUAGUGAGAUAGUUUUUUGUGUGAGUGAAAUUUGAAAGCUUGGGUGUUCUGGGAUUUGCAAUUGCAAUCAUCCUCUGCUUUAGGUGAUUUCUUCUCCUGUUCUGUCUUUAUUUUCUCUCUAAUUGAAAGCAUAAAGUAUUUCAAUCAAAUUCUGUACCAGGAAUACGAAAAAUUUACUAAUAUUUUAUUUCCAUCUGUUUGCAUUGAUAACUUGGCCGCAUAUGUACUAGUUAAAGAACAAACAGAAGCAGAGUUCAGGAAAAAGUUUCUUCGGCCACCAUAUUUGAAAAUGAAACCAUUUCCAGGAAGCAGUUGGCAGCAAAUUCAUACAAAGUAUAGACAAUGAUGAGCAAAAAGGUGAUUUGCAAUUUCAUUUUUUUAAAAUGAAAUUAUUUGUUAAGUUGGAGCUGAUAUUGUUAGAAGGCCACUGAGCUAACCUAUGACACUGCUUGCCUAGAUUGCAGGAGGUCAAGACUCAAAAGAUGCACUGAAUUUUAAAAGGCAUGCAAUAAUUCUUAUGGCCAUUUGUCAAUGGUGGAAGGCUUUUAGCUUCUUUUCCUUUCGUGCAUUUUGGGGUUCUAUCAAGCGACAGCCGUAUGUAUGGAUGGAUAUAGCUGAAGGACAACAUUUGUCCAUGAGGUUCCUAAAAUCGCAACUUUUGUGCAGUAAAAUUAAAACGGACGGCGGAAGCUCUAGAAACCUCGGAUCGGCUUCAUUCAAAAACUAAAAUCAAGAGGAAAGAUUGAAGUUUAAUUACCUCACUUGCAGUUUCGAAAAAGACUUCUUGAGGUAGGAGAAAACGACUGAAAACAGCAAGCUACGAACACUGUCCAGAAAAUACAGCUCUGCACGAACAGCUUCUGUUUUGCCACGAUCUGAGAUCCUUAAGCACCCCAAUUGUGAUGCCUCUAAUUAUUCCACACUUAUAAAUGUUCUAGGAGUUCAGAGGAUUUUGAAUCACGAAAUUUCGUUUAGAAAUGAGAGAGAUAAUGAUGAAACAUGAAUGCUAGUUCAUGAUGAUUCCCCUUCCACCAAAUAAAGCACCAUUAUGUCUAAUAAUGGCACCAAACAUUAUCAUGUGCUAGACCCAUCCACUUAGCUAUAAUUUAUUGAAAGUGAUCUUAUCACUUAAAUAAAUUAUUUAAUCAAAUUAAUAAAUAGCUAAAUUAAUUAAUUUCGUAAUUAAUUAAUUAACCCCAUUUUGAUCAAAUCAAAUGGUUAAAUGUGGGCUCAUUUUGUGACAUGUUCUAAUGCUUUCUCUUAAUCCAUAUUAGAUCCAAUAAAAGCCCAAAAUUCUAAACCCAAAAAUGGUCUAGAAGUCCAUAAUCAUAUAUGAACCCGAACAUGUCCAAAAUGGUCAUUUUACGUGCUCGAUAUUACAUAAUGUUUAAUGGAGGAUUUACGAAAUUUAUUUUGUUCCUUAAACUAUUUAUGGAACAUCUAAAUUUCUAUCUUAAAUCAUAUUUAAGAUAUAUUUAUAUAUAUAUGUAUAUUCAUUCUCAAUGAAUUAUAAUAUAAAUAUUGAUUUUCCUAAAAAUAGGAAAUUUAACUUCUCAUUUUCUAGUAACUCCUUUUUCAUUUCUAUUUAAUGUGUGACCUUUUAGGUUCUUAGUUAUAAGGUAGUAGAACUAUUUUAAUGAUAACUCUUUAUUCAUUAAAUGAUGCUAAACUCUUUAGUCAUCAAUUAGAACUCUUCUAAUGACCUUAAGAUGCAUUGAUAAUACGCUUUACCAAUAUUGAUCUUAAGGUUUCUACAAGUCAUGAGUGACACCUAGCAGUAUAUCACAACUAUCCAAAUAACAAGAAUUGUUGGAUCUAUAGAACCUAUUCCAUUGUACCUCUAUGUCUUGGUCUCUUCAUCAUCCAUGUCCAAAGAAAAGCACGGCUUAUGGUUUAUUAUGUUAAGCACUUAUGCUUUAUCUCAAAACAAAUCUAAAUGAACUUGACAUGAAAAUAUAAUUUGAACUCCUUCAAAUAUAUUUCACCUUGGCCAAGGAUUUCUCAUGCCAAUUCAUAUUAUCUCAUAGGGACAUCCUUUUUGUAUAUUACAAAGUGAUGAAUUCCAUAUUGGCCAUGCACUAGUCUUCAUACAUAUCCAACCAUGACAGUUAUUGCUAGAUCUCUUCCGUGAUUAGGAAUCAAUCAUUAUGCAUUCACAUAUCAGAGAUGUCUAUGUAUAAGACAUCUGUUAUGCCUCAGGUCUAAAAACCAUUACUAAACAUAGUGUUUAAUACAAUGUAUAAUAAGCCAUUAACACUCAAGACCAUAUAGCUUACUAUAUUUGGUCAAGUUUAGUAAACUUGUUCUCUCAACAAGUAUCUAUGUGUUUGACUUGACAUCUCAUGUCAAUGAUAUGAAACUCACCAUCUAUUUUAGUAUCACAUACCAUAAGGAGUCAUAACACAUACUAGUGUUUAUAGAAAUUUAUAAUGUCCAAUCAUAAAUCCACCACUAGGAACUAUUUUAGAAGUAUAGUACAAAGGAUACACGUUUCAUAUUCUCGACAAACUCGAGAAUGUGUUCCUUAACUAUUUUACAUCUUGGACUAUAUUCAUUAAAUUAAUUAAUGAAUAUUGAUAACUUUGCCAUUUUAUAAAUAUCAAAAUGCUAUUCAAAUACGAUAAUUCCCUAAACAAACAAACACCAUUUGAUUGGCCUUUAGGGCAUAUUACUAACAAUCUCCCACUUGCACUAAAGCCAAUCGCUAUGGUAUCUCAUACCCAUCUUCUCAAGAUGACGAUCUAACUCUUGUUGAGUAAGUGCUUUAGUCAGAGGAUCCGCAGUGUUAUCAGCGGAGGCUACUUUCUGCAUAGUGAUAUCACUCCUUCCAAUGAUUUCUUUGAUAAUGUGAUAUCUUUUUUCUAUGUGUUUGGACUUCUAGUGAGACCUUGGUUCCUUAGCUUGUGCUAUAGCUCCAUUGUUGUCACAAUAUAAAGAGAUUGACAACGCAAUGGUUGGAACCACUUCAAGUUGUUGAAUAAACUUCCGUGUCCAAACAGCUUCUUUUGCUGCAUCUGAUGCAACUAUAUAUUUCGCUUCAGUGGUAGAAUCUGCAGUAAUUGUUUGCUUAGAACUUUUCCAGCUUACUGCUCCACCAUUGAUAGUGAAUAAAAUCCUGAUGUAGAUUUUCUAUCAUCUACAUCUGACUGGAAAUCUGAAUAUGUGAAGCCUUCAAUUUUUAGCUUACUUUCUCCAUAUGUUAAGAACAAAUCUUUAGUUCUUCUGAAGUACUUAAAGAUAUUCUUAACUGCGGUCCAAUAUUCCUCACCCGGAUUACUCUGGUAUCUGCUAGUGACACUCACUGCAUUGAGCUAUAUCCGGUCUAGUACAUAGCAUAGCAUACAUAAGACUUCCAAUUGCAGAAGCAUAUGGAAUCUUAUUCAUUCGCUCUAUCUCAUCAUAAGUUUUAGGACUCAUGCUUUUAGAGAGAUGAAUUCCAUGUCUGAAGGGUAUAAAACCCCUUUUGGAAUCCCACAUAUUAAAUUUCUUUAAUAUCUUUUCUAUGUACUUAGCUUGACAUAGACCUAUUAAUUUUCUGGAUCUAUCUCUAUAAAUCCUGAUUCCCAAGAUAUACAUUGCAUCUCCUAGGUCUUUCAUGGAGAAGUUUUGAGAAAGCCAAAUUUUGACAGAAGACAUUUGUCCAAUGUCAUUUCCUAUAAGUAAUAUGUCAUCUACAUAUAGCACAAGGAAAGAUAUUGCACUCCCACUAACCCUUUUGUAAACACAUGGUUCAUCCUCAUUCUUGAUGAAACCAAAUGAUUUGAUUGCAUCAUCAAAUCGGAUGUUCCAGCUCCUGGAGGCUUGUUUUAGCCCAUAAAUGGACUUUCUUAGCUUGCAUACUUUAUGAGGAUUUGUCUUAGAUUCAAAACCACAAGGUUGUAUCAUAUAGAUAUCUUCCUCAAUGUACCCAUUAAGAAAUGCAGUUUUGACAUCCAUUUGCCAAAUCUCAUAGUCAUAAUAUGCUGCUAUAGCCAAUAAGAUUCUGAUGGACUUUAGCAUGGCUACUGUUGAAAAGGUUUCCUCAUAGUCGAUACUUUGUAUUUGACGAUAACCUUUAGCUACCAACCUUGCUUUAUAGGUCUCUACCUUUCCAUCUAAGCCGAUCUUCCUCUUGAAGAUCCACUUGCAUCCAAUAGGUAUAAUACCUUCGGGUGGAUCCACUAGAGUCCAGACUUGAUUGGUUCUCAUAGAGUCCAUCUCUAAAUCCAUGGCUUCAAGCCAUUUCUUAGAGUCAAUAUCUGAUAUUGCCUCUUCGUAACUAGUAGGAUCAUCUCUAUGAUUUGUAUCACCCAAUAAAAAAUAUAUCGUUCAUCUGAUGAAGAAAACCAUAUCUUUCUGGUGGGUGAAUUAUUCUAUUAGAUCUACGGAGCUGCUGUGUUCCUUGUGUUUGUACUUGAACAAGUUCUUCAUUGGAUUUAUCCUCAUUAGAAUUCUCAAUAAAUUCUAUUUUUCUUCCUUGUCCACCUUCUUGAAUAAACUCUUUUUCAAGAAAUAUGACAUUUCUACUGACCAAUACCCUUUGAUCAGAUUGGAUGUAAAAGUAAUAACCCAAAGUUUCCUUUGGGUAUCCAAUGAACCUCCCACUAUCCGCUUUAGCUUCAAGUUUCUCACUCUUGAGUCUCUUGAUAAAAGCAGGACAUCCCCAAAUCCUAAGAUGAUUUAGGCUUGGUUGUUUACCAUACCACAUCUCAUACGGUAUUUUAGGUACAGACUUGGAAGGUACUCUGUUUAGUACAUAUGUUGCAGUAAGGAGAGCAUAUCCCAAAGAGAAAUUGGUAAGUCUAUAUAACUCACCAUUUAUCGCACCAUGUCUAACAGUGUGCGAUUUCUCCUCUCAGAUACUCCAUUAAGCUCUGGUGUACCUGGAGGUGUCCAUUGUGAAACAAUACCAUUUUCUUUAAGGUAAGACUGGAAUUCUCCACUGAGAUAUUCACCACCUCGAUCUGAUCGUAGGGUUUUAAUAACUUUUCCAGUCUGUUUCUCUACUUCAUUUCGGUAUUCUUUGAACUUUUCAAAGGCUUCAGAUUUAUAUUUCAUUAAGUAUACUGAACUAUACCUUGAGUGAUCGUCGAUAAAAGUUAUGAAGUAGUAAUAUCCACCCCUUGCCAUUUCAUUAAAUGGUCCACAUACAUCAGUAUGUAUAAGUUCAAGUAAAUCAGUGGCCCUUGUACUUCGUCCAACGAAGGGUGCCCUGGUCAUUUUUCCUUGAAGGCAUGAUUCACAAGUUGGAUAAGGUUCUAAACCAAAUGGACCUAUUAGUCCAUCUUUAGCCAAUUUUGUGACUCUAUCUUCUCCAAUAUGACCUAGCCUUAAAUGCCACUUAUAUUUGGGGCUUAUUUCUUCUCUUUCACGUUUAUGUGUUAUGGUAUUUACAUUCACAACAUGCUCAUUAUUUUCUUUCAUGUUUAGUACAUAUAGAUCAUUAUCUAAAGUACCAUGUGCAACAUAUUUAUUCUCAUGAUAAAUAUUACAAAUUUUAUUUCUGAAAUAAAAUUCAUAAUUGUCUUUGCAUAAACAUGAAAUUGAAACUAUGUUCCUUACAGCAGAAGGAACAAAUAAACAAUCAUUCAAACUUAUUACAUGCCCAGAUGUCAUUUUUAAGAAAAAUGUCCCUAUAGCUGAGGCAGCAACUAUUGCUCCAUUUCCCACUCUAAGAGACACUUCUCCUUGUUUAAGUCUUCUACUUCUUUUCAGAUCCUGCAUUGACAUACAAAUAUGUGCGGUCGCAGCAGAAUCUAAAAUCCAAGAAGUAGAAUGAAUGAUUGAAAUAUUAGUUUCAAUAAUGAGCAUACCUUCAGAAGGAUUCUCUUUAGGCUUGACUUUCAAGCUGUUGAGGUAAGAUUUGCAAUUCCUCUUCCAAUGCCCAUUCUUACCGCAAUGGAAACAUUUUCCCUUGUCAUUGGGCUUAUUAGCUUUCCCCUUCUUAAUCCCACCUUUAGCCUUGGGUUGAAACUUUUUCUUUUUACCCUUUUUAGUUGAGGGCCCUUCUAUAGCCAUAACAUCUUUUGGCUUCUUUAUGCAAGUUUCAGCAGUAUUAAGCAUCUUUAGCAGUUCAGCAAGACUGCACUCCAUUUUAUUCAUGUUAAAAUUCAUGAUAAAUUGAGAGCAUGAGUCUGGCAAGGACUGUAGGAUAAGGUCGAUAGCUAAUUCCCCAUCCAUUGAGAAAUUAAGAGCUUCCAGCUGCUCUAUGUAGUCAAUCAUUUUGAGUACAUGAUCAUUGACCGAUCCUUCAGUCAUUCUCAUUCUGAACAGUUUCUUAGAUAUCUCAUACCUAACUGUUCUGCUUUGUUCACCAUACAACUCUUGUAAAUGAAGUAUCAUGGAACUUGCAUCAGGCAUAUUUUCAUGUUGCCUUUGUAGUUCAUUGGACAUCGAUGCCAAUAUAUAGCUUUUAGCACUUAGGUCAUCAUCUUGCCACUUCUGAUAAGUGACACGAUCUGCCUCACUUGCUCCCUCAGGAAUUUCAUUUAGAUUAGAUGUAUCAAGAACAUAGCUAAUUCUCUCAUAAUUAAGAACAAUUCUUAAAUUUCUGAACAAAUCAACGUAAUUAGGUCCCGUCAAACGGUAGUUUUCCAGAAUUCGUGCUAACAGAUUAUUCAUUAUUAAGUAUUUCUGCAGAAAGUAUAAAUUAAAUUAUUAGCAUUUUAUUUUAUUAUAAUCUAUUUGAUUUUGGUCUUUAAACCAAAUAGUGCCUCCUGUUGAGUGUUAGAAAAUGCAUAUUUAUAAAGGAGAAAACCGUCAUUUUACAUUUCAAGUCUUAUUAACAACCCUUACUUUUAUGUAUUUAACAUUCUUGUGAUUUAAUUACAUGUGUUUAUUUUAAUUAAGUAAUUUAUGUAUUUUAGGGGCAUUAUAGUCAUUUCACAAUAAAAGAGAGAUCAGACGGCAAAACGGACAUCACUUUUGAACUCAGGACGGUCGAAAACCUUAGGAGGAGCAUAAAAGGAAAAAUGACACUAUUCACAUGUACGGUACUAUUCACGGGUACGGUAUUGUCUACGUUACUGUUCACGACAAUGUUCACAUAGACGGAUCAAUGACGUGGCAUUGAUUGAUGACGUGGCAUUGACUGAUGAGGUGUCACGAUCCUGUUGGACUAAAAUUCUUAUAUACUGUUGAUGGUGACGUGGCAGCAUAUUAGUGGACGAAAAAUCUCGCGUACGGUGCAUGCAUCACACAGGAUUAUUUUCAACCAAACCGCGUUACUGUUCAUCCGGGUCAAACCGUGUUACUGUUCAUCCGCGUGGUCAAACCGUGGACUCUUGACUGAUGACGUGGCGCAAUCUUGAGCGUCCAAACUGUUUUUAAUCCGAUGGCCAUGAUUUACUCCAUGUAUCUAUAAAAAGGGGGCCUCUCCCCCCUAAUUUGAUAUCUCUGAAUCCAUUUUUGGGAUCCAUUUUCUGUAAUUCCUUCUCCAUCUUGUAUUUUCUUCAUAUUUUAAUAAAUUUCCAUUUUGCCCCUAGUUCAAUUAUGAGUGGCUAAUUUUCUUUCAAGCUUGGGUUGAAGGUGAAGUCUCAACAUGUGUCAUGGGCUUUAUUUGGUAAAUUUAUUUUCUCUUCCCCUCUAGUUUUUGUGGAUGUUUUGACUUCUCGUCGACAAAUAAUACUAAUCUUGUCUAGUACCGCCUUGGUUUCACCGGCCUUCUAGUACAAGGUUAUUAUUAUUUGGCACGAUAAGCCCUUAGCACCAUAUUGAUUAGAGCGUGGUUCAUGAGGUGUGGAUUCCCCCUUCAUGAUUUAAUUGGCAUUAAUACGGAUUAUAUAGCCCAUGAUGCAUGUUGAUACGGAUCCAGAUACCCAAGUACGUCAAUUUAAUAGAUUUCAUUUUCAAGUUAUUCUUGCCAUUUCAAUUCCAAUUUUAGAAUUUAUUCUCGCCAUUUUAAUUUAAGUUUUAGCAUAUUCCAAAUCAUUUCAACCACAAAUCCCACCACCCAUUUCCAAAAUUAAUUCUACACAUAAUUAAAAUCCACCUCCUCGUGGGAUCGACACUCGUCACCAUUAGUCUAUACUACAAUAGAUUCGUGCGCUUGCGAGUACAUUAAAAUUUGCACAACACGUCCCACUAUUUUAUCAUUUCCUUACACUCCCAUAUGUAAGAAACGGAAACUCUCAUUGGUAAAAGUUUCUAGUAGGAAUCAGAUUCUCAUUAGCCUAAGUUUACCUCACCUAACAGUUCUUGGCUUACUUAUUAUAAUGAGUAGGUAACUCUUACCAAAUGCAUCUCAUGCAUGUACCGAUUAUCCUUCGGCCUCUAAAUCAUUAAUACCUCACCUGACAGUUCUUAGUAUAAAUGAUUUAGUUAAGUUUACCCUAAUACCCUUGCAUAUUUUCAUAACGUCUUACUAACUUCACCUAACAGUUCUUGGUAGCUUAAUGUAUGAAUUACGCAUCAUCGCAUGAUAUAUGGUUUAUUUUCAACAUUUUAAUGAAUGAGUAGCCCAUGUAUCUAUGACAACUAGCCCAAGCAUAAAAUAUUUUAAAUAUUCCAUUGGUAUUAGUAGGCCAUGAUGGAUAUUCUCAAUAUUCAUCAUUACAACUUAACAAUAAUUAUGUUUAUUUAAUUAGGGAGUAUUUGGUCAUUAUUAUGGUCUCACUUUUUAGCAUGUUAUUCCAUUUUCAAUAUUCAAAUAUGUCUAAGCACCCUAAUAUACAUCUCAUGCAUAUUAUAGACAAGCCAACUAAGGAUGAUCAUGGAAUUUUCUAAUAAAACCAAUUUGAGCCAAAAUUAGUUUUAAGGUCCACCUAGGUAUCAAGCAAACAAUAAUAAUUAUGAGACAUCCCAUGCCUCAAAUUAUCAAGCAAACAAUAAUGAUUAUGAGACAUCUUAUGCCUCAAAUUAUUACAAUUAUUAAUUUCUAUUUGAAUGGCCAAAAUAUCAUUGGAAGUGAUGCAACGAUCCACAAAGACUUCUUACUCCAACCUCCAAGGCAUCGCAACGUCCCUCCUUUGACAAUCAUCUUGUAGAAAUUACAUAUUUAGAAGAAUUGGAGUACAAAUUUAGGGGUAAUGGGAUACAAUCAGAUCUUAAUAGAAGGAGAGACAUGCAAGUCCCUAUUUAAAAAUAUAACAACCAUUUAAGCCUUUAGAAAUCGGCCAAAUCAACAAAUAAAUCAAUAGAUCAUUCAAUCACACAUAUAUUCAUUCAUCACAUGACAUAAAUAUAUCAUAAAAUAUCUAGGUCUUUCCAUGAUCGUCCUUCAUGCUAUUAUAAAUGGAAAUAACAUAAAUCAUGCUUCAAAAAUGCGAAAUUGAAUGAAGAUGGCUCUGAUACCACUUGAAGGACAACAUUUGUCCAUGAGGUUCCUAAAAUCGCAACUUUUGUGCAGUAAUAUUAAAACGGACGGCGGAAGCUCUAGAAACCUCGGAUCGGCUUCAUUCAAAAACGAAAAUCAAGAGGAAAGAUUGAAGUUUAAUUACCUCACUUGAAGUUUCGAAAAAGACUUCUUGAGGUAGGAGAAAACGACUGAAAACAGCAAGCUACGAACACUGUCCAGAAAAUACAGCUCUGCACGAACAGCUUCUGUUUUGCCACGAUCUGAGAUCCUUAAGCACCCCAAUUGUGAUGCCUCUAAUUAUUCCACACUUAGAAAUGUUCUAGGAGUUCAGAGGAUUUGGAAUCACGAAAUUUCGUUUAGAAAUGAGAGAGAUAAUGAUGAAACAUGAAUGCUAGUCCAUGAUGAUUCCCCUUCCACCAAAUAAAGCACCAUUAUGUCUAAUAAUGGCACCAAACAUUAUCAUGUGCUAGACCCACCCACUUAGCUAUAAUUUAUUGAAAGUGAUCUUAUCACUUAAAUAAAUUAUUUAAUCAAAUUAAUAAAUAGCUAAAUUAAUUAAUUUCGUAAUUAAUUAAUUAACCCCAUUUUGAUCAAAUCAAAUGGUUAAAUGUGGGCUCAUUUUGUGACAUGUUCUAAUGCUUUCUCUUAAUCCAUAUUAGAUCCAAUAAAAGCCCAAAAUUAUAAACCCAAAAAUGGUCUAGAAGUCCAUAAUCAUAUAUGAACCCGAACAUGUCCAAAAUGGUCAUUUUACGUGCUCGAUAUUACAUAAUGUUUAAUGGAGGAUUUACGAAAUUUAUUUUGUUCCUUAAACUAUUUAUGGAACAUCUAAAUUUCUAUCUUAAAUCAUAUUUAAGAUAUAUUUAUAUAUAUAUGUAUAUUCAUUCUCAAUGAAUUAUAAUAUAAAUAUUGAUUUUCCUAAAAAUAGGAAAUUUAACUUCUCAUUUUCUAGUAACUCCUUUUUCAUUUCUAUUUAAUGUGUGACCUUUUAGGUUCUUAGUUAUAAGGUAGUAGAACUAUUUUAAUGAUAACUCUUUAUUCAUUAAAUGAUGCUAAACUCUUUAGUCAUCAAUUAGAACUCUUCUAAUGACCUUAAGAUGCAUUGAUAAUACGCUUUACCAAUAUUGAUCUUAAGGUUUCUACAAGUCAUGAGUGACACCUAGCAGUAUAUCACAACCAUCCAAAUAACAAGAAUUGUUGGAUCUAUAGAACCUAUUCCAUUGUGUCUCUAUGUCUUGGUCUCUUCAUCAUCCAUGUCCAAAGAAAAGCACGGCUUAUGGUUUAUUAUGUUAAGCACUUAUGCUUUAUCUCAAAACAAAUCUAAAUGAACUUGACAUGAAAAUAUAAUUUGAACUCCUUCAAAUAUAUUUCACCUUGGCCAAGGAUUUCUCAUGCCAAUUCAUAUUAUCUUAUAGGGACAUCCUUUUUGUAUAUUACAAAGUGAUGAAUUCCAUAUUGGCCAUGCACUAGUCUUCAUACAUAUCCAACCAUGACAGUUAUUGCUAGAUCUCUUCCGUGAUUAGGAAUCAAUCAUUAUGCAUUCACAUAUCAGAGAUGUCUAUGUAUAAGACAUCUGUUAUGCCUCAGGUCUAAAGACCAUUACUAAACAUAGUGUCUAAUACAAUGUAUAAUAAGCCAUUAACACUCAAGACCAUAUGGCUUACUAUAUUUGGUCAAGUUCAGUAAACUUGUUCUCUCAACAAGUACCUAUGUGUUUGACUUGACAUCUCAUGUCAAUGAUAUGAAACUCACCAUCCAUUUUAGUAUCACAUACCAUAAGAAGUCAUAACACAUACUAGUGUUUAUAGGAAUUUAUAAUGUCCAAUCAUAAAUCCACCACUAGGAACUAUUUUAGAAGUAUAGUACAAAGGAUACACGUUUCAUAUUCUCGACAAACUCGAGAAUGUGUUCCUUAACUAUUUUACAUCUUGGACUAUAUUCAUUAAAUUAAUUAAUGAAUAUUGAUAACUUUGCCAUUUUAUAAAUAUCAAAAUGCUAUUCAAAUACGAUAAUUCCCUAAACAAACAAACACCAUUUGAUUGGCCUUUAGGGCAUAUUACUAACAAUAGCUGCUGCGUUGAUUUCUAAUGCGGUGGAGUAAUCGUCGUUAGAAUCUGAAUGAUAUGUCUAAGACGUUGCAUGCAUCAAGAAAAUUGCAGACGAUUAAACCUUGCCAUCUAUGCGUUGUAUGAGGUUAUAGCAACUAUCUAUCUGGUCACCGUUUUAAAAGAAUAAGACAAAGGGAAAAAGAGAAAGAAAAGAAUGAUUCGACAAUGGCAUUAAAGUUCAACAUACCCCAAGAUCUUGUAAUAAUGCCAUUAAUCAUUCUCUAGCUAGGCUAGCCUUAGAGAAAAGUGAAACUGUUGCACAGGUAGAAUCAAACCCCUCAGAGAUAUGAUGAGUUCGUGAUGCUUGCAUUUUAUUGAUGCUGAUGAUUCGUUGAAUGUUUUAUGUUUUUGAUUUUUAAGUAUUCCGGAUCGAAGUUUGUGUCUACGCGGAAAUUGUAAAGGCAGCAUAUAAAGUACUCGUCGUUCUUUAGAUUUUAUUGAGUACACUUUUGUCACAUUUAGCGUAUGCUAUACACUACUGAUUUGCGCAUUGACAUAUAUCUUAUUUUAUCAUUUUGAAUGAAUUACACGGCGAGGCUUAUCAACUUUGGAUGAAUCCUCCAAUUGUCACAGUCCAAGACUGGCUGCAGUGAGUGAAAAUUUACCCAUAUAUAUGCUGGCUAUUUUUAUUGGCGACGAAUUCGUUGUAGUUGGUCCAUCUUGCUAUUCUCGGACAAUAUUAGAGAAAAUAAUCAUAUUAUUUCGCGUGAUGUGACCUUCCAUAACUUAUCAAUUGAAUUACUGUAAAAUUAUUGUGUAAGUUUAGGCCCAAUGGCACUUUAGUUCAUCACAUGAUAGCCUGGAUUUAAAAGGAAAACUAUAUUGCAUUGCUUCAAAAAAAAAAUUUAAUGUUUUUAAUAUGAAUAUUUUUAACUAUAUUCAGUUAAAAUAAUAUAUUCUUAAUAUUAAUAUUCAUAGAUGAAAUUCUUUUGCGGAUUUAAGAAUAAAAUAUCAAAUAGUUUUAUUUUUCUUUUGUUGUGUAACUCGGACCGAAAAAGACAAUGAGCUUAACAUGACCCUCCUUCCGGCACUAUGCAUGUUUUUCUUAUAUUAAUGACAGUGCUCUUGGUGCUUCUCAUCUGCUUCUUGCUUUGGUUUCAAACAAGUCUUUCUCCGUCGAGACAUUUAUUGUAAUUUGAUUUGGAGACAUCUGUCGUUCAAAUAUAUUUCAUAUGCAAGCCGUUGAUAAUUCUGCUUGAGAAAGCCUACAAAGCAGCUGUGUGAUGUAAUAGAAGACUAUAUAUGCAAACGGUCAUCAGUUUCUCUUGAAUUCUUUCUUGAGUUUCUUUGAAUUAUUUGUGAAUGAGUUCUUAAUCGGCUGCUGCUCUUCAGGAAAAGGAAAGUGUUGCAAACUGGUGAAGCUGAUCGAUAAAAGCAAUGUACCAUCUUUGCUGGCAUGGAUCGAUGCCAGUGAGUUUUUUUAUUUGUCAACCUUUUUAAUAAUGCAUAUGUUUUUCUUCAACUUGAAGCGGCAUAUAAGACGAAAGAAGUGAUCUUUAAAGCAUUCUAUGGCAUUAUCCUUUCCUAUUAUAUAUAUCCAAUUGCUCCAAAUUAUUUGUAAAUUACUGAACACGAAUGCUGGUGAAUAAACUGAUGGCUCUAUGUAUGUAUGCACAUGCAUGGAGAAAUUUUAAGUCAGACAUUCUCAUAUAUAACUCGUGCUACCAAAUCAUUAAAUAAUCUUGAAAUCAAAGUAAUAAUUAAAUACAAAUAAAUUGCUCGAAUUGUACAUAUAUCUGAAUCAUGUAGUGAAGAAAAUACAACAACAACAACCAAUGGCUCAAAUUCCCCAUCAACUUCUAGUCUCAACACUUUUGAGUGUCAGAAGCAUUACUCUGCUACCAGUUAACAAACAUAUAAUUAGUAAUUAGCUAUUCACUUCCCUUUUAGGCCUACCACAUUUUCUACAAAGAAGCCAUAGAGAAUCAGCAGGAAACACUCAAUUUCAACCUAUGUAGGACCAGGAAUUUCAACCAAAAAAAAAAAAAGUGUGCAAUUGCUUAUCCUAUCCUAUUGCUACUAGAAAGAAAGUGAACAAUUAAUUUCAGUGAAUAAAUUAAAAAAAAAAUUACUUCUGCAGAUACUCAAGCUAAGAACACAUUAACCCAUUAAAGACUCCAAAUUGCAUCAAACAAAUUGUUGUUAAACAAGUAAAACAAAGAAAGAGAGUUAAGGAAGCUGACCUAGUAGUAGGGGAGCUGAAGAAAGACUGCCAGUGAAUGUAAGAGAAAAUAAAAUGCAAGAAAUGGUGAAGUGCAGCUUUUCAUGUCAACUUGAAAAUGAUUUUUCUGUUUUUUUUUUUUUUUUUUUUUUGUAAUCUUUUGGAUUUUUCAAACAAAGAAAAUGAGGAGCAACCAGGGAGAUAAAAAGGGCGCCAAGGCAACUGUGUGUUGGGUUUAGAGCCAAAAAAAAAAAAAAAGAAUAAGACAUCGUGUUCUUGUGGAGACCAGACCUAUUACGUAACGUCCCCUUCAAUACCACUUGUUCCGUAUCUGGUUUUUUCUUCGUCUUUUACAUAUUUAUCCUGUGAUUUUACAAUAACUAAAUAAUCCCCCCAUAGUUUGCAAUUUUAUUCAUUUGAGCCCUACAGAUUUCAGUAAUAGGAAUUAUUAAGGGACAAGAGCGCAAAACAGAAACUCUGUCCACUACUGAUGAUAUAACAACGAACCUUUGUUUUUUUCUUUUUCUUUUUUUAAAAAAAGAGUAACAAAAUAUCAUUAGACAAAUGAAAAUAUUAUCUAACAUCACCCUACUGAUGAUAUAACAACGAACCUUUGUAGUUUCUGCCUGUUAAUAUGAAUUGAUCGGGAGUGUUUCCUCAAUUAAAAAUUACGAAUUUACAAAAUAUGUAUGUAUGUACGUACGUAUAUAUGUAUGUACAUAUAUGCAUACACCUAUGUAACAUUUACUUAUCCAUUCUUUUGAGUUUAAAACUUAAUACACAUUUUCAUGAAAUUUUUUAUUUUAUUAAGUAUACAACUACAUUAAUGUAUAUAUUUUUUAUAUAAGACAUGCCGUCCUAUUAUUCGUAAGUAAAACAAUGUGUUGUGAAUAGUAUUCCGUGUUUUCUCAAAGUUGACUUUUCGUCUUUUAUUUUCAGACGCAGACGAUAUGUCAUUUUGUAAUCUUCCAAACAUAUACAGAGCUGAAUUGGUGUUAUCUGAUUUUGUGAUGCAAUGAUAUUUGCACUUCCUGUGCACUCAAUGGAAUCAUUUCUUUGUAACUAAUUGGGUGGUGGAAUCUAUCAAACUCCAGAAACAGGGAAACCAUGCCACGCUAGUAGACAAUAUGCUAGUUUUAACAAACUUGUUUGAAUGGCAAAAACGACAUGACCUGCUGUAGUAUUAGUUCUUUCCCGAACCAACGGGUGAUUUGCUACGUUGGAUCAUGAAAAUUGAAAAAAAAAAUUAACCAAAAUAAAAAUUCUUAAGGAAUUAGUUAGUUAAUUGAUUGAUCGAAUUUAAUCUAAAUUUGAAAAUGAUAAGAUAAAUUUAAAUUUAUUAUUAUUAUUAUUAUUUUAAAGUGGGUGGGUUUAUACAAUUUGAGCGGUGGAAAUAUCACUGCUGAAUUAUUAAAUAUACAGUGUAAAAUUUUGACCUUUAAAAUAUUCCCUUUUUUUUUAUUAUUUAGAACUAUAAGUUUAAAAAUUUAACAUUUUACCUCAAUAAUUAAAUACUUUUAACUUUAAUCUUCAAAUAUUUACCCUACAACAUUUGGACCUAAAUUUUUAAUCCGACUCGGCCCCUGACCCAAGUGGGAAGAAGAUCAGGCUUAUAAGUUAUAACUAUCACCAACAUAACAUCUUCUGGAAAAUAAUAAGAUUACUCACCUGCAAUUAUGUGAUCAAACUAAUGGUAAGCAAAAUAGAACAGCGUUAUUUCAGCCCCCUUUCAGUUUCUUUAUCAUUUUUCUUUUCCUAUUUAUAAGCUGAAUUCGGUUCAAAAUCGGCUAAUUCACUUUGAUUUCACUUUUCUUUCUUUCGGUUCAAAAAAAUUGAACCCAUUGGCUGUCAAUUCAAUUUUGUUGAAAACCAACUUUGCCUGAAUUUAAGUAAUAAUAGAGGAAAAAAACAAAAGAGUACUUAGCAGAAGAGAUUUCUCAUUUUUUUCUCAUUCAAACUUCUAAAAUAAAGGAAAAAAAAACAAGAGUAAUUGUUAAUUAUCAAAAUUUUGUUUAUACUAUUCCACCAAGAAAAUUAUAAAAAAAAAAUUUUAAAAAUUGGAGAAGAAAUAUGAGGUGAAAUACGUGGAUGGCUUAGACUAAUAAUGUGAACAAAUUCCUCUCGGAAACAUGUCAUUGUUCAUCCGGACAACACGCGGCGAUGAGAUUCAAGAAUGAAAGGAUAGGAAUCAACUGUAACCUCAUAAACAAAUGGGCUUGGAGUUGUAAACACCAAGCUCGGCAGAUUAAUUAAACAAAAAUAUCCGAAUUUUCUAUGAUAAUCUCUAGGAAACGAUCAGCUAUAAUGUACGAAAUUAAAAUAUUGCAUAUAUUUUUGAAUUUUUGAACUCAUGCAUUAAUUUCAAAAAUUAUAUCGUAUUAUAAUUUAUUCACAAAAGAAAGAAAAAUUCACUAAUCAAGUGAAAUCGUAUUCUUAUUGAAAUGAAUUCCAGUAAUUGGAUAAAUAUAAGUAUUUCUUCCAUUGUAAUUUUUGUUUAAUAGAAAAUCUAUUUGAGAUUUUGUGAGAAGAAACUCAACAAUAAAGUUUGAUAGACUUUGUGGAUAUUAAGAGUUUGACAAGUAAUUGAAAUCUGAAGUUUACUGAAGUUUACGAGCAAACAAACUGAAAUCCAAAGUUUACUGAAGUUUACUAUCAAGAGUUUCAAAACAGUGAAAAAGAUGAUAUAGUUGAUGACAGAAACCUGAGUUAUCCAUAGCGACAAGUAACAUACUGAAGUAAGCCGUUGGGAGCUGGCCUGUUCAUGGGCUAUUUUUCUCUGAUGAUCUGCAUUUUUCUUCCUUUUAAGUGAACCUUGACUCGUAUCAAACCUGUCAAAAGAACAGUUCAUCAACUGAGCUGAGAUUUGCUUUCCUUUUUCAAAACCCACCUGAGAUAUUGUAAUUCCCAAAUUUCUCUCUCUCAGCUACACGAGCAAGCAGCCGCUUUUUCACUUCAUCGAAGAAGGUAAGCGAUAUAUCUAUUUCGUCCGAUUGAUUUCUUGUUUCCUUUUCAGUGUUCGGGUAAAUUAUUGGCAUGCCUGACUUUUUGACCAUUACAUGAUUCAUAAAUUUAUAUUAAUUUUGAUUUUGAGUUGACCGGUUACUUUUAUAGGUUUGCUUACUUUGACUAGGUGACCAAUUUCUUGUAACUAAAUUUAUGACGUGAUGCAGGAAGCUGGGCAGGAUAUGAAAUGAGAAUCUUAUUAGUGGAAGGAUUGCCAGUAACAGAACCCAAAGAAAAUGAAACCAUUUCAAGGCAGCAGUUGGCAGUUGGGAGUGAAUGGAGGCCCCUGACAAAACUUCAGUAAACUUCAGAUUUCAGUUUGUUUGCUCGAAACUUGCAUGGUGACAAGGAUACUGACAAGGAUAAUGAGAUAGUUUUUGUGUGAAUGAAAUUACGACCAUCCUCAGCCUCAGGUAAUUUCUUCUCCUGCUUAGUUGUUAUUUGUUACCUAAUUAAGAAGCAUAAAGUAUCUUGAAUCAUUUUCGUUGUCUGGAAUAUAUGCAACAGUUUUUAAAAUUUUGAUAUCAGUGUAAUGAUUGUAAUUUCUGUUUUCUGUCUGUCAUCGAAUGUAAGGCAACUUUAUUAAGACUCUUGAACCGAGUCAUUUUUUACAAUUGAAGGACAAGUGCUGAAGAGUGGGAAUGCAAAAAUUUUUGUUGUUUUUAGCCUUGUUUUCUUUGAACCAGCGCCUGAUUCUCAAGACUCCAUUAAUUUGGCUUUUGAUCAGCUGAUUGAUAAAUGUUCAAUUUCUUUGGUGAUAAAUGUAUAUGUGAAGCAGGUAGCAGGGCAUGACUGUGGAAAAGAGAAGAUUUUAGUGAAAGCCGAGACUCAGAUAAUUCUACGCGUUUUGGCUGAUUUAUAUAAUUCGUGAAAUUUUAUUUCCGUCUGUUACAAGAUCAAACUGCAAUUAGCAAUUUAACAUUCCCUUAAAACCACUAGCUACAUUUCAUCUUUCCACAAUUACACUUAAAAUUCCACUAAAAGAAACUCUUGAGGUGCUCUGAUGAGCAUAUAAUAUAUACAUAUUUUACCCUUAAUUAAAUAAUUGCUAGUUAUAUUUAUUUGUUAUUUUUAAUUAAUUGAAUUAUUUUAUUGCAUAGAGAAUUAAUUGAAGAUUGGAAAUAAAAAGUGCAAAAAGAAUAACAAUUUAGGAGAAUAUUAGUUGAAGUCAUGACAGAGUUAAGAGCCAAGAGCAAUUUGCAUUGAAUUUUAAUUCUCCAAUUGAGUUGCACGUGCAUGGCAUUGCAAAAGUGGAAAGCAAUUUAAAUGGGGCCCACACUUGACUUUCAAAAGUGGAAUUAAUGGCUUAUGGUGGCGUUAUUAUGGAAGCUUUGUUUUAUAAUUGGAAAAGGAUUUUAAUUAGUAGACAAAGAGGAUUCGGUGGUUAAGCAUUAUAAAAAGAGCGUUUUGGCUUUUGAAUGAGGGGAGCCGCCAGAGGACGGAAACAAAAGGGCUGGAAGAGAGCAAUCGGUAGUAGCAAUAUUUCGGCUUCCAUGGCUGAUUUUAUUUCUUGUGUUGCUCUCAAUUUAAGUAUGUCUAGCUAAUUUUCUUAUGCUGAGGUUAAGGAUAAAACCCUAUUUAAUGAAAUAAUUAUCUUUUUAUUUAAUUAAUUCCUUAUAUAUGUUCUUUGAUGAUUAUGGUUUUUAUUUCACAUGAUUAAUUGGAUGUUAAUAAAAUCUUUUCAUCAAUUCUGUCAUGCAUUAUUGAUUGUUAGGAUUAAUAUUCGAUUAAUUCUAUACUUGGAUCUAUAAAGUUUAUACAUGAUUAUCUUUGAUUUUAUGUCUUUCAUUAAAUUGUUGACAUGGAGUGCUUAGGAAACUUUGACUCUUUGUUAUUCAAUAUGUUUACAUGAGAUUCUUAGAUGUCAUACUAUUAAGCAGAAAAAAACCUACAUAAGAUUAAUUUUAUUUGGGCUUAAUUGUUAUAUCCAUGAGAUGACAUAGAUAGAUUUCGAGUUGUCACUCUAAAAUUGGGGAUUAAUUAAUAAUUAGCUAAUUACUAGUUGAAUAGUGGUGGAUUCUGAAACCUUAGUAAUUUGUCUUAUUGAUUUCUCAUUUGCUUUAAUUGUUUUCUUAGUUUAAUUAGUUUAAUUUCUCUUAAAACUCAAUUUGCUCAACUAAGUUAGAAUUAAUAUUAAUUUUAGAUUUAAAUUAGACUUUUCAAUUUAUAACAAUCCCUGUGGGAUCGACCUCGUGCGCUUGCGAAUAUAUUAAAAUUUUCACAACAUGCUCGCAAGCUAUAUAUCAUUAUCCAUUGAAUUCUUACCACAUAUAUCUCACCUUUCAAUCAAUCACAUAAUAAUCAAUAUACAUAUUGUAAGAAUUCAACAAAUGGAGAACAUAAUAUACUAUAAAAGCAUCCAAAAUUUUUCCUUCUCAAAUUAUUACUAAACUUCUUGAACAAGUUGAAGAUUGGGGGGAAAAAGUGCAAGAAGGAAAAGCAUUAUUCUACUAGCUUCUAGAAAGCAAAAUACCUUCUGCUGAUUGCACAUUGGAAUGGGAAUAAGUUGGUAAACAUAUAAGUUACAUAAAUUAUUUUGGAUAAUUCUGCUGGUGAAUUAAUUAUCUUAAAAUCACCCUUUUAUUUUUAAAAAAAUCUUAAGUUAUUUUUCAUAUAUCUUAAGAAGACAAACAAACUUUCAUCGACUCUCCUUUUUUAGCUUUUCCCUUCAAUAAUGUUAGAAAUUCUAACAUUUGAGUCAUGCUUGAGCUUAAUACUAUAUAUCACUCAUUUAUUAGAUGUUGAAUUUUUUAAAUUAUAAAGUUAUUUGACUACCAUCCAAUGAAUGAAUGUCACGUCAUUUAAAACUCAAAGAAAAGUAUUCUACUUCUUGCGGCAAUCAUGCCUUCAUUCAGACUAUGAACCAUUUCCUUUCACCAAAUUCUUCAUAAACAUUGAGUAAGUUUCAUGGUUGGACAUAGUUAGCUUCUGUUUCUUUUGGUGCAUUUAGGUGCUAUCAAGUGACGGCCGUAAGUGUGAUUGCAUUAUUGGGAAAUUUUACGAUUUGAUGGUUCCCCACGUUAUUGCCAAGAAAGUUCUCAUGUCGGAAGCAGCGGUUCUUUUCAUCGGCCUGAACCCGAACCUGUCGCUAUGGAUAACUCAGGUUUUUGUCAUCAACUAUAUCAUCUUUUUCACUGUUUUGAAACUCUUAAUAUUAAACUUAAAGUAAACUUCAGAUUUCAGUUUGUUUGCUCGAAACUUGUAUGGUGACAAGGAUACUGGCAAGGAUAAUGAGAUAGUUUUUUGUGUGAGUGAAUUUUGAGAGCUUGAGUGUUCUGGGAUUUGCAAUUGCAAUCAUCCUCUGCUUCAGGUGAUUUCUUCUCCUGCUCUGUCUUUAUUUGCUCUCUAAUUGAAAAGCAUAAAGUAUUUCAAUCAAAUUCUGUACCAGGAAUACUUAAAAGUUACUGAUUCUUUAUUUCCAUUUGUUUGCAUUGAUAACUUGACGGCAUAUGUACUAGUUAAAAAACAAACAGAAGUAGAGUUUAGGAAAAAGCUUCUUCGGCCACCAUAUUUGAAAAUGAAACCAUUUCCUAGAAGCAGUUGGCAGCAAAUUCAUAUAAAGUGUACACAAUGAUUAGCAGAAAGGUGAUUCACAAUUUCAUUUUUUUUUUAAAUGAAAUUAUUUGUUAAGUUGGAGCUGAUAUUGUUAGAAGGCCAAUGAGCUAACCUAUGACACUGCUUGCCUAGAUUGCAGGAGGUCAAGGCUCAAAAGAAGCACUGAAUUUUAAAAGGCAUGCAAUAAUUCUUAUGGCCAUAAGUCAAUUCAUGUAAGUUUGAAUAAGUUUAAUGGUGGAACGCUUUAAGCUCCUUUUCCUUUCGUGCAUUUUGGGGUGCUAUCAAGUGAUCGCCGUAUGUAUGGAUGCACAUAGCUGCUGCUGGGAAAUGUGAGGUUUUCAUGGCUGGCCGUGUUAUUGUCUUAAAUUAGAUGUGAUAAGCUGUUGCUUGGAGAUUCUGUUGCCAAGACUUUGCUCACAUCAGAAGCUGUGGAACCUCAACCCUUCUCUAGAUAUCAUGUUUUUCAUUGUUUUAAAACUCUCAGGAUUAAACUUGAGUAAACUCUCAGGAUACUGAGCAGGCAAAUGCCAUAACUCGGUUUGUUCUUCAAAAACUUGUUUAAGAUUCUUGACAAAGCUGCAUGAAGUGAAUCUUGGGAGCUUUGAGGGUGUAUAGGGAUUUGGGUUUAUUAGGAAGUUAUAUAUGUAUUUCGUCACUUAUCAUUAUCAUUUUUAUUUUCACAGAAAACCUUCUGAUGGUGCCAAAUUUUCAAACACCGGUCCGAUUCAAAACUUCAUAUUCCAAUUAUAUUCAUAAGACAAAUGGAACACUUUGAACGGCUUGUGUCCGAGCAUUGUAGUUUGAUUUAUUUUGAUGACAGUACCUUUUGACAUUGAGAUUCUUUCAUGAUUUAAACAUUCUUUUUAAAACCAAAUUAUUAAAAAAAGUAACUAACAUAUAUUAUUUUAUUAGUGCUUUUUAAAUCAAAUAUACAUAGGAGAACUGUAAUUCUUAGCAAUCAAUUUUCAACUAAAUACACCUGCAACAAACUAUUAAUAACAAAGUGAUAGAAAAUACUUGAUUUUUCAUACUUUCUAAUUUCUUUUGGUCCUAAAAUAUGGGCAUUUGUGUAAUAAUAAGCCCAUGUGGAUCUCUAUGCCAUGAGUUUGAUAAAUAGCUAUCAAGGAUCACAUAUUAAGCUAAAAAUAUUUGGAGGACAAAAUUGUAAAACUAAAAGGGUGGAGCAAAUAUGGCUAUCUAGGAUUAAAUAGUAAGUCAACUAUAUUUAAAGGAUAAAAUAUUAAAACUUGAACUGUGAUAUUAAAAAUAUCUCAACUAUUAUAUUAUUAAACCAUAUGUUCUAAUAGUUUAUUUUUUAACCUUCAAAAUGUUCAGGAUUUUAGAUUGAAACAUUUUCAUUUGAAAUUAUUUGGUGCAGUCACAAGUUAAGAAAGAAAAAAUUGUCCCAUUGGUCAUUUCACAAAAAUGAAAGCCCUGUAUAACAUGGACUUGAAUGGAAGCCCAAUUGUUUGUGUUUGAUUAAUUGAUUUCAAGCUUUAUCGAACCUUUGGACCUGGAUACUUUACUGCGGCCUCUAAGCGCUAUAAAUUUUUUUGGGGAUAAACGGCGCUUCAAUGAAGGCAUCUCCAAUGCUUAACACCAUUUUGGUGUAACACCAACACUAAAAAAUAUACAUUUUUCACACUAAAUUAUUAUUUCAUCUCUAACUUAUUUACACCAAAUUUUACACCAAAAAAAAUAUUUUUUUUAUUCUUUUAAUUCUCUAGAAUUAAUUCAAUUAACACAAUAAAUAUUACUAUUAAUAUAGAUAAUUAAGUAAUUUUAUCGAUUAACAAAAAAAAUAUAGAAAAUUAUUAAAUUUGUAUUUAAUUAACUAAAUUAGUACAUUAUGAAAAUUAAACAUUACAUUAAUAUAGAAAAAUACAAUAACAAUAAUAAUAAUUUUAUAUCUAAUAUUUUGAUGAUAUUGGAGGAUCUAAUAAUGAUCUUCCAGAUUAUUAAAUAAUUGUUCUAAUUUAUACUAGUAGUAGUAGUUUUUUUAAUUUGUGUUAAUUUAAUUUUGUAUUUUUAAUUUUGUAAUAUAGUAAUUAAUGUUAUUGGCAUUUUAUUUUUAUUAUUAAUUUUUGUGUUGAAUAUUUUUUAUUUAAAUUAUUAGUAUAAUAUUCAAAAAUUAAAAAAUGAAAUAAAAAUAAUAACAAAAAUAAUAAUAAUAACUUAAAAUAUUAUAAAAAAGGACAUAUAUGUAAAUAAGAAAAAGUAAUAAGGAUAUUUAAGACCUUUUCUUCCUAGCACCAAAUGAAUAGUGUUACACCAUAUUUGGUGCAAUACUAUUCAUAACACCAUUUUGUUGUUGGUUUUGGUGCUACAUUGGAGAAGCAUUUUACACUAAAAAUGGUGUAAAAAGUGGUUUGGUGUUAGUUUUAGUGUCACAUUGGAGAUGGCCCGGAAAAGCACUUGAAAACUUUGGAUUUUCGGUUCAUCCAGUUACGGUGUUAUGCUAACGGGGUAAAAGGUUCCGAUCCAAUGAGUUAGGAUGGGAUAUGAAUAUAUAAAUUCCAUAGCAUGUAAGGACUAGGAGUUGUUUGUACAUAUCAAGAAAAAAAAGAUCCGAAAAUUUGAUGAUCAGAAGAUGAAGACACGUUUAUUACAGAGAAACAAACGACAACAUGAUACUAGUAGUAGUUAUUCUUUUCAUCCGAUACAUUACAUUGUAAUAUCACUGCUCGUUCCACUGGUUCCACUGGUGUAAUCAUCCAAAUUCCAACCUCCGUACUCUCGAGAGGAGUUUCCCAUUCAUCAAUUAUUAUUUUUUAUAAUCCAUACCAUCCUGAUAUAAUCAAACAACAUUAAUAAUGUACCAGCCUUUAUAUAGUAAUUAAUUUAUUUAGUUGCCCACCUAAAAGAAUCCUGCAGGAAAUACUGGUUAAAAAAUUUAUUAAAUUUGCUUACCUCUGUAUCAUUAUAUAUAUAAAGACUGAAAUCCAAAUGAAAUAUUUUAUCAUUCAUUCAGCAAACACUUAUAAUUCACGAAUAGUGAAUCUAUGCAUUGAAAAUGUGGAUUAAGAAUUAUAACACAUGAAUUCAAACAUACCCUCGUGAAGUUAAGAAUAAGUUCCUACUUCAAAUGAUUUUUUUAUCUAAUAAAGCAAUCACUUUCAUUAAACGACAGCGUUGAAGGAAUUGUGCAAUUUUUACGUUCUUUUCUAGACAGACGUUACAGAGAUGGGGUAAGUAGAGGGCUGGCCUCAGAUAUCUCACAAUUGUUAGUGAGAUAAAAUGUUAUUGUAAAAGGCGUUUAAUAGAAUAAUAUUAAUUAUUUUGCAUUGUUAUAACAAUAUUUUUUUCUUUUGACAGUUCUGCAGGACAAGUGAUCAGAGCUCAAUGAAUAUAGCCGUGGAGGCACAGCAGAGCAGGAUUAUGAAAAAGAGAAGCUUAUUACAGGUCAUUCAAGUUUACUUGCUUUUAUAUAAUAACUGUUUUGGCCGAUUUAUCUAAUUCAACAAAUGUCAUUUCCGGUACAUAUCUCCAUUGGUAUCAAGAAGAAGCAGAACCCAAAGAAACGUUUCUUGCAUCUUCAUAUUUGUGCGAAUUCAUCCUUUCAUUGAGAAUAACCAUUUCCAGGCAGCAGUUGGCAAUCAAUUCAUGCGCAAGUCGAUGCUAUUCAUAGAUAUUAAAGACAAUGAUGAACCAAAGGUGAUAAAUCAUAAAUGCAUAAUUACCAAACCUCCAUCCUUCUCUCAUUAUGAUUUGAUUUUAAAUGAAUUAUUGCUUGGUAACAUUAUUUCCAACCAUUGCAAGACCCUUUUUUUUUUUUUUUUUUUUGGGAGAAAUUUCAAUUGAAAGUGAAACCUUUAGACAUUUACCUAAUGAAGUUAGUUAAUCGGGAGGGUGGAAAAAAAAAAGUUGACGCAAGUCAAUACACAAUAAUUAAUUAAAUCCGGAGUGACUAAAACAGAGCCACUACUUUUUCAAAAAUAUCUGCAUUCAUCACUUUCUCCAGCAGCUAGUCAGCUACACACGAAUCAAUUUCUCUCCUCGUUUGUCAUCCAAAAUUAUUCACCAAUACCAUGGCUGAUGCAAUCGUUUCCACUAUCUUGGAGCAGCUGAUUUCCUUCGCUGCUGAAGAGAUAAAACAACAGGUGAUCGAAGUUUCACCCCUCAUAUUACAAAUACUUCCAAUGAUUUUAAUAAAUUUUGUUUUUAUCAAAAACAUUAUAUAUUUUUGCUUUUUUUUUUAUUUAUCUGAUAAUUUUAGAUUUUGAAAUUUGAAUUUAAUUUAAUUAAAAGGUGAUGUAGUAACCACUUAUUUUUAUUUUAUUUCAUUUAUAUUCUCAAUAACUACUCAUAUUUUGGUAACUUACUAUAACUUCCAUAUCUAAGAAAUGAUCCAAACCCACAAUUUUAACUCAGCACGAAUAUUCAAUGGUGAUCUAAGCUUUUGCAGAACACUCAAGUUUGUCAAACAGUCAUUAAUUCAAUGUUUAGUAAAAAAAAACACUUCUCAGCACAGAAUUCCAUGCCCAUUACUUAGACUCUAUAUAUGAAAAAUUUCAUAAUUUUCUCACAUUAUUUGAGUUUGGUAAGUGAUUUCAUAUAAUUUCUUUUCAAUAUAAAUUUUAAUUUGGUUUCUUAUAUACUCUCUUUGCUGAAUUUGUAUCUUUUAUGAUUCUUAGAUUUUGGGCUCUAACUUUUUAGGAUUUGAUAGUCACAUUUUAUGCCAUGCUUAGAUUGAUUUUCAUGAUUUUUACUACCCGUUAAGUGACUUAGAAUUUGACAAAAGUUUGAAAGGAAAUCUGCUUCAGGAUUCUGUUUUAACUGACCUUUUAGCGGAAAUAAGAUGCUUAUAACUUAAUGUGGAUGCUAUGUAAAAUCAUGAAAUUUGGAUAGAAUUAACUAGAAAUAUGUACAAGACUCUCCAUGAAGUCUCAUAAUUUUUCAUUCGGUCUGGGGUGUUACAGGUGAAGCUUGUGGUUGGUGUCGAAAAAGAAGUGAAAAGCCUUACCAGCCACCUUCAAGCCAUUCAAGUUGUGCUCGAUGAUGCAGAGGAAAAGCAAGUGAAGGACAAAGCUGUUAGUCUUUGGCUGGGUAGGCUCAAGUACGCAUCCUACGACAUUGAAGAUGCGUUGGAUGAAUGGAUCACAGGAAGACGCAAAUUGCAAAUUGAGGGUGGCAUUGGUGAAAAUGCUCUUAUUGCUCCUCAUAAGAAAAAGAAGGUACGUUUCUGCUUUCGUGCCUCUUGUCUUGGAUUCAAACAAGAAGAAUUUGGCUUCAAACAAGUCUUUCUACGUCAUGACAUUGCUGACAAGAUCAAAGAAAUCAAUGAAGAGCUACGUAAUAUUGCCACUCAAAGAGACAUGUUUAAAUCUGAGAGUGGCAGUAAAAGUAGUGAAAGACCCAGGCGUGUAUAGAGUACCUCCUUGAUUGAUGAGGAAGAGAUUUGUGGUAGAGUUGGUGAGAGGAAUGAACUCUUAAGCAAGCUGUUGUGUGAGAGUAGGGAGCAACAAAAAGGCCUUCAUAUCAUCUCAAUCGUUGGUAUGGGAGGCAUAGGAAAAACAACUCUUGCACAACUAGCAUGUAAUCAUGUUGAGGUAAAGAGAAAGUUUGACAAACUUUUAUGGGUGUGUGUAUCGGACCCUUGUGAGCAGUUUAGGAUUGCCAAAGCGAUCGCUGAAGCUUUAGGCAUUCCCUCUUCUAAUUUAGGUGAAUUUCAAUCUCUUCUUAAACUUAUAUCUGAAUCUAUUACUGGAAAACGAUUUCUUCUUGUCUUAGAUGAUGUGUGGGAUGGAGAUUGCAUAAAAUGGGAACCAUUCUACCUUUGUCUAAAGAAUGGUCUCCAUGGAAGUAAAAUUUUGGUUACCACACGUAAAAAAUCAGUUGCAUCUAUGAUGGGAUCUACUGAUACUGAUAUUGUCACUGUCAUGGAAUUGGCUGAAGAAGAAUGUUGGUCGUUGUUUAAGCGGUUAGCAUUUUUCGGUCCGUCUAUUAAUGAUUGUGAAAAAUUGGAACAAAUUGGGCCAAGAAUUGCAGGCAAGUUUAAAGGUUUGCCUAUUGCUGCAAAGACAAUAGGGAGUCUCAUGCGCUCUAAACAAAUUGAAGAAGAGUGGGAAAGGAUUUUAAAUAGUGAUUUAUGGAGAGUAGAAGAGAUGGAGAAAGGUGUUCUGUCCUCAUUGUUGUUGAGUUACAACGAUUUGCCGUCCAAAGUAAAAAUAUGUUUUUCCUAUUGUGCUGUCUUUCCAAAAAACUACAAUAUAAAAAAAUAUGAACUAAUUACAUUGUGGAUGGCUCAAGGUUAUCUUAGUGCAGAACAAAAUAAGGAGAUGGAGACUAUAGGUGAAGAGUAUUUUAGCAUCUUAGCUUCUCGCUCUUUCUUUCAAGAGUUUCAGAAAAGUUAUGAUAAUCGUAUUAUAGAGUGCAAGAUGCAUGAUAUGGUACAUGAUUUUGCCCGAUUUAUAAGUCAAAAUGAAUGUUUUUCAAUGGAAAUUAAUGUUAGUGAGGAACCAAACACCAUAAACUCUCUUGAUGAGAAGGUUCGUCAUUUAAUGUUGAUCAUUGGUAGGGAGGCUUCAUUUCGUGUCCCUACUUGUAGAGUGAAAAGAAUCCGUAGCCUCUUAAUUGAUAAUAGUAGAACUUCUUGUUCGUAUUUUAAUGGUGAGAUCCUAGAAGAAUUAUUUAGGGAAUCGACAAGUUUAAGGGCAUUAGAUUUUUGGGGAUCAUAUGACGUAAGCCCAUUUUGGACUCUAAAGAUUCCAAGAAACAUAGAAAAUCUAGUACAUUUAAGAUACCUUAACCUGUCUUGUCAGAACAUAAGGAAACUACCGGAGACAUUAUGUGAGUUAUAUAAUCUAGAAAAGUUAUAUAUUACUCGUUGUCUGUAUCUUGAAGAAUUACCUGAAGGGAUUGGGAAGUUAAUAAACAUGAAGCAUUUACUAAAUUAUCGUACAGAUUCUUUAAGGUACAUGCCAGUAGGGCUUGGGAGAUUAACGGGUCUUAGGACCUUGGAUGAGUUCCAUGUGAUUGGAGGAGGAGGUGUUGAUGGUAGGAAAGCAUGUUGGUUUGAAUCUCUUAAAAACUUGAAACACCUUCAAGUAUGUGGUAUACGCAGAUUGGGUGAUGUAUCAGAUGUGGGCGAGGCUAAGCGAUUAGAACUUGACAAAAAGAAAUACCUCUCUUGUUUGAGACUUUGGUUUGAUAAGAAGGAGGAAGGAGGAGAAAGGAGGAAGAACGAGGACGAUCAACUUCUUCUUGAAGCCUUGCGACCACCCCUGGAUUUAAAGGAAUUAGAGAUACGGUACUACCGAGGCAACACUGUUUUCCCCAGCUGGAUGACGUCAUUAAUCAAUUUAAGGAGUUUAGAUCUCUCUUUGUGCGAAAAUUGCAAGCAGCUGCCUCCUUUGGGAAAAAUGCCGUCCCUUGAAAAACUCAGCCUAUUGCACAUGCGGAGUGUGAAAAGAGUGGGUGAUGAAUGUUUGGGGAUCGAAAGUGAUCAUCAUGGCUCAUCUUCAUCUUCAUUAGUUAUUAUUGCCUUCCCUAAAUUGAAAUCACUCACAAUUUCUUCCAUGUUGGAAUUGGAGGAGUGGGAUUAUGGGAUUACAAGAACGGGAAACACCGUCAUCAACAUCAUGCCACGUCUUUCUUCCUUGGAAAUUGUUGCCUGCCCCAACUUAAAGGCGCUGCCCGACCACAUUCAUCAAACGACAACAUUGAAGGAAUUGCGCAUUGUGCAUUGUGGGCUGCUGGAAGAACGUUACCGCACGGGGGAAGGAGAAGAGUGGCCUAAGAUAUCACACAUUCCCAGCAUAGAUAUUGAUUAAGAAGGAGAAGAGUGACCUAAGAUAUCUCACAUUCCCAACCUCGAGAUUUGGCCUUGACAAGUAAUUCCUUCUCUUACUCUGAUUUGCUUUGUUGUUCUUUUUAAUCUAAUCAAGAAGCAUAAAUAGCAUUUUGAAUUAAACUCUGUAUCAGAAAUCUGCAAUACAUAUUUUCUAAUAUUCUGAUUUUCAUAUCUUAUGAAUGUACGAUUCUAAUUUGCGAUAUUUAACGUUGCUGUAAAAUAUUAUUAAUGCAAUAUGAGUAAUUCUUUUGCAGGACAAGUGACCUACGUUUAGUUUGGCUUUGGAGUUGAGUAAUAACCUUUCGAGGUCGCCACUAUAAAAAAGCGAAGCUCAAUUUGCCACAGAUUACAUGUAUUGCCAUCAUUGACAAUUUUCUGGAUAAGUGAUGAAGGGUGAGAAUGGUGCUAGAAUAUUGAAUAAAGCUGUCGUGACUGAACUUACGUUGAUGUCAAAAGGGGUAAAUUAUUGGCAUGCCUAGCUAAUUUGACCAAUACCUGAUUCAUAAGCCUACAUCAAUUUUGAUUUUGAGUUGAGUGAUUAAUUUUGAAGGUUUGCUUACUUAACUGGUAACCAAUUUCUUUUAACUAAAUGUAUCAUAUGAUGCAGGAAGCAGGGCAGGAUAUGAAAUGAGAAGCUUAUUAGUGGAAGGAUUGUCAGAAACAGAACCCAAAGAAAAUGAAAACAUUUCGAGGCAGCAGUUGGCAGUUGGCCGUGAAUGGAGCCCCUUGAAAAAAUUCCCAACCCAUUGCACUGCAAUUACGAUCGUGAGUAUGAUUGCACUGCAAUUUCGAAGCUUCUUCUCCUGCAUUUUUGUUAUUUGCUAUCAUCCUCUGCUUCAGGUGAUUUCUUCUCCUGCUCUGUCGUUGUUUGUAUCUCAAUCAAAUUCUAUAACUGGAAUAUGCAAAAGUUUCGAAUUUUUAUUUCUAUCUGCUUGCAUUGAUAACAUCGCGGCAUAUGCACUAGUUAAAGAUCAAACAGAAACAGAGCUCAGGAAAAAGUUUCUUCUGCCAUCAUAUUUGAAAAUUCAUGUAAAAUGUAGACAGUAAUCAGCAAAAAGGUGAUUCGCAAUUUGAUUUUUUUUAUGAAAUUAAUUGUUAGGUUGGAGUUGCCAAUUAACAAUUUUAACCACCUUUGACUUUGAAGGAAUUAGAGAUAUGGUCAUACAGAGGCAACACUGUUUCUGCAAGUAGUCCUCUCUUUUCUUUUUAUUAUAUUUUAUUUAGUUAUUAUUUAUUAUUUAUUUUUUGGUUUACUCUGCUUCUUCUUUUUACGUUUCUCAAAUUUUGAAUUUCAUUGCUUUUGAACAUACGACAGUCUGUUAUGUGGCGACCCUGGUUCUUAAUUAAGGUUGUGAAAUAUUAUUGUAAAAGAUGAUUUAUUCAAUUUGAGUAAUUCGUUUGCUUUGAUAAUGAUAGUAAUUUUUUAUUUUGACAAUUUGCAAGGUGAGAAUGGUGCUGAUUGGUGAUUCAGGAUAUGGUUCAAACACCAUUGAAUAAAGCUAUGGACAUGGUGGCUCAACUUAGCUAGAUUGCUAUCAAAAUUGGUAAGUUGGCUUGUCAAUGUACCGAUGCUUUUGUUUUCUCUCAACCCUAAUUACCUUAACUUCAUUUAGUUUGGCUUUGGAGUUGAGUAAUAACUUAUUGUUCAAAUGUUAUUUCCUUAUUGUUCUAAUUCAUCAAAUGUUAUUUCCUUGUUGUUCCAUUGAUAUAUUGGUUGCAUAUCAAGCAGAAACAGAACCCAAAGAAAAUGAAACCAUUUCCAGGCAGCAGUUGGCAGUGAAUUCAUGCAAAUGUUGAUGCCAUUCAUAGAUGUUGAAGACAAUGUUGAGCCAAAGGCGAUAAAUCAUUAAUGCAUAAUUCCCAAAACCUCUAUCCUUCUCUCAUUGUAAUUUGAUUUGAAAUGAAUAAUUGCUAGGUAAUUGAAGCCAAUGUUGUUAAAGACCGUGUUGAGCUACCCAAGCUAAGAAGUUAGUUGCCAAAAAAUGCAGGGGAUCAAAAGAAGCAUUGCAUUUGAAAAGGCAUGAGAUUCUGGUGGCUACAUGUCAACUCAUAUAUGUUUGAAUAAGUUUGAUGGUUCAAGAUUGUUAGCUUCUGUUUAAAUUUGUGCUACUGCAGUGCUACAAUGCUGCUACUGGGAAAUUUGAAUCCCAUAUUAGACUUUCCUCACAUCAGAAGCUGUGGAUCUUCGGACAUCAGGUUUUUUCACAGUUCUGAAACACUCAGGAUUAAACUCUAUUAAAGUGUUGUAGUUAUCUUGUUGUCAGAAUUCCCAUAUUAUUAUCUUUUUCAUGUAAAAUUAUCUUGUUGUCUUCGCCCAUGAAUCUAAGCUAAAAUUUGAACCAAUUGUUUGCUAUUAUAAAUUUCAUUGUUAAAUGUUAAUUGUGAUGUUCGUGUUGAGUUUCUUUUAAAGUCAUAGAAGCCUGACGAUUGAGUUCCAUGGGAUUCUGAGAAGCAGUAAUAUUUUGAACAAGUGAAGGUUCUUCGUUUUUAAUUAUGUUCUGCACUUUUACAGUAUGUGCAGAUGUCUAAGAGGCAGGAUUUUAAUUUCUGUAAUGCUAAAUUUCGCAAAACAAUAAAAAAAAUAAAUGCAUGACAGUGACUUCAAGAAUUUAGAUUAUUGAAUUUGGUCAUUUUAAAAUUGUUGGAAUAUUGAACUUAAGUCAUUUUGAUAAACCAGAGCUCAGAAAUGUAGAAUAUAAAUAUUGGAGAUUUGGACUUCAAUCAUUAGAUUUGAAGCUAAAGAGGUAAGCCAUUAAUUACAUCAAAGGAUUUGGAAAAUGGAGGGAUUGGAAAAAGGAAACUUUUUCAUAAACUACAAGCAUUGGGCAGUUUCAUUUGUCCGAUUCAAGAGGAACGUCACAGAAAGGGGUAAAGAAAAGAGUAGCCUAAGAUAUUUAAGACAAUGUUGAGCCAAAGGAAACAUAAAUCCCAACCAUUGCAUGCGAACAUGAUCACAAUAAGGUCAAGAACCUACCAAACCAUUUUUUUGAGAAUUUUCAAUUGAAAGUGAAACCUUUGGACAUUUACCUAGUAAAGUUAGUUAAACGAGAGAAAUAAAGGGGAAAAGAAAAGUUCACUCAAGUCAAUACAGAAUAAUUAGUUCAAUCUGGAGUAACUAAAACAGAGCCACUAUAUUUUCUAAAAUAUCUGCAUUCAUCACCUUCUCCUACAGCUAGUGAGCUACACACGAAUCAUUUCCUUUUAGCAUUUUUGCAGCAUCAAUUUCUCUCCUCGUUUGUCAUCCAAAAUUAUUCACCAAUACCAUGGCUGAUGCAAUCGUUUCCCUUCUCUUGGAGCAGCUGAUUAUCUUUGCUGCUGAAGAGUUGAAACAACAGGGGAAGCUGGUGAGUGUUGGAUGAGCGGAUCACAGCAUGCGCCAAAUCGCAAAUUGAUCAAUGCUCUUGGUGCUUCUUAUCUGAAGAAGAAGGUGCAAAUUGGGAGCUGCAUUUCACUGUCAUAACAUUUAUUGUAAUUUCAUUUGGAGAUAUGUAAUAUCUGUUGUCCAGAUAUAUUUCAUACACCAGCUGCUAAUAAUUCUGCUUGCAGAGAACUUGCAAAGGAGCUGUGUGAUGUAAUAGAAGACUGGAGUCUGGUCAAUUUUUUCAACCUUAGAUAUUAGGAAGUUAUGUAUUUCAUUAUCAGUUAUCAUUAUGAUUUUUAUCUUCAAAAAGAUAAAUGGAUGGCUUUGAAUGGCUUGUGUUUGAGGAUUUUAGUUGGACUUAUUUUGAUUGAAGUACAUUUUGACAAUAGAAUUCCUUCAUGAUUUAAACAUUCUUUUUAAAAUCAAAUAAUCAAAAAAAUUAAAUAAAUAAAUAAGGUAACUAACAAAUAUUAUUUUAUUUUGUUAGUGUUUUUUUCAUUAAAUAUACAUAAGAGUAUUGUAAUUAAUUGCAACCAAUUUUUCACUAAAUACGCCUACAACAAACUAUUAAUAAUAAAGUGCCACUCUACUGUGCUUCCUACAAGCACCUUGGCCAUACCAUUGAGACGUGUUACGUGGCCAAUUCGGGGCUUCAACCCCAGCGACCCAGUGGGAAUCGGCAGACUAGAGUAGAAGAUGGUAAGAAGUCAGAAGUUCUACCGUUAGAUACUCCACAACCCUCAGAUACUCCUCGACCUGAGCCUUCCAUCACUAAGCAGAUUGCAAACGCGGGGUCCCCGAUCACCAAACCUUCGGAGAACCGGCCUAACGUUACAAAUUCUACAUCCGUUCAGGAGCCGAUUGCCCAAGAUGACACAACUCAUGAUUCUAAGGAACCUCGUGAUCAAAGCUUGUCUCCCCUGCGGAGCAUUGGUGAGUAUAAUCCACAUCUUCAUCAAGCAUCCAACAUAGAUUUUAGGCAUUACAAUUCUCAUAUUGAUAAUGAUGAUAGUUUUGACGAGCACCUAGCGAAUAACAAACACUUUUUAUCUGCUCCUGAGAAUUCUGAGAGAAUAGACUUAAGUCCUGAUUUUAGCAUUGUUGGUCAAUCGAAAAAGGGAUUUAAAUUACUUAUCGGCCGUAAGUAUCGUAAAACAUAUUAUCACCAUCUUCAUCAGUCAUUUUAUUAUGAUUCUCAUGUUAGGCUAUACCUUAAUCUUUUCUUUUUCUGUUGUAUUUUUUUCUCUUGAUUGGAGGUUUUGGUUUUUGUCCCCCUCCUUGUAUCUUUCAUUAUCUUUUAUAAAUUGACAGGUAGGGGUCCCGCCUAACCCUCCACCUUAGAGUGGUAUGCUUAUUUAAAAAAAACUAUUAAUAAUAAAGUGAUAAAAAAUGCCUAAUUUUUCAUACUUUCUAAUUUUUUUUUGCCCUAAAAUUUAGGUAUUUAUGUCAUAAUAUGCCCAUGUGGAUCUCAAUGCCGAAAGUUCGAUAAAUGGCUUUCAAGGAUUACUUAUUAGGUAAAAAAUAUUCAAAGGACAAAAUGGUAAAACUAGAAGGGUGGAGUAAUAUGGCUACCUUGGGUUACAUCGUAAGUCGACUAUAUUUAAAGUAUAAAAUAUUAGAAACUGAACGGUGGAGUAAUCGUCGUUUAGAUGAAUGAUAUGUCAUCUAUGCGUUAUGUGAGGUUAUAGCAACUAUCUAUCUGGUCACUGUUUUCAAGUCUCAAUUGGUAGUCCAAAGAAAAGAAUGAUUCUGCAAUAGCAUUAAGUGUUAAUUGGACACAAAAAGAAGUGUUUUAACCACUUUAAGGAAAGUAAAUGUAAUUUUCUGUCCUAAAGAAAAGGUAAAUGUAUGCACUGUCAAUUAAUCUUUGGUCGACCAGCAACAUCAUAAUUUCGUGUAGGUUCAUUUUUGUUUCUUAAGAGUUUGUAAAAAAAAUGGAAAGAUUUUAAAAUAUAAAUUUCAUAUAUGUUUAUAACUGUUGUUUGGUCUAAUUUCUUAUGUAGAAUUUUCAGAAUCUGUAGGACAUUAGUUUAUAAUUUUGAGAUUUUGCAGCCAUAAAUGUUUUUUUUUUCUUUUUCUUUUUUUGUUGCCAUUUUAUUUUGCUCCUUUAUCUAUGUGCAUGUUGACUGGCUGCAGUGAGUGAAAAUUUACCCAUAUAUGCUGGCUAUUCUUGGACAAUAUUAGAGAAAAUUAUCAUAUUAUCAUAUUAUUUCGCGUGAUGUGAACUUCCAUAACUUAUCAAUUGAAUUGCUGUAAAAUAUUAAAUAGUUUUAUUUUUCUUUUAUCGUGUAACUUGUGUUGAAAAGUGAUUUUAAAAAAAAAAGAGAGUUGAAAAAUCAAAUCUCCAAGUGGGAGAUUGAAGAAAAGGAAAGCCGCAAAAUGAACAGUAGCCGCAAGAUGAACAGUAACCGCAAGAUGAACAAUAGUCAAUGGUGGCUAUAAAUAGAGGAGUGCUCCUCCUUAUUGUUUGUAUCCCAAAUCCCAGAGAAGCGAUCCAAAUUUUGGUGAGAAAUUGAGAGAGAGAAAUAUUCUUAAGCAUGUAGUUAUAUUGGAGAAGUUGGCUCCUCAAUAUGGAUAUUACGGGUUUGCUUUGUUAAGGGAUAUUUCUCGAGAUUAUGUAUUUGGGGCUUGGGUGAGAGAAAAUUUAUUUCUGAAAGUGGUUGUAAUAAUUUUCCACAUAGUGAAUAUUUUUCUCUGGUUGUCUUGUGACAACGGCCGUAGUUUUUCUCCGAAUUUGGAGUUUUCCACGUAAAUCUUGUGUUGUGUGAUUGGUGUAUUCUCCAUUUAAUUUUUCUUAUUAAUUUGUUGCUUGAUAAUUGCUUGAAGAGAUCUUGGGAGGAAGCUCAAUUUCCUAACAACUUACACCAAAAAAGGAAAUGAGUUUAACAUGACCCUCAUUCCGGCACUAAGCAUGUUUUUCUCUAAUGGUUCUUGUAUUGAUGACAGUGCUCUUGGUGCUUCUCAUCUGCUUCUUGCUUUGGUUUCAAACAAGUCUUUCUCCAUCAUGGCAUUUAUUGUAAUUUCAUUUGGAGACAUCUUUCGUUCAAAUAUAUUUCAUAUGCAAGCUGUUAAUAAUUCUGCUUGCAGAAAGCCUACAAAACAGCUGUGUGAUGUAAUAGAAGACCAUAGUCUGGUCAAUUUUUCAACAUUAGAUAUUCAGGUCAUCAGCUUCUCAUGAAUUCUUUCCUGAGUUUCUUUGAAUUAUUUGUGAUGUAAUAACUUGUGCAUUUGAGAAACUGUUCUCUUGAAUUCUUUCUUGAGUUUCUUUGAAUUAUUUGUGAAUAAGUUCCUAAUCGGCUGCUUCUCUUCAGGAUAAGGAAAGUGUUGCAAACUGGUGAAGCAGCUGAUAGAUAAAAGCAAUGGGUACAUCUUUGCUGGCAUGGAUCGAUGCCAGUGCGGUUGAAUUCAGCAAGAUUGGCGUUCGUGAUGUUGUUGAUUGGGAUUAUUUCAGAUAUCCUUCUUUUCACCUAUUUUCGGCCUUGUGAUUCUCAUAUCCAUAGAACGUUUUGGUUAUUUAAUCAUAUUUCAUCGUAUGCAUCUGCAUCUUCUAACCAGUGCGUUUGAGAAACUAAUUUUGCUGUUAGGCAGGUUUUAAGCUUGAUUCAUUUGUUUUUCAUAAAUGUACCAAAGUUAUGUAAACCAAAUAAUCAAAAAUAAAUGAAAGGAAAUGAGUUUAAUAUAACCUCCAUUCCAGCACUAGGCACGUUAAUUGUUCCCCAAGGACUUCUCCUGAUUCCCAUUCCCAAUAAGAAUGGUAAAAUGUCGGGUCGGGCUCGGGCUUGGUCAAGCCCUACACGACCCGAUCAAAAGAAAUUUGAAACCCGACCCUAAAAAAGCCCGAACACUACUUAGUUAGGGUCGGGCUCCGAAUCGUGGCAACAUCGGGUCGGGCCCAACCCGACCCUACCGAAAUAGUUAACCCCACAAUUCAAUUCCCAUUUUCCACCACCAUUUCAACCUAUUCGGCAAUUACUCAACCAUUUCAAACACAAUUCAAUCCACUUUCCACAACCAUUUCAACCAAUUCCACAACUAUUUCAACCCCACACACAAAUCAAUUCCAAAAUCCAACAUGAAAAACACACAAUGCAAUUAAAUUAAAAACAUUCAAUGUAAUUCCACAACCAUUUUACCCAUACACAAUUCAAUUCAACAACCUAACAUAAAAAAUAAAAAAUAAAAAACUAAUGUCUUAUAUAAAUAAAAACACAAUGCAAUUAAAUUAAAAAUACACAAUGUAAUUCCACAACCAUUUUAGUCAUACACAAUUCAAUUCAAUAACCCAACGUAAAAAAAAAAAAAAAAAAAACCUCAUGUCUUAUACAAAUAAAAAUACAAUGCAAUUAAAUUAAAAACAUACAAUGAGUGAUGUUGUGAGGAUGUGUUGUGUGCGUGUGUUAACUUGUGUUAUUUUUUUUUUUAAAUAGGGUCGGGUCGGCAUUAAUCCCGACCCUGACCCUAAAUUUGUUCAGACCUUAAAAUCUUGGCCCUAACCCGACCCUAAACUUAAAAUUUCGGGCCAAAGUCCUAAAAAUUAAGGUCGGAUCAAUCGGGCCAAAAAUAGAGUCGGGCUAAAUUGCCAAGCCUAAUUCCCAACCUCCAUGCUCUCAUGAGGAGUUUAGCACCCAUCAAUUUUUAUUUUUGAAAACUCGUAAUGGUCUGAUAAAAUUAAAGAACGUCAAUAAUGUUACCGGUCUUUAAAUAGUAAUUAAUUUAUUUAAUUUGCCACCUAAAAGAAUCCUACUGGAAAUAGAGGUUAAAAUUUUUAUUAGAUCUACUUACCUUUGUUCACUCAGCAAACAAUUACAAUUCACAACUAGAGAAUCUAUUCGUUGACAAUUGUGAAUUAAAAUUAUAACACUUGAAUUCAAACAUAUCCUUACGAAGUUAUGAAUUUGUUCAUACUUCCAAUGAUUUUUUUUUCCCAAAGCUAAUAAAGCUACCACUUUGAUCAAACGACGACGUUGAAGGAAUUGCGUAUUUUUCAAUGUCCUUUUCCAAACACACGUUGGAGAGAGGGAAAGAAGAAGACUGGCCUAAUUAAGAUAUCUCACAAAGAUUAUUGAUUUAAAAUGUUAUUGUAAAAGAUGUUUAAUACAAUAAUAGUACUUCUUUUGCAUUGUUAUAAUGAGGCUGGUGGGUUUCCUCAGAGGAUGGAUCUAGCUCGCUAGUAUGCACUUGGGAAGAUGCUAAUUAUCGGCCAUAAAAAAGUCUAGGGGUUGUGGCUCUUCCGUGGCCCAGAAAUUCCUAAUCUCAUAUCUCAAACUUGGGCAUUAUGUAAAUAUGUAUUUUUGAGAAUUAAACUAUUGCGUUAGAAAAAUUUUGAGCCAUUGUAAAUUUGUAAUCAUUUUAUUUUGCUAAGAGAAAAUUUUACUUUGUGUUUCACUUUGACUUUUGUUUUGUUUGUGAUAAUAAGAUUCAUACCAAUGUGAUUACACACCUAUCAUGCUUCUAUUUUCAUUUGCUUGUCAUGAUAGAUCAACAUGCUCGAAAAUAUUUAUUUAGGUUGGAAAUAUUUGAAUCCACUAAAAUACUAUACAGAUCCAUUUUAAAAUAAAAAAAAAAUAAUUAUCAUAAUACUCGUGAAGAUAACGCGAUAUCAUACAUAAAAUAAAAUAUUUCGCAAAAAAAAAUACAAAUCUUAAGUAAGUGGGUAUAAAAAAUAUUUUAGUGGGUUCAAGUAGCACUAAUGCCCCCUUAUCAAAAAAUAUAUAAAAAUAAGUAGUCUGAUUGGGUAUACAGUUGGCUAAACUAAAGUUCUGAAGAUAUAUAUAUAUAUAGAUAAUUUAUAAUGUACAUUAUAGAGAAAGAUUUUGAAAGUAAUAUUUUUUAGUAUUAUUAUAUAAUAUUUUGUAAAAAGUAGAGAGAGUGAGCAAAACCAAAUUAAUUUUCUAACCCCUACCUCAUUUAGGAUUUAAACUCAUUCUUUAGUGUCGCCGGCCAUUCAAAUUUUCUAGUCGAAUAGGCUAAAUUGCAUGAAAUUGUGCUAGCUUAGCUUGAUUCUAGAAAUUUUCAGUACACUGUAACACAUUCCCACACUUGUACAUAGCUCGAAAUUCUCUAGAAUUUACUAUAGUAGUGUAGCAUGUAGCUUGUACAUAGGUUUUUCUAAAACACUCCAGACAUUACUAGGCAUGAGAGCUCUCACCAAGCUUUGAGAACUCUCUAGGCAUAAAACAUUCUAGGGCAAGCCUACCCUAAAAAUAGGGCAUGAAGCUUGCCAUUUGAGCAUACAACACAUAAGAACAAUUCAAGCAUACUUGUAAGCUCUCAAACUCUCUUGUACACACUCUUGUGAAUAAUAUACUUUUCCUUUGGCUAUAUUGUUCUCUCUUCUCUCUAGUUUUUUCAAAAGCAUCAUAACUUAGCUAGUCGAAAAAUUCAAGGCUUACUUUGCAACUAUCUCGUAAAAGUUGUUUAAGUACCACAGAAGUUUGCUGUGCAAAAUACUCAUCCCGUAACAUUUGUCAAAUAAAAUUGUUUGAAAGCCACUUACCUAGACUAUUGGACGGAUAUUAUUAUUUUAAUAUGCAAUCUUUUAAUAUAAACUUUUGUCUUAAUUUUCUAUCUCCUAUGAUAAAUUUUAGAAUUUUAAAAAUUUUAAAAAUUAAUAACUAUUAGAAAGAGCAUUCAUUACUGUUAAAAGAAAUCUAUAUAGAUAUAUAGAUACAUAGUAAUAUAAAAACUUACUACAGUAUAAUGUUUUUAGUUUCUUAUUUUUUCAAGAUAAAAAUUCAAAGACACAAGUUAAAUGUUGUGGAAAAUCUUCCACCCAUACAAGAAAUCGUCACAGCUAAAUGCAAACCGAGCUAAAGUAUUAGUUGUUUUAUUACAAUCUCUAAAAAGAUGAGCAAUUCCAAAAUCUUUCUUUGUAACAAUAAGCACUACAGUUCAGCAACUAUCCAAGUCAAAAGCAACUCAAUGUGAGUGCUAAGCUAAAUCAAUUUCAUUAACAAAUUAGAUGCCAAAGAGCAAAGGCUUCAUCCUCAAUUAUAUUGACAUUAUCUGAGUAAACUCUAAAUACCACAAUCAACCCCAAAAAACAUGACUAAACUAUUAUGUUUAAAAUAAAAAUAAAUAAAUUUUUUUGAACGGAAAAAAAUCCCCAAUAACUAAAUUGUUCAAACGUUUUUUAACAUCAUGUGUUUCUAAUAAUUUAGGGUUGGGCAUUCAGUUCGGUUUUUACCGAACCGAACAACUAAAUUAAAUCGAAAUUACCCUGUUCGGUUCAAUUGAAUAGACAAAAACUAGAGCUGGCAAAACGGGUCAUCGGGUCGUGUUCAUGUCGUGUCGUGUCAAAUUUAGUUCAACCCAAACCCGACCCAUUUAAUAAUCGUGUCAAAAUAUUGAGACCCAAACCCGACACGAAAAAAUAAUCGGGUUACCCAAUAACCUGCUUAAUAUCUAUAUAUUUAACAAAAGUUACAUCAAAUAUUUACACAUUAUCAUACAUGCGUAUGUACAUACAUACAUACAUACAUAAUUUAUCGAUAUUAUAAAAUGUACAUAUCUACCAAAAUAUUACACAUUUACACUAUUGAGGUUUUAAUUAAUUUUAUAUAUAUAUAUAUAAUAUUAUAUAUUAAUAUUAUAAAAUAUACAUAUCUACCAAUAUUUCUCAGCCUUGUUGGCAGGUAACUCCGUUCCUUGAUUUCAAGCAGCUUUCUCUUUGAUGGCCAAAAAUAUUGAUUUGGGCUUUGCCCUUUAAAUUAAUGUAAGAGCGGUAGGGAAUAACCGAGUUAUAGUCUUAGCUUUAAGUGAACAUUGAUGGUAACAUGCAUGUGAAGGUUGUAUGUGUUCAGCGGCAAGCUGUAUGCCAAUUUGGUCUAUAUGGUUUUUUUGUUGGUAACUUAUUAAUUUUUAUGCAGGAAGGUUACAGUCAUCAAUUUGGAUCCUGCUAAUGAUAGUUUGCCGUAUCCUUUGUCAGAACCUUUUUACAAAUGCUGUGGUUUGUUGUACUAUAAUUAGUUCAAUCUGAAACUUCCUUGAUGUUAAUAUAGAUAUGAGUGUGCUGUGAAUAUGGAGGACCUCAUUAAACUAAGUGAUGUGAUGAUGGAGCAUUCGCUGGGUCCAAAUGGAGGUUAGUCAGCCUAUUGUUGUUUACUCUUUCUAGCUUUAUCACGCAAUGAUAUUCCUUUGCUUUACAACAAAUUUCAUGAAAUUAACUUCAAUCUAGUGGCUAUGUUCAUAUGCUGUUGAGAUUUUAUGGACAAUGAUUUGGUAGACUUUAUAUGCCGUCUUCUUUCUUUUUGCAGUGAUAUGUUUGUAUUCAAUGUGCUUGUACUUAUUCUACGGUUUCUAAAGUAGGUGUUUUUAUGAUAAACUAGGUCUUGUGUAUUGUAUGGACUAUCUAGAGAAGAUUAUUGACUGGUUGCAGUCGAAAUUGGAACCACUUUUGAAAGGUAAGAAGAGAUCAUUUUGCUUCAUUCUAAUGCCAAUAAUGCUGUCAUGAGACUCAUAAAAAUUGUUAAAACGUUAAUGUUUUUGGUAUUUUGCAGAUCAUUAUCUUCUGUUUGAUUUUCCUGGCCAAGUUGAAUUAUUUUUUCUUCAUUCCAAUGCCAAGAAUGUUAUAUGAGACUCAUAAAGAAGUUAAAUCUCAGGGUAUUGUUACAUCUUACAUCUAUGAAGGGACUCAAAGAGUUGAGAUGAAUUCAUCUUUGUUAUUUUGAUGCCAGAAUUGUGCAAUUCUCAGUUGGUUCCUUUCACAUGCAGUUGACUUCAGUGCAUCUAGUUGAUGCGCAUCUUUGCAGUACUAGAAAAGAAGAUAACAUGGAGAAUUCAACAACUAUACAGUCAUAUUGAUGUCUGUCAACUUGGGUCAUAUGGUGUUGUUUGGAUGGAGAUGUUAGGCCCCAGAUGGUAUACUUGUUAUCAAAUUCCAGUCUACUUCAUUCAUGCUUUGAUGACAUAUGCGGUGCAGCUUCUUAUCUAAGACCUGCAUAUGUUACAGUCAACACUCUGUUCUGUAUUUGGCUGCCAUUCUUUUCAAUGAAUUCAAACCACUUUCUGAAUACUUGCAAAUUCAUCCAGUGUUGUCAUUGAGAUGCCAAUAUGAAAAGAAGCCAUAAUUGCCCUUGAUAGUAUUCUUAUUGAUUGCCUCUUGCCUCACUCAACCUCAGGAAUCUGCUUGUAUGGUGUUCUUCUAAUUUCAAUUGGAGAUUCUUCUAAUUUCAAUUGGAGAUAAGUAAUAUCUGUUGUUCAAAUAUUUUUUAUUUACAAGCUAUUAAUAAAUCUGCUUGCAGAAAGCUUACAAAGGAGCUGUGUGAUGUAAUAGAAGACUACAGUCUGGUCAAUUUUUCAACCUUAGAUAUUCAGGUCAUCAGUUUCUCUUGAAUUCUUUCUUGAGUUUCUUUGAAUUUGUGAAUAAGAUCUUAGUUGGCUGCUUCUCUUCAGGAUAAGGAAAGUGUGGCAAAACUCGUGAAGCUGAUAGAUAAAAGCAACGGGUACAUCUUUGCUGGCAUGGAUGCCAGUGCAGUUGAAUUCAGCAAGAUUGCCGUUCGCAAUGUUGAUUGGGAUUAUUACAGAUAUCCUUCUUUUCACCUAUUUUCAAUCUUGUGAUUCUCAUAUUCAUAAAACUUUUUGGUUAUUAUUAUGGGUCAUCAUAUGCAUCUGCAUCUUCUAACUUGUUUGUUUGAGAAACUAAUUUUGCCGUUAGGUAGGCUUCAAGCUUGAUUCAUGCUUUUUUCAUAAAUGUACCAAAAUCAUGGAAACUUCUUUUUCCCAGAUAUUAUAUCCACACUUUUCCCAUGUAAUUUAGUCAGACAAGUUUUUCUUAACAAAGAUAUCUAGAGUAGCCGAAGUGCAGGAGAAGUACAUUAAGUAUGAUGAAAAUGUUAACUAAAAUGGGACGAGAAGAUAUGUGGAGUGCAAACCGUAAGCGUGCCUCUUACUUUUGUGCAUGUUUACUUGAUUGUGAUUCACGUUUGUUAAUCUAUUUUGGUCUCUUGCAGGAGUUAUAAAGUUUUCAAUCAAUCAAACAUUUAACUCAAGUCCUUAGCUCUUCACUGCUUGAAUGGGUCAGAUAGGACAAGCGCCGAAGAGGUGGUUUUAAUCAAACCCCUCCUAAUUAUGAUGUAUGGUCCGAAUCUCGGACUUUUUGUACAAUAUCAGGCGAUUUUUUUUAGUUGAAUUGGCUAGUGUACACAAAUGUCGAUCAUUGAUUUUUCUCUAGUAUUGUUUGUCAUUACAAGAAACGAAGUAAUGAAAUUUAUCACUGCGUUCAUAGUUACGCUUAAGCUCAAAGAUUACCGUCAAGAUCAUCAACCUGUUGAUGAUCUGAAGCUUCCAUAGAAAAAGGAACCGGACAAAACCCAAGAGAGAGAACAAAAAUAAAUUAAUUAAAAAAAAAGAAGAAAAAUUGCCAAAGCUACUGGUCAGUUGAUAUCAAUCUUUUGCACGUGGGAUGGAAAUGGAACAGUGGGCACUUUGGAUGACUCAUAACUCACUAGAGAGAAACGAAUUUAGGCCGAAUCAUAUAAAGUACGCUAAGCCUUAGUGCGCGCGCUGUUGCGCUGCUGUGUCUGCCGGUGAGAAUAAUUUUUCGUUUUUAAGGUAAUUUUUAUUUAUUUAUUUAUUUUUUUGGUGCAUAUGGUCGAACACUUGGUGGGCACCUCAAUUUUUGGAAUGUUCUCUUCAAUGAAUACAGGGAAAAAGGGACAAAAAUUAAGAACUUUAUUUUGUUCGCGUGGAAUCGAUAUCUGGAUUGGGAUUGUAUGUCGUGUUUAAUUUGAAUUGGUUGAUUCCUCUAAUGAAUUAUUUUGAUAAAUUUAGUAGCAGUAUUUGGCGGCAAAAGUAUCAUUAAUUUUUGGAAAUAUGAUUAUGUUAUUAAUUAUUUUAGCAUUCUAAAAAGUCAAUGGUUAUGUUGGAAAUACUCUAAGGUAGAAUAGAGUACAAAUCACAGUCACACAUACAAAAUGAUAAAUAAUAAAAAAUAUAUUAUAUUUUUGAUCAUAUGAUUAUGAAGACGUAUUUUACCUUAAAGAAGUUCUAAUAAGCGAAUUCUUCAAAAAAAAUAUAAAAUUUCUUUUUUAUCAUACUCAACCGCUUCAAACUUCUAAGAAGUAGAUAUACAAUUAGUGGAAUACUGAAUUGAGUGCGAGCUGCGGAUAAUAUAUAAAAUUGGGAUACAAGCUUCAAGGAAAGUGUAUUGCUAUUCAAAUGUAGAUUUCAAAUUAAGAAGAUAUGCCAGCAAAUUGUAUAAAAAUGUAUAAAUUGAUCAGUAACAUUAAUUCCAAAUGAUGAAAUGAGUUAUCUUGAUCAAAAGGUCAAGAACCUACCUUACUUCUCUUAGAGAUAACUUGCAUCAACCGUUGUGGUAUUGAUACUUGUCUUCAGCUAGUAAAAGACUAAAAGUGAAAGUUUCACAAUUGAAAUAAAGCUAAGGGAAGAUGCUAUGCUCCAUUUAUUAUUAUUAUUAUUGAUGUGGUCGAGAAGUAAAGCCAUGCAUAUGAUGAAGUAUAAAUAAGAAUGCAAUAGCCCGGAAUUCAUUUACACAAACACUUCAAUAUCCUUUUGAUCACUUUUGCAAACAUCAGUUUGUCUCCUCUUGUAUUCACCAUGGUUGAUGCCAUCGUUUCCUCUCUUGUGGAGCAGCUGACUUCCUUCGCUGCUAAAGAGAUAAUACAACAGGUGAUCGAAGUUACACCCCCCAUAUUAUAAAUACUUCUAAUGAUUUUAAUUGGUUUUGUUUUUAUCGGAAACAUUAACUUUGCUUUAUUUUAUUUAUUUAGGCAUUUUAAAUUUUAAAAUUUGAAUUGAAUUCAAUUAAAAUGUGAUGUAGCUAGUAACCACUUUUUUUAUUUCAUUUAUAUUCUCAAUAACUACCCAUAUUUUGGUAACUUACUGUAACCCCCGUAUCUAAGAAAUGAUCAAAACCCACAAUUUUAACUCCACAUAAAUAUUCCAUGUUGAGCUAAGUUUUUGCAUAACAUUCAAGUUUGUUAAAUAGUCAUUAAUUUAAUGUUUAGUAAAAACUUAUCUCUGAAAAUUUUCAUAAUUUUCUUACAUUCUUUGAGUUUGGUGAGUGGCUUCAUAUAAUUUCUUUUCAAUUUAAAUUUUAAUUUGGUUUCUGAUAUAGUCUCUUUACUGAAUUUUAUAUCUUUUAUGAUUCUUGGAUUUUGGGCUCCAACUUUUUAGGAUUUGAUAGUCACAUUUUAUGGCAUGCUUAGAUUGAUUUUCAUGAUUUUUAGUACUCGUUAAGUGACUGAGAAUUUGACAAAAGUUUGAAAGGAAAUCCGUUUCACGAUUCUUAUGUGGAAGGUUCGUAAAAUCAUGAAAUUUGGAUAGGAUUCACUAGCAAUAUGUACAAGACUCUCCAUGAAGUUUCAUAAUUUUUCAUUCGGUCUGGGGUGGUACAGGUGAAGCUUGUGGUUGGUGUUGAAAAAGAAGUGAAAAGCCUUACCAGCCACCUUCAAGCCAUUCAAGCUGUGCUCGAUGAUGCAGAGGAAAAGCAAGUGAAGGACAAAGCUGUUAGACAUUGGCUGGGUAGGCUCAAGUAUGCAUCCUACGACAUUGAAGAUGUGUUGGAUGAGUGGAUCACAGAUAGACACAAAUUGCAAAUUGAGGGUGGCGUUGAUGACAAUGCUCUUGCUGCUCCUCAAAAGAAAAAGAAGGUAUGUUUCUGCUUUCCUGCCUCUUGUUUUGGAUUCAAACAAGAAGAAUUUGGUUUCAGACAAGUCUUUCUACGUUAUGACAUUGCCAACAAGAUCAAAGAAAUGAAUGAAGAGCUACAUGAUAUUGCCACUCAAAAAGACAUGUUUAAUCUUGUUAAGAGUGGCAAUAAAAGUGGUGAAAGACCAAGGCGUGUACAGAGUACCUCCUUGAUUGAUGAGGAAGAGAUUUGUGGUAGAGUUGGUGAGAAGAAUGAACUCAUAAGCAAGCUGUUGCGUGAGAGUAGCGAGCAACAAAAAGGCCUCCAUAUGAUCUCAAUUGUUGGUAUGGGAGGCAUAGGGAAAACUACUCUUGCACAACUAGCUUGUAAUGAUGACGUGGUGAAGAGAAAGUUCGACAAAAUUCUGUGGGUGUGUGUAUCAGAAACUUUUGAGGAGUUUAGGGUUGCCAAAGCAAUCGUUGAAGCUUUGGAUGGUCGUGAAUCUCAUUUAGGUGAAUUCCAAUCUCUUCUUAAACAUAUUGAUGAAUCCAUUGCAGGGAAGAGCUUUCUUCUUGUCUUAGAUGACGUGUGGGAUGGAAAUUACUUGAAAUGGGAACCAUUCUAUCGUUGUCUAAAGAAUGGUCUCCAUGGAAGUAAAAUUUUAGUUACCACACGUAGUGGGUCCGUUGCAUCCAUGAUGGGAUCCAUAGAUAUUAUUCCCAUUGAGAAAUUAGCUGAAGAGGAAUGUUGGUUGUUGUUUAACAAGAUAGCAUUUUUUGGUAGGCCUAUCGAGGAACGUGAAAAAUUCGAACGAAUUGGGCGAAGAAUUGCAGGCAAGUGCAAAGGUUUACCUCUUGCAGCAAAGACAAUAGGUAGUCUCAUGCGUUCUAAACAAACUGAAGAAGAGUGGAAAAGAAUUUUAAAUAGUGAUUUAUGGAAAGUAGAAGAGAUUGAGAAAGAUGUUUUGUCCUCUUUAUUGUUGAGUUACAAUGAUUUGCCAUCUAGAGUAAAAAGAUGUUUUUCAUAUUGUGCUGUCUUUCCAAAAGACUACGAUAUAGAAAAAGACAAACUAAUUACAUUGUGGAUGGCUCAAAGUUUUCUUACUGUAGAAGAAGAUGAGGAGAUGGAGACUAUAGGUGAAGAGUAUUUUAGCAUCUUAGCUUCUCGCUCUUUCUUUCAAGAGUUUAAGAAAAGUUAUGAUAAUCGGAUUAUAGAGUGUAAGAUGCAUGAUAUGGUACAUGAUUUUGCCCGAUUUGUAAGUCAAAAUGAAUGUUUUUCGAUGGCAAUUAAUGGUAGUGAAGAACCAAACGCCACAAACUCUCUUGAUGAGAAGGUCCGUCAUUUAAUGUUAAUCUUUAGUAUAGAGGCUUCAUUACCUGUUUCCACUCCUAGAGUUAAAAGAAUGCGUACCCUCUUAAUUAACGAUAGUGGAUCAUUAAAUGGCGAGAUCCUAGAAGAAUUAUUUAGGGAAUUGACAAGUUUAAGGGCAUUAGAUUUUGGCGGAUCGUUCCACUCAACGCCGUUGUUGACUGCGGAGGUUCCAAGAAACAUAGAAAAGCUGGUACAUUUGAGAUACCUUAAUUUGUCUUUUCAGAAAAUAGUGAAACUACCGGAGACAUUGUGCGAGUUGUAUAAUCUAGAAAAGUUCGAUAUUAGUUGUUGUUUGUAUCUUAGAGAAUUACCUGAAGGGAUUGGGAAGUUAAUAAACAUGAAGCAUUUACGAAAUAGAAGUACUAGUUCUUUAAGGUACAUGCCAGUAGGGAUUGGGAGAUUAACGGGUCUUAGGACCUUGGAUGAGUUCCACGUGAGUGCAGGAGGAGGUGUUGAUGGUAGGAAAGCAUGUAGGCUUGAAUCUCUUAAAAAAUUGGAACACCUUCAAGUAUGUGGUAUAUGUAGACUGGGUGAUGUAUCAGAUGUGGGCGAGGCUAAGCGAUUAGAACUUGACAAAAAGAAAUACCUCUUCAGUUUGACCCUUGAGUUUGAUAAGAAGGAGGAAGAAGACGGAGAAAGGAGGAAGAACGAGGACGAUCAACUUCUUCUUGAAGCCCUGCGAUCACCUCUGGAUUUAAAGGAAUUAGAGAUAGGGUUAUACCGAGGCAACACUGUUUUCCCCAGCUGGAUGACGUCAUUAACCAACUUAAAGAGUUUAAAACUCUCUUUCUGCGAAAAUUGCGAGCAGCUGCCUCCUUUGGGAAAAUUGCCGUCCCUUGAACAGCUCUUCAUAUCGUACAUGUCGAGUGUGAAAAGAGUGGGUGAUGAAUUUUUGGGGGUAGAAAGUGAUCGUCAUGACUCAUCGUCAUCUUCAUCAGUUAUUAUUGCCUUCCCCAAAUUGAAAUCACUUAGUAUUGACGGAUUGAUGGAAUUGGAGGAGUGGGAUUAUGGGAUUACAAGAACGGGAAACACCUUCAUCAACAUCAUGCCACGUCUUUCUUCAUUGGCAAUUAAUUACUGCCCCAAAAUUAAGGCACUGCCCGACCACUUUCAUCAAACGACAACAUUGAAGGAAUUGCGCAUUUGGGGGUGUGACCUUCUGGAAGAACGUUAUUGCAAGGGGGAAGGAGAAGACUGGCCUAAGAUAUCACACAUUCCCAACCUCCAUAUUGGGCUUUGACAAGUAAUUUCUUCUCUUACUCUGAUUU
rnacentral:lncRNA from 1 species